rnacentral:lncRNA from 1 species
UGUGUGUAGCUUCACUUGCCUUUCAAAAUGUUGUAUGAUGCCCUUAGUGCGAGGUGACUGUGGAAUUUUGUUGGUAUCCUCUGUCUCUGACAUGGUUUAAAAAAACACACAGUGGAAACAAGAAAAAUAGGUGAAGAAAUAAAAACCCUACAGCUAUUAGGAUGUGGCUACUGUAAGACGCUCUCUAUCAACCUGUCUAACAAGUUCUUACCAAUUCUUACCUUGCUCAACAGGAGGGAUUGGCUACCAACAAAUCCACAGCAAUGGACGAAGUGUAUCGGUGCCGCAGCAACAAAACCUAUCAAGCUGUAGAAUAUGUGGAGCUAUAGGUGGGCUGAAACAAGGAUCGAACUAGCACCACGUUAGUUAUAAAAAGCAAGUUGAAUAAACGCUCAGCGGUGGUACUGUGCUAGUCCUAGCCUAGACCGUGCUAGAGACGCGAGCCUAGACACAAAGGGAAAACACAGCACACCACUAGAAACAAAAUGAGCAGCCCUACUGGAAACAAAAGGAACAACAAUCCCCUUUUUUGAUUUUUUUCUCUUUUUUUCUUUCUUUCUUUCUUUUUUUUCUUUAUUUUUUUUUCUUUCUCUUUUCUUUUUUUGGGGAACCUCAAAACCUGAUUAUAUAAACAAAAUAGUACAAAAUAUCACUUCACCACUCUCACCCUCUCACUAAAGUAAGGCUGAACCUCAAAAUUCAAUAUAUCUAGCACAAGUAUGAAGUGCUAUCUUUCCCUUUGGAUCACGUUGAUGGAAACGCAGAAUAGACCAACAAGUGGCUGCACCUAUUAUCAAGAUCUACUCAAAUUCGAACCCACAAUAGAUUGGAUGCAGUUGUGACUAGAUGGUGACAAGAACUCAAAACUCUAAAGGACUAAACUAAAACCAGCACUGGACACGACCGAAGCAAACACUCAUUCAACCAGCCCUAACUAAGUAGUACUAGCCACGGCACAAAGGAUUUUAUAGGAUUAUGGAAAACAAAUCUGCUAUAUUUUUUUGUCUUUUUUUGGACUAUAGGAAAAACAAACACGAAGAAUUGGAAAUCUCUCACCGAUAAACCUUGCUCUGAUUACCAACUGAUGUGAACCCACUAGGGUUUUCGCCUGAUCUUUCGAUGAGAGGCGCUGGAUAACUCGAUUAGUAAAUGGAGAUGACGUUCACGGCCCGACUACAGCCUUCUAAGGCCGCGCCUUAGCAACCGAUACACCGCCUCCAAUGGCUGUCACGAUCUUGUGGAGCGCAACACCCGGCCACUAGGGCACUCGUCCUGCAAGCAAUCGAAGAACCAGCAAGAACAAGUAGAACAAGUACUAAAUUACUAGAUGUAAAUGAAGGUUUCAAACUCAAUCUCUAAUGAAGUGGGGUUUCGAAAACAAGAAGACGGGCGGCUGGAUCAGCACGCGCGUUUACAAGCAAGUAGCGAAGGCUAAACUUUAUCUAAUCAAAACCCAGUUGUUCAUGGCGGCUCUAAAUGUAAAUAAAUAGAGGGGAGGACAACCAAAGGGGUACUAGAGUCGUCCUCCAACCCUAGGACGCGUCCCUAAUGGACUCAACUUGAUACAUGGGCCAUUGGUCCAAAAUAGGGUGACGCAGCACCAAAACAGAAAAAGGUGUGGCACAAAAACAAGGACUGCGCCCGACUCAUAAGCUGCAUAGAUAUGUGGUUGGACCCAUUGCAUUGGAAAGUAGACUUCAUGAGCUUUCCAUCAAGUAUAGGAAUGUCCCAGUUGGAGUCCAUAUGACGCCGUGGUGAUCCAUACAAGUUAGAGUUAUUUUCCAGUCCGAAUCCAACUCCCAAAACGUGUUGGGUUUGGACUCUUUGUGUCCUUGCUUUAGAAGCGACGUGGUAACUUGAUAGAGGAUGUUGUGGAGGCUUGGACCUGAUCUCCAAUCACCUUUGUUAAGUUAUCACUCUUCCCAUAUGCAAUCAGCCCUUGAAGUUGGUGUUGCCUCAAAUUCCGAAUGCAGUUGAACCUUCCCUUGCUGAUCUUGUCCAUUAUUCCUGAGCAACACGAAAGUGCACGUGUCUCCAUUGUCUAAAUAUGAUUGACAAGAGUUUAAAACUGAACUUACUUGAAGGUUGAGUUGACGGGCACGAGCAUGAGUAAGAGGACCAACUGGUGUAGGUGCGGAUAUAUCGAUGGUGUUGAUGUCCUCAUCAGAUAGGUGCAUAGUUUGUGCCUAAUGCACCAUAGUCUAAGAAACCAUUUUUGACGCACCUGUUUGUACUCCUAGAUGAAGAGGCUCAAGUGGAAGCUCGAAUAGGUCUGUUUGGAGAUAGUGCUAAUCUUGAUGCAAGAUAGGUGCACGGUAUGCAUGGAACAUACCAUAGGCUUGGAAAUCAAUUUGGAUGCACCCGAUGGAACUCCUUGAUGACGUGUGUCAUAUGGAAUCUCGCUUUGGUCUGUUUAGAAACAGUGUUAGUUUCGGUGCAAGAGAUGUGCAUGGUUUGUGCCUAACGCACCAUAGUUUAAGAAACCAUUUUGGAAGCACCUGUUGGUAGUUUGUUGAAGAGGCUCAAGUGGAAGCUCGGUUUGAUUUGUUUGGAGAUAGUGCUAAUCUUGGUGCAAGAUAGGUGCAUGAUUUGCAAGGAACAAACCAUAUGCUUAGAAAUCAAUUUGGACGCACCCAAUGGAACUCCUAGGUGACGUGUGUCAUACGGAAUCUUGCUUCGGUCCGUUUGUAGACAUUGUAAGUUUUAGUGCAAGAUAGGUGUAGAGUUUGCGCCUAAUGCACCAUAGUCUAAGAAACCAUUUUAGACGCAAUAUUUGGUACUCCUGGGUGAAGAGGCUCAAGUGGAAGCUUGGUUCGGUCAGUUUGGAGAUAGUGCUAAUCCUUAUGCAUGGUAGGUGCAUGGUUUGCAUGGAACAUACCAUAUGCGUGGAAAUCAAUUUGGAUGCACUCGAUGGAACUCCUUGAUGAUGUGUGUCAUAUGAAAUCACGCUUUGGUCCAUUUGGAGACAUUGUUAGUUUCGGUGCAAGAUAAGUGCACAGUUUGCACCUAAUGCACCAUAGUCUAAGAAACCAUUUUGGACACACUUGUUGGUACGCCUAGGUGAGGGGCUCAAGUAGUUGCUCGGUUCGGUCUGUUUGAAGAUAGUGCUAAUCUUGAUGCAAGAUAGGUGCACGGUUUGCAUGGAACAUACCAAAUGCUUGUAAAUCAAUCUGGAGGCACAUGAUGGAACUCCUAGAUGACGUGUGUCAAAUGAAAUCUUGCUUCGGUCUGUUUGGAGACAUUGUUAGUUUCGGUGCAAGAUAGGUGCACAGUUUGCACCUAAUGCACCGUAGUCUAAGAAACCAUUUUGGAUGCACUUGUUGGUACUUCAGUGAAGAGGCUCAAGUGGAAGCUUGGUUUGAUCUGUUUGGAGAUAGUGCUAAUGUUGGAGCAAGAUAGGUGCAUGAUUUGCAAGGAACAUACCAUAUGCUUAGAAAUCAAUUUGAACGCACCCAAUGGAACUCCUAGAUGACGUGUGUCAUAUGGAAUCUUGCUUCGGUCCGUUUGUAGACAUUGUAAGUUUUAGUGUAAGAUAGGUGCACAGUUUGCGCCUAAUGCACCAUAGUCUAAGAUACCAUUUUAGACGCACUAUUUGGUACUCCUGGGUGAAGAGGCUCAAGUGGAAGCUUGGUUCGGUCAGUUUGGAGAUAGUGCUAAUCCUUAUGCAAGGUAGGUGCAUGGUUUGCAUGGAACAUACCAUAUGCUUGGAAAUCUAUUUGGAUGCACCCGAUGGAACUCCUUGAUGACGUGUGUCAUAUGGAAUCUCACUUCGGUCCAUUUAGAGACAUUGUUAGUAUCGGUGCAAGAUAGGUGCACAGUUUGCACCUAAUGCACCAUAGUCUAAGAAACCAUUUUGGACGCACUUGUUGGUACUCCUAGGUGAAGGGGCUCAAGUGGAUGCUCGGUUCGGUCUGUUUGGAGAUAGUGCUAAUCUUGAUGCAAGAUAGGUGCACGGUUUGCAUGGAACAUACUAAAUACUUGAAAAUCAAUCUGGACGCACAUGAUGGAACUCCUAGAUGACGUGUGUCAUACGAAAUCUUGCUUCGGUGUGUUUGGAGACAGUGUUAGUUUCGGUGCAAGAUAGGUGCAAGGUUUGCACAUAAUGCGCCAAAGUCUAAGAAACCAUUUUGGAAGCACCUGUUGGUAUUCCUAGGUGAAGAGGCUCAAGUAGAGGCUCGGUUUGGUCUGUUUAGAGAUAGUCCUAAUCUUGAUGAAAGAUAGGUGCAUGAUUUGCAUGGAACAUACCAUAUUUUCAGAAAUCAAUUUGGACACACCAGAUGGAACUCCUAGAUGACAUGUGUCAUAUGGAAUCUUACUUCCGUCUGUUUAGAGACAGUGUUAGUUUUGGUGCAUGAUAGGUGCACGGUUUGCACCUAAUGCACCAUAGGAUAAGAAACCAUUUUGGAUGCACCCGAUGGUACUCCUUGGUCAAGGGGCUCAAGUGAAGGCUCCGUUUCGUCUGUUUGGAGAUAGUGCUAAUCUUGAUGCAAGAUAGAUGCACGGUUUGCAUGGAACAUAUGAUAUUCUCAUAAAUCAAUUAGGACGCACCUGAUAUAACACCUUGAUGAUGUGUGUCAUAUGGAAUCUCGCUUCGGUUCGUUUAGAGACCGUGUUAGUUUUGGUAGAAGAUAUGUGCACGGUUUACGCCUAAUGCACCAUAGGCUAAGAAACCAUUUUAGACGCACCCGAUGGUACUCGUAGUUGAGGAGGCUCAAGUGGAGGCUCGAUUUGGUCUGUUCGGAUAUAGUGCUAAUCUUGAUGCAAGAUAGUUGCAUAGUUUGCAUGGAACGUACCAUAUGUUAAGAAAUCAAUUUGAACGCACCCAAUGGAACUCCUAGAUGACGUGUGUCAUAUGGAAUCUCGAUUUGGUCCAUUUGGAGACAAUAUUAGUUUCGAUACAAGAUAGGUGCAUAGUUUGUACCUAAUGCACCAUAGUCUACAAAACCAUUUUUGAUGCACCUGUUUGUACUUCUAGAUGAAGAGGCUCAAGUGGAAGCUCGGUUCGGUCUGUUUGGAGAUAGUGCUAAUCUUGAUGCAAGAUAGGUGCACGGUUUGCAUGGAACAUACCAUUUGCUUGGAAAUCAAUUUGGAUGCACCCGGUGGAACUCCUUGAUGACGUGUGUCUUAUGGAAUCUCGCUUUGGUCUGCUUAGAAAUAGUGUUAGUUUCAGUGCAAGAUAUGAGCAAGGUUUGCGCCAAAUGCACCAUAGUCUAAGAAACCAUUUUGGAAGCACAUGUUGGUACUUCGGUGAAGAGGCUCAAGUGGAAGCUUUGUUUGAUAUGUUUGGAGAUAGUGCUAAUCUUGUUGCAAGAUAGGUGCAUGAUUAGCAAGGAACGUACCAUAUGCUUAGAAAUCAAUUUGGACGCACCCAAUGGAACUCCUAAAUGAAGUGUGUCAUAUGGAAUCUUGCUUCGGUCCAUUUGUAGACAUUGUAAGUUUUAGUGCAAGAUAGGUGCACAGUUUGCGCCUAAUGCAUCGUAGUCUAAGAAAUCAUUUUGGAUGCACUAUUUGGUACUCCUGGGUGAAGAGGUUCAAGUGAAGGCUUGGUUCAGUCAGUUUGGAGAUAGUGUUAAUCCUUAUGCAAGGUAGGUGCAUGGUUUGCAUGGAACAUACCAUAUGUUUGGAAAUCAAUUUGGAUGCACCCGAUGGAACUCCUUGAUGAUGUGUGUCAUAUGGAAUCUCACUUCGGUCCAUUUGGAGACAUUGUUAGUUUCGGUGCAAGAUAGGUGCACAGUUUGCACAUAAUGCACCAUAGUCUAAGAAACCAUUUUGGACGCACUUGUUGGUACUCCUAGGUGAAGGGGCUCAAGUGGAUGCUCGGUUCGGUCUGUUUGGAGAUAGUGCUAAUCUUGAUGCAAGGUAGGUGCACGGUUUGCAUGGAACAUACCAAAUACUUGAAAAUCAAUCUGGACGCACAUGAUGGAACUCCUAGAUGACGUGUGUCAUACGAAAUCUUGCUUUGGUCUGUUUGGAGACAGUGUUAGUUUCGGUGCAAGAUAGGUGCAAGGUUUGCACAUAAUGCAGCCUAGGCUAAGAAACCAUUUUGGACGCACCCGAUGGUACUCCUAGGUAAAAGGCUCAAGUGAAAGCUCGGUUCGGCCUGUUUAGAGAUAGUGCUAAUCUUGAUACAAGAUAGGUGCACGAUUUGCAUGGAACAUACCAUAUGCUCAGAAAUCAAUUUGGACACACCAGAUGGAACACCUAGAUGGGUGUCAUAUGGAAUCUCACUUCCGUUCGUUUAGAGACAAUGUUAGUUUUGGUGAAAGAUAGGUGCACGGUUUGCACCUAAUGCACCAUAGGAUAAGAAACCAUUUUGGACGCACCCGAUGGUACUCCUAGGUCAAGGGGCUCAAGUGACAGCUGGAUUUGGUCGGUUUGGAGAUAGUGCUAAUCUUGAUGCAAGAUAGAUGCACGGUUUGUAUGGAACAUAUGAUAUGCUCGGAAAUCAAUUAGGACGCACCUGAUAUAACUCCUUGAUGAUGUGUGUCAUAUGGAAUUUUGCUUCGGUUCGUUUAGAGAACGUGUUAGUUUUGGUAGAAGAUAUGUGCACGGUUUACGCCUAAUGCACCAUAGGCUAAGAAACCAUUUUAGACGCACCCGAUGGUACUCGUAGUUGAAGAGGCUCAAGUGCAGGCUCGAUUUGGUCUGUUCGGAUAUAGUGCUAAUCUUGAUGCAAGAUAGUUGCACAGUUUGCAUGGAACGUACCAUAUGUUAAGAAAUCAAUUUGAACGCACCCAAUGGAACUCCUAGAUGACGUGUGUCAUAUGGAAUCUCGCUUUGGUCCAUUUGGAGACAAUGUUAGUUUCGGUACAAGAUAGGUGCAUAGUUUGUUCCUAUUGCACCAUAGUCUAAGAAACCAUUUUUGAUGCACCUGUUUGUAAUCCUAGAUGAAGAGGCUCAAGUGGAAGCUCGGUUUGUUCUGUUUGGAGAUAGUGCUAAUCUUGAUGCAACAUAGGUGUAUGAUUGCAAGGGACAUACCAUAUUCUUAGAAAUCAAUUUGGACGCACCUAAUGGAACUCCUAGAUGACGUGUGUCAUAUGGAAUCUCACUUCGGUCUAAUUGGAGACAAUGUUAGUUUCGGUGCAAGAUAGGUGCAUAGAUUGUGCCUAAUGCACCAUAGUCUAAGAAACCAUUUUUGGCACACCUGUUUGUACUCCUAGAUGAAGAGGCUCAAGUGGAAGCACGGUUCGGUCUGAUUGGAGAUAGUGCUAAUUUUGAUGCAAGAUAGGUGCACGGUUUGCAUGGAACAUACCAUAUGCUUGGAAAUCAAUUUGGAUGCACCCGAUGGAACUCCUUGAUGACGUGUGUCUUAUGGAAUCUCGCUUUGGUCUGUUUAGAAAUAGUGUUAGUUUCAAUGCAAGAUAUGGGCAUGGUUUGCGCCUAAUGCACCAUAGUCUAAGAAACCAUUUUGGAAGCACCUGUUGGUACUUCGGUGAAGAGGCACAAGUGGAAUCUCAGUUUGAUCUGUUUGGAUAUAGUGCUAAUCUUGAUGCAAGAUAGGUGCAUGAUUUGCAAGGAACAUACCAUAUGCUUAGAAAUCAAUUUGGACGCAUCCAAUGGAACUCCUAGAUGACGUGUGUCAUAUGGAAUCUUGCUUCGGUCCCUUUGUAGACAUUGUAAGUUUUAGUGCAAGAUAGGUGCACAGUUUGCGCCUAAUGCACCGUAGUCUAAGAAACCAUUUUGGACGCACUAUUUGGUACUCUUUGGUGAAGAGGCUCAAGUGAAAGCUUUGUUCAGUCAGUUUGGAGAUAGUGCUAAUCCUUAUGCAAGAUAGGUGCACAGUCUGCAUGGAACAUACCAUAUGCUUGGAAAUCAAUUUGGAUGCACUCGAUGGAACUCCUUGAUGACGUGUGUCAUAUGGAAUCUCGCUUUGGUCUGUUUAGAAACAGUGUUAGUUUUGGUGCAAGAUAUGUGCAUGGUUUGCGCCUAAUGCACCAUAGUCUAAGAAACCAUUUUGGAAGCACCUGUUGGAACUUCGGUGAAGAGGCUCAAGUGGAAGCUCGGUUUGAUCUGUUUGGAGAUGGUGCAAGGAAUAUACCAUAUGCUUAGAAAUCAAUUUGGACGCACCCAAUGGAACUCCUAGAUGAUGUGUGUCAUAUGGAAUCUUGCUUCGGUCCGUUUGUAGACAUUGUAAGUUUUAGUGCAGGAUAGGUGCACAGUUUGCACCCAAUGCACCAUAGUCUAAGAAACCAUUUUAGACGCACUAUUUGGUACUCCUGGGUGAAGAUGCUCAAGUGGAAGCUUGGUUCGGUCAGUUUGAACAUAGUGCUAAUCCUUAUGCAAGGUAGGUGCAUGGUUUGCAUGGAACAUACCAUAUGCUUGGAAAUCAGUUUGGAUGCAGCCGAUGGAACUCCUUUGAUGACGUGUGACAUAUGGAAUCUCACUUCGGUCCAUUUGGAGACAUUGUUAGUUUCGAUGCAAGAUAGGUGCACAGUUUGCACCUAAUGCACCAUAGACUAAGAAACUAUUUUGGACGCACUUGUUGGUACUCCUAGGUGAAGGGGCUUAAGUGGAUGCUCGGUUCGGUCUGUUUGGAGAAAGCACUAAUCUUGAUGCAAGAUUGGUGCACGGUUUGCAUAGAACAUACCAAAUGCUUGGAACUCCUUUGAUGACGUGUGUCAUAUGGAAUCUCGCUUCGGUCAAUUUGGAGACAUUGUUAGUUUCGGUGCAAGAUAGGUGCACAGUUUGCACCUAAUGCACCAUAGUCUAAGAAACCAUUUUGGACGCACUUGUUGGUACUCCUUGGUGAAGGGGCUCAAGUGGAUGCUCAGUUCGGUCUGUUUGGAGAUAGUGCUAAUCUUGAUGCAAGAUAGGCGCACGGUUUGGAUGGAACAUACCAAAUACUUGGAAAUCAAUCUGGACGCACAUGAUGGAACACGUAGAUGACGUGUGUCAUACGAAAUCUUGCUUCGGUCUGUUUGGAGAUAGUGUUAGUUUUGGUGCAAGAUAGGUGCAAGGUUUACACAUAAUGCAGCCUAGGAUAAGAAACCAUUUUGAACGCACCCGAUGGUACUCUUAGGUAAAAGGCUCAAGUGAAAGCUCGGUUCGGUCUGUUUAGAGAUAGUGCUAAUCUUGAUACAGGAUAGGUGCACGAUUUGCAUGGAACAUACCAUAUGCUCGGAAAUAAAUUUGGACGCACCAGAUGGAACUCCUAGAUGGGUGUCAUAUGGAAUCUCACUUCCGUCCGUUUAGAGACAGUGUUAGUUUUGGUGCAAGAUAGGUGCACGGUUUGCACCUAAUGCACCAUAGCAUAAGCAACCAUUUUGGACGCACCCGAUGGAACUCCUAGGUCAAGGGGCUCAAGUGACAGCUCGGUUUGGUCUGUUUGGAGAUAGUGCUAAUCUUGAUGCAAGAUAGAUGCACGGUUUGCAUGGAACAUAUGAUAUGCUCAGAAAUCUAUUAGGACGCACCUGAUAUAACUCCUUGAUGAUGUGUGUCAUAUGGAAUCUUGCUUCGGUUCGUUUAGAGACAUUGUUAGUUUUGGUAGAAGAUAUGUGCACGGUUUACGCCUAAUGCACCAUAGGCUAAGAAACCAUUUUAGACGCACUCGAUGGUAGUCGUAGUUGAAGAGCCUCAAGUGGAGGCUCGAUUUGGUCUGUUCGGCUAUAGUGCUAAUCUUGAUGCAAGAUAGUUGCACAGUUUGCAUUGGAACGUACCAUAUGUUAAGAAAUCAAUUUGGACACACCCAAUGGAACUCCUAGAUGACGUGUGUCAUAUGGAAUCUCGCUUUGGUCCAUUUGGAGGCAAUGUUAGCUUCGGUGCAAGAUAGGUGCAAAGUUUGUGCCUAAUGCACCAUAGUCUAAGAAACCAGUUUUGAUGCACCUAUUUGUACUUCUAGAUGAAGAGGCUCAAGUGGAAGCUCGGUUCGGUCUGUUUGGAGAUAGUGCUAAUCUUGAUGCAAGAUAGGUGCACGGUUUGCAUGGAACAUACCAUUUGCUUGGAAAUCAAUUUGGAUGCACCCGGUGGAACUCCUUGAUGACGUGUGUCUUAUGGACUCUCGCUUUGGUCUGUUUAGAAAUAGUGUUAGUUUCAGUGCAAGAUAUGGGCAUGGUUUGCGCCUAACGCACCAUAGUCUAAGAAACCAUUCUGGACGCACCUGUUGGUACUUCGGUGAAGAGGCUCAAGUGGAAGCUCGAUUUGAUCUGUUUGGAGAUAGUGCUAAUCUUGAUGCAAUAUAGGUGCUUGAUUUGCAAUGAACAUACCAAAUGUUUAGAAAUCAAUUUGGACGCACCCAAUGGAACUCCUAGAUGACAUGUGUCAUAUGGAAUCUUGGUUCGGUCCAUUUGUAGACAUUGUAAGUUUUAGUGCAAGAUAGGUGCACAGUUUGCGCCUAAUGCACCGUAGUCUAAGAAACCAUUUUGGACGCACUAUUUGGUACUCCUUUAUGAAGAGACUCAAGUGGAAGCUUGGUUCGGUCAGUUUGGAGAUAGUGCUAAUCCUUAUGCAAGGUAGGUGCAUGGUUUGCAUGGAACAUACCAUAUGGUUGGAAAUCAAUUUGGAUGCACCCGAUGGAACUCCUUGAUGACGUGUGUCAUAUGGAAUCUCUCUUCGGUCCAUUUGGAGAAAUUGUUAGUUUCGGUGCAAAAUAGGUGCACAGUUUGCACCUAAUGCACCAUAGUCUAAGAAACCAUUUUGGACGCACUUGUUGGUACUCCUUGGUGAAGGGGCUCAAGUGGAUGCUCAGUUCGGUCUGUUUGGAGAUAGUGCUAAUCUUGAUGCAAGAUAGGCGCACGGUUUGCAUGGAACAUACCAAAUACUUGGAAAUCAAUCUGGACGCACAUGAUGGAACUCCUAGAUGACGUGUGUCAUACGAAAUCUUGCUUCGGUCUGUUUGGAGAUAGUGUUAGUUUUGGUGCAAGAUAGGUGCAAGGUUUACACAUAAUGCAGCCUAGGAUAAGAAACCAUUUUGAACGCACCCGAUGGUACUCUUAGGUAAAAGGCUCAAGUGAAAGCUCGGUUCGGUCUGUUUAGAGAUAGUGCUAAUCUUGAUACAGGAUAGGUGCACGAUUUGCAUGGAACAUACCAUAUGCUCGGAAAUAAAUUUGGACGCACCAGAUGGAACUCCUAGAUGGGUGUCAUAUGGAAUCUCACUUCCGUCCGUUUAGAGACAGUGUUAGUUUUGGUGCAAGAUAGGUGCACGGUUUGCACCUAAUGCACCAUAGCAUAAGCAACCAUUUUGGACGCACCCGAUGGAACUCCUAGGUCAAGGGGCUCAAGUGACAGCUCGGUUUGGUCUGUUUGGAGAUAGUGCUAAUCUUGAUGCAAGAUAGAUGCACGGUUUGCAUGGAACAUAUGAUAUGCUCAGAAAUCUAUUAGGACGCACCUGAUAUAACUCCUUGAUGAUGUGUGUCAUAUGGAAUCUUGCUUCGGUUCGUUUAGAGACAUUGUUAGUUUUGGUAGAAGAUAUGUGCACGGUUUACGCCUAAUACACCAUAGGCUAAGAAACCAUUUUAGACGCACUCGAUGGUAGUCGUAGUUGAAGAGCCUCAAGUGGAGGCUCGAUUUGGUCUGUUCGGCUAUAGUGCUAAUCUUGAUGCAAGAUAGUUGCACAGUUUGCAUUGGAACGUACCAUAUGUUAAGAAAUCAAUUUGGACACACCCAAUGGAACUCCUAGAUGACGUGUGUCAUAUGGAAUCUCGCUUUGGUCCAUUUGGAGGCAAUGUUAGCUUCGGUGCAAGAUAGGUGUAAAGUUUGUGCCUAAUGCACCAUAGUCUAAGAAACCAGUUUUGAUGCACCUAUUUGUACUUCUAGAUGAAGAGGCUCAAGUGGAAGCUCGGUUCGGUCUGUUUGGAGAUAGUGCUAAUCUUGAUGCAAGAUAGGUGCACGGUUUGCAUGGAACAUACCAUUUGCUUGGAAAUCAAUUUGGAUGCACCCGGUGGAACUCCUUGAUGACGUGUGUCUUAUGGACUCUCGCUUUGGUCUGUUUAGAAAUAGUGUUAGUUUCAGUGCAAGAUAUGGGCAUGGUUUGCGCCUAACGCACCAUAGUCUAAGAAACCAUUCUGGACGCACCUGUUGGUACUUCGGUGAAGAGGCUCAAGUGGAAGCUCGAUUUGAUCUGUUUGGAGAUAGUGCUAAUCUUGAUGCAAUAUAGGUGCUUGAUUUGCAAUGAACAUACCAAAUGUUUAGAAAUCAAUUUGGACGCACCCAAUGGAACUCCUAGAUGACAUGUGUCAUAUGGAAUCUUGGUUCGGUCCAUUUGUAGACAUUGUAAGUUUUAGUGCAAGAUAGGUGCACAGUUUGCGCCUAAUGCACCGUAGUCUAAGAAACCAUUUUGGACGCACUAUUUGGUACUCCUUUAUGAAGAGACUCAAGUGGAAGCUUGGUUCGGUCAGUUUGGAGAUAGUGCUAAUCCUUAUGCAAGGUAGGUGCAUGGUUUGCAUGGAACAUACCAUAUGGUUGGAAAUCAAUUUGGAUGCACCCGAUGGAACUCCUUGAUGACGUUUGUCAUAUGGAAUCUCUCUUCGGUCCAUUUGGAGAAAUUGUUAGUUUCGAUGCAAAAUAGGUGCACAGUUUGCACCUAAUGCACCAUAGUCUAAGAAACCAUUUUGGACGCACUUGUUGGUACUCCUAGGUGAAUGGGCUCAAGUGGAUGCUCGGUUCGGUCUGUUUGGAGAUAGUGCUAAUCUUGAUACAAGAUAUUUGCACGGUUUGCAUGGAACAUACCAAAUACUUGAAAAUCAAUCUAGACGCACAUGAUGGAACUCCUAGAUGACGUGUGUCAUACGAAAUCUUGCUUCGGUCUGUUUGGAGACAAUGUUAGUUCCGGUGCAAGAUAGGUGCAAGGUUUGCACAUAAUGCAGCCUAGGCUAAGAAACCAUUUUGGACGCACCCGAUGGUACUCCUAGGUAAAAGGCUCAAGUGAAACUCGGUUCGGCCUGUUUAGAGAUAGUGCUAAUAUUGAUACGAGAUAGGUGCACGAUUUACAUGGAACAUACCAUAUGCUCGAAAAUCAAUUUGGACGCACCAGAUGGAACUCCUAGAUGGGUGUCAUAUGGAAUCUCACUUCCGUCCAUUUAGAGACAGUGUUAGUUUUGGUGCAAGAUAGGUGCCGGUUUGCACCUAAUGCACCAUAGCAUAAGAAACCAUUUUGGACGCAUCCGAUGGUACUCCUUGGUCAAGGGGCUCAAGUGACAGCUCGGUUUGGUGAUGAGGACAUCCCUAGCAUUCAUUCAUCUUCAAAUGAAACUCCACUUGAUAUAAGUGGUCCAAUUACAAGAAGUAGAGCUAAACAAUUGGAGAAGGAAAUUCAUUCUCAGGUGAACGCUAACCUUAUGUUUAAUAAUCAGUUUAUGUUGAAUGAUCCUAUACUUUUGAGUUCUUGUUUCAAUGUCCUUAGGAAUGAUGGAGGGUAUGAACCAGCAUGGGAUGAAGAUGGAUUCAAGCCUUUGGACAUCUGAACCAAGAAGCCUAUCGUGUGCAUAAAUAAAAUGGUGGUUCAUUACUUCUGCAUGAGAAGGCAACCAGAAGCUAGAUGGCUGACCCAUGGUACAAAUUCCAAGCAUCACCACGGACAGAAUACAAGGAGUUACGUGGCAUUCUACAGAUGGAUGAAAGCAUCUUUAAGUCUAUGUUGCAGCCCAUCAAACGGUUCAUUAUUUAGACUUCCCAAUAAAGAGUUAUGCUCAUUUUAGUAACUGCUGCCAGAAGCUGAGAAGACGCGCGAACCAGCCACGAAAUCCACUAGUGGAUGUGCAUGCUGUCAUGUAUUCAAAGCUGAACGCCCCUAUCUAUAUAUAUCUCUUGUACUAGACAAUGAAAGGACACAUCUUGCUUGGUUAAAAUUCAGAAUACACAAACUCGUGGAGUUUUGUUUAUGCGUGAGUCUUGAGAGGCUUGCAAAACUUGUUCUUUCGAUUCCUGAGGGAGUUGUAGAACGCCGAACUGCGGUUCAUCCAGUUUGUGCCUUCACGCCUAUACGGCGUGAUUGCGUGGGCUGUUCGUCGGUACAUGGAAGGGUGAUUGUCUCGGUAGUUCGUCGCGUGGACAGCCUCGCGGUGCACUGCCUCUUCACCAGGUCACGCAGCGACAAGUUAUCAAGUUCGCGAAUCCUACGAGAAGAUCGGGCCACAACGACUUGUCUCACGCUAUCCCUAGGCGUGAGCAUAUCAUCUGGUACCAAAGCCUUCGUUUCCUCGGUAGGAUUGUUCUUGAUUUUGGUAGGAUAGAGUUUAAAUACCUACUGUCCACUGAGAGCCAAAAAGAAAACCUACAGCCCAAAUUCAUAUGUGCUACUGAUUUUGUAGUUUGCUUUAUCGAGUUUUAAUCCUUUAAUAUUUGUCUAGUUGCUGAAUUUUUCUUUUCCACAUUGUUCUAGUUAUUAUCUUUGUUCUAAUCAUCAAAUUGCUUGCUGCAUGUACCCAUCCAUCCCACCCUUGAUCUGAUCAUCAUUGCUUGCUGCGUAUAUAUAAACAAAAAAAAAUACCCACCCAUCCCACCCUUGUUUUCUAACCGCCACAUAUUCCCCACCGCAGUUUCUUGUUUUUGUGCUGCACCAUCCAUCUUAGUGAUCCCCUUUAGUUGAAAGUUGUGCUGCGUUUGACACAGAGGUUAAAAGAAAAGAUGUCUAUGGGUCAAAAGAAGGACUGAAAACGAGUUUUUGUUCCAAAAAAAAAGAGAAAAAAAAGAAAAGCAAGAAAGAAAAAAAAAAGAAAAACAAAAAGAGAACUGUGUGCAGCACACCAAAAAGGGGUUUGGGCAGCAACAAGUUUUCGGUUGGUGCAAAUUGGUGAUCAUCUAUCCACUUACUACAUCUCAUUCCUUUCUUUGUGCAUCCUUUCCUUUAUAUUCAGCAACUUCUGUUCUUGGAUUAUUAUUUGGUUUUGCAUCACUACAUUUCAGUGCAUUCCACUAACAUAUUACCCCACCAAGCUCCACUUAAAGCACCGUGAGUUGUUGCACCGUCGUCGCUGUUACAAUCACUCUUCCCUACAGAUCGCAGCCCCGGUUCUUGCUCUUUUCAGGGAGAGAAAGAACUUGUUUUGUAAGUGGUGAGGGAGUGAUUCCACAUAUAUAUUGUCCUUUUUUUUCUCCUCUACUAACAUGGCAGGACGUGGAGAUGGUGCCGCUGUUUCGGUGGAGGAAUUUCAGGAGUUGCGUACACAAAUGAAUGAUUUGGUGCAGCAGCUCCAAACUCUCCAAUUGAACAUACCACGUCGAGAACCGCCACCAAAUGAGGAUGAUGAUAUUGACGAGGAGGAUGAGCCACCGCGUCGUCCCGCUGGUCGUGGACGUGGCGGGCGUGGUCAUGGUCUUCUUAAUUUUGGUCGUGCUCGGCGCAUUCCUGUUCGAGGUGGACGAGAUUAUGAUGGUGAUGAUGAUAUGUUGUCUCACAUGGAUGAUCAUCGCCAUGUGGCCAUCGUGGUUAUCGUGACCGCCACCGUCGCCUUGAUGAUGAUGGUUUAAGCAAAGUGAAAGUGUCUAUUCCAAAAUUUAAUGGAAAAGAAAGUGCUGAUGAUUAUUUUGAGUGGGAGACUAAGGUUGAACAGAUCUUUGAUUUGUAUCCUUAUCCUCCUGUCAAGAAAGCAAAGCUUGCUGCAAUUGAGUUUUCAGGCUAUGCAAUCACUUGGUGGAAUCAAGUGUGUACUGAACUCCGACGCGCUGGACAUGAUCGUAUUACUUGGGAAGACAUGAAGAGGGAAAUGCGACGUCGUUUUGUUCCUGCAUAUUACUCUCGUGAUCUACAUUUGAAGCUAAAACGUCUUGUGCAAGGUACUCGUACUGUUGAUGAAUAUUUUCAAGAAUUGGAAAUGUGUUUACUUCGUACAGGGAUAACUGAAGAUGAGGAAUCCACAAUGGCUCGAUUUCUGGUUGGCCUCAAUAAGCCCAUUGCUGAUAAAGUGGAUAUGACAAACUACACAUGUCUCACUGAGUUGGUACAUUUUGCAAAAAGGGCAGAACGACAACUUGCUGGAUCUUAUAAAGAUCGUGCUUCAUUUUCAGCUCAUAAUAGUGCUACUUCAUGGCGCCAGUCACAGCAGCACGGGUCAGGGGUGCACACACCUACAUCUCGUGCAACUUCUUCCAAACAUUUUGAUUCCAAAGGCAAAGCUGUAAGCUCUACUCAGUCCAGCUCCUCUGCUACUGCAGCCCCAAGGCAUACAAGCAAGAUUGAGUGUUUUAAGUGUGGUGGUCAUGGGCAUAAGCAAGCUGAAUGUCCCAAUCGUCGUACGAUUAUUGCCCUUGCUGAUGGUUCAUAUGAUUCACAAAGUGAAGAGGAGGACGAGUUUCACAAUGUCUUUGCAGAUCAUACUCUUGACACUUGUGAGUAUUCAGCUGAGGAUGGUACUUUUGAGCUAGGUCUGAAUUGUUUAGCUAUUCAACCUAUUCUAACUUUUGCUCCCAGUGACAUGAUAGAAGAUGUUAUUUCUCCAUAUUCUAAUGAGAUUACUAGUGCUGAUUUUGAUGAGUUGCUUGCUGAUUUUCCUGAUUUGGAGCCUUCUAAAAUGAAUAGAUCAUCUCCUUAUUUGGUGGUUAGAAGAGUUCUUUCCACUCAGUUUGUUGCUGCUGAACAAGGACAACGUCAUAAUUUGUUUCAGUCCCGAUGCAAAGUGAAAGGUCAAGUGUGUCGUUUCAUCAUAGAUGGUGGGAGCUGCAAUAAUAUUGUUAGUGUCUUGCUUGUUGAGAAGCUUGGCCUACCAACACGCCGCCAUCCACACCCUUACCAUAUGCAGUGGCUGAAUAAUUCAGGGACAGUGAAGGUCUCAUCCAUGGUUCGUUUGUCUUUCUCCAUUGGUGACUAUCAUGGUGAGGUUGAUUGUGAUAUUGUACCCAUGCAAGCAUGCCAUUUGCUGUUGGGUCGUCCAUGGCAGUUUGAUGUGGAUUCGGUGCACUUUGGGCGGUCUAACAAGUAUACUUUCAUCCACAACGACAAGAAGGUGGUUCUUGUUCCAUUAUCUCCAGAAGAGAUCUAUGCUUCAGAUGUGGCUCGCAUGAAAAAAGAAGAAUCUGACAAAAGAAAAUUGAGUGAGGCUGCCAACACUAGUAAGGGAGAGACUUCUAACCAAUCUAGCCACAUAAAGCCUCUUUCCACUACAAAACAACACCACCAAAAUGAGUGCUUAUUUGUGAGCAGGAGUGAUUUGAGAGAAGUGAGGAACACCACAGCCCCAUUCUUUGUGCUCUUGCACAAGGAGGUCCUACUUUCAACUAACGAUUUACCUUCAUCGCUGCCUAGUGCUGUUCUUGAUCUCUUACAGGACUUUGAAGAUGUUUUUCCUGAUGAGGUACCAGCUGGCCUUCCUCCACUCCGUGGUAUUGAGCAUCAAAUCGAUUUGGUACCUGGAGCUUCUCUUCCCAAUCGUCCAGCCUACCGUGCUAAUCCUGAAGAAACCAAAGAAAUUCAGCGACAGGUAAAAGAGCUUUUGGACAAAGGGUAUGUUCGUGAAUCUCUAUCACCUUGUGCUGUUCCAGUACUUUUGGUCCCUAAGAAAGAUGGAUCUUGGCGCAUGUGUGUCGAUUGUCGUGCCAUUAAUGCUAUAACUGUACGAUAUCGCCAUCCCAUUCCUAGGCUUGAUGACAUGUUAGAUGAAUUGAGCGGCUCAACUAUUUUCACCAAGAUUGAUUUACGCAGUGGCUAUCACCAAAUUCGCAUGAAAAUUGGUGAUGAAUGGAAGACAGCAUUUACAACCAAAUUUGGCUUGUAUGAAUGGCUUGUGAUGCCCUUUGGCUUGACAAAUGUUCCUUCAACUUUUAUGCGCUUAAUGAAUCAUGUUUUACGAGCUUUCAUUGGCAAGUUUGUAGUUGUUUAUUUUGAUGAUAUUCUGAUCUAUAGCAAAUCAUUUGAUGAACAUCUUGAUCAUAUCCAUCAAGUACUUGCUGUUUUGAGGGAAGAGAAAUUGUAUGCCAACAUUGCUAAGUGCACAUUUUGCACAGAUCGUGUUGUUUUUCUUGGUUUUGUUGUGACUGCAGAUGGCAUCCAGGUUGAUGAAGAGAAGGUUAAGGCAAUAAAGGAUUGGCCUACUCCUACAAAUGUGAGCCAAAUUUGAAGUUUCCAUGGUCUUGCAGGUUUCUAUCGACGAUUUGUUAAAGAUUUCAGCACGAUCGCUGCACCACUUAACAACUUGACAAAGAAGGAUGUUCCAUUCAAAUGGGGAGAUGACCAAGAGCAAGCCUUUGUAGAGUUAAAAAGAAAGCUUUGUGAAGCACCACUGCUGCAGCUACCUAACUUCGGUAAGACUUUUGAGAUUGAAUGUGAUGCAAGUGGUAUUGGCAUUGGAGGUGUGCUACUUCAAGAAGGUAAACCUAUUGCCUACUUUUCUGAAAAGUUAAAUGGUCCACAUCUGAAUUAUUCUGUCUAUGAUAAAGAGCUUUAUGCCUUAGUUCGAGUUUUGGAAGUUUGGCAACAUUAUUUGUUACCUAAAGAAUUUGUCAUCCAUUCUGAUCAUGAAGCUUUGAAAUAUUUAAAAAGUCAAGGCAAACUGAAUCGUAGACAUGCUAAAUGGAUCGAGUUCAUAGAAACAUUUCCGUAUGUUGUUAAACAUAAGCGUGGUAAAGAUAACAUUGUUGCAGAUGCUUUGUCAAGAAGGUGUGGUUUGGUUACACAAUUAGAUACAAAAGUGCUUGGUUUGGAAUCCAUUAAAACACUCUAUGCAACUGAUUCUGAUUUUAAAGAACCUUUCUCUCAUUGCAUUGCUGGAAAAGGCUGGGACAAGUAUUAUGUACAUGAUGAUUUUUUAUUUCGAACUAACAAACUAUGCAUUCCAGCCUGCUCGAUUCGUCAAGUUCUUUUACAGGAAGCACAUGCUGGUGGCUUAGCUGGUCAUUUUGGCAUCAAAAAGACAUUGGACAUGCUCUCUGAUCAUUUCUUUUGGCCACAUAUGCGACGUGAUGUUCAACGACAUGUCGAGCGCUGCAUAAUCUGCUCGAAAGCUAAGUCCCGCCUUAAUCCCCAUGGUCUCUAUACUCCAUUACCAAUCCCAACUGUACCUUCGGAAGAUAUAUCCAUGGAUUUUAUUCUGGGAUUACCAAGGUCUCAGAGGGGGAGGGACUCUAUCUUCGUUAUUGUUGAUCGCUUCUCAAAAAUGGCACAUUUUAUUCCAUGUCACAAGAGCGAUGAUGCUUCACACGUUGCUGAUUUGUUUUUCAGGGAGAUUGUUCGUUUACAUGGAGUGCCAAAGACUAUUGUUUCAGACCGAGAUACAAAAUUCCUGAGCUAUUUUUGGAAGACAUUAUGGGCUAAACUUGGCACGAAGUUGUUAUUUUCCACCACUUGUCACCCACAAACGGAUGGGCAAACUGAAUUUGUCAACCGUACCCUGUCCACCAUGCUGCGUGCCGUGCUAAAAAAGAAUUUGAAGCAGUGGGAAGAAUGUCUUCCACAUGUCGAAUUUGCUUAUAAUAGGGCACUACAUUCCACAACAAAUUUUUGUCCAUUUGAAAUUGUUUAUGGUUUUAAGCCACAUACUCCCAUGGAUCUUUUGCCUUUACCAUUACAGGAACAAGUUAACUUGGAUGCAGCGAAGAGAUCCAACUUUAUCAAGAAGCUACAUGAUGAGACAAGAAGAAAUAUUGAGAAGAAAUCAGCACAAUAUGCAAAGCAAGCGAACAAAGGUAAGAAGAAGGUUACAUUUCAGCCCGGUGACCUCGUGUGGUUGCAUCUACGCAAGGAUCGAUUUCCCCAACAACGUAAGAGUAAGUUAUCACCUAGAGGUGAUGGUCCAUUCAAGGUUCUAAAAAAGAUAAAUGAUAAUGCAUACAAAAUUGAGCUGCCACCUGAAUAUUCCAAUGUUAGUCCAACAUUCAAUGUCAAAGACUUGCUUCCAUUUGUUGGUGAGCCUGAGUCGAGGACGACUCCUUCUCAAGAGGGGGAGGCUGAUGAGGACAUCCCUAGCAUUCAUUCAUCUUCAAAUGAAACUCCACUUGAUAUAAGUGGUCCAAUUACAAGAAGUAGAGCUAAACAAUUGGAGAAGGAAAUUCAUUCUCAGGUGAACGCUAACCUUAUGUUUAAUAAUCAGUUUAUGUUGAAUGAUCCUAUACUUUUGAGUUCUUGUUUCAAUGUCCUUAGGAAUGAUGGAGGGUAUGAACCAGCAUGGGAUGAAGAUGGAUUCAAGCCUUUGGACAUCUGAACCAAGAAGCCUAUCGUGUGCAUAAAUAAAAUGGUGGUUCAUUACUUCUGCAUGAGAAGGCAACCAGAAGCUAGAUGGCUGACCCAUGGUACAAAUUCCAAGCAUCACCACGGACAGAAUACAAGGAGUUACGUGGCAUUCUACAGAUGGAUGAAACCAUCUUUAAGUCUAUGUUGCAGCCCAUCAAACGGUUCAUUAUUUAGACUUCCCAAUAAAGAGUUAUGCUCAUUUUAGUAACUGCUGCCAGAAGCUGAGAAGACGCGCGAACCAGCCACGAAAUCCACUAGUGGAUGUGCAUGCUGUCAUGUAUUCAAAGCUGAACGCCCCUAUCUAUAUAUAUCUCUUGUACUAGACAAUGAAAGGACACAUCUUGCUUGGUUAAAAUUCAGAAUACACAAACUCGUGGAGUUUUGUUUAUGCGUGAGUCUUGAGAGGCUUGCAAAACUUGUUCUUUCGAUUCCUGAGGGAGUUGUAGAACGCCGAACUGCGGUUCAUCCAGUUUGUGCCUUCACGUCUAUACGGCGUGAUUGCGUGGGCUGUUCGUCGGUACGUGGAAGGGUGAUUGUCUCGGUAGUUCGUCGCGUGGACAGCCUCGCGGUGCACUGCCUCUUCACCAGGUCACGCAGCGACAAGUUAUCAAGUUCGCGAAUCCUACGAGAAGAUCGGGCCACAACGACUUGUCUCACGCUAUCCCUAGGCGUGAGCAUAUCAUUUGGUCUGUUUGGAGAUAGUGCUAAUCUUGAUGCAAGAUAGAUACACGGUUUGCAUGGAACAUAUGAUAUGCUCAGAAAUCAAUUAGGACGCACCUGAUAUAACUCCUUGAUGAUGUGUGUCAUAUGGAAUAUUGCUUCGGUUCGUUUAGAGACAGUUUUAGUUUUGGUAGAAGAUAUGUGCAUGGUUUACGCCUAAUGAACCAUAGGCUAAGAAACCAUUUUAGACGCACUCGAUGGUAGUCGUAGUUGAAGAGCCUCAAGUGGAGGCUCGAUUUGGUCUGUUCGGCUAUAGUGCUAAUCUUGAUGCAAGAUAGUUGCACAGUUUGCAUGGAACGUACCAUAUGUUAAGAAAUCAAUUUGGACGCACCCAAUGGAACUCCUAGAUGACGUGUGUCAUAUUGAAUCUCGCUUUGGUCCAUUUGGAGACAAUGUUAGUUUCGGUUCAAGAUAGGUGUAUAGUUUGUGCCUAAUGCAAAAUAGUCUAAGAAACCAUUUUGGACGCACUAUUUGGUACUCCUGGGUGAUGAGGCUCAAGUGGAAGCUCGGUUCGGUCUGUUUGGAGAUAGUGCUAAUCUUAAUGCAAGAUAGGUGCACGGUUUGCAUGGAACAUACCAUAUGCUUGGAAAUCAAUUUGGAUGCAACCGAUGGAACUCCUUGAUGACGUGUGUCAGAUGGAAUCUCACUUUGGUCUGUUUAGAAACAGUGUUAGUUUGGGUGCAAGAUAUGUGCAUGGUUUGCGCCUAUUGCACCAUAGUCUAAGAAACCAUUUUGGAAGCACCUGUUGGUACUUCGGUGAAGAGGCUCAAGUGGAAGCUCGAUUUGAUCUGUUUGGAGAUACUGCUUGUCUUGAUGCAAUAUAGGUGCAUGAUUUGCAAUGAACAUACCAUAUGUUUAGAAAUCAAUUUGGACACACCAGAUGAAACUCCUAGAUGGGUGUCAUAUGGAAUCUCACUUCCGUCCGUUUAGAUACAGUGUUAGUUUUGGUGCAAGAUAGGUGCACGGUUUGCACCUAAUGCACCAUAGGAUAAGAAACCAUUUUGGACGCACCCGAUGGUACUCCUAGGUCAAGGGGCUCAAGUGACAGCUCGGUUUGGUCUGUUUGGAGAUAGUCCUAAUCUUGAUGCAAGAUAGAUGCACGGUUUGCAUGGAACAUAUGAUAUGCUCAGAAAUCAAUUAGGACGCACCUGAUAUAAGUCCUUGAUGACGUGUGUCAUAUGGAAUCUUGCUUCGGUUCGUUUAGAGACCGUGUUAGUUUUGGUAAAAGAUAUGUGCACGGUUUAGGCCUAAUGCACCAUAGGUUAAGAAACCAUUUCAGACGCACCCGAUGGUACUCGUAGUUGAAGAGGCUCAAGUGGAGGCUCGAUUUGGUCUGUUCAGAUAUAGUGCUAAUCUUGAUGCAAGAUAGUUGCACAGUUUGAUGGAACAUACCAUAUGUUAAGAAAUCAAUUUGAACACACCCAAUGGAACUCCUAGAUGACGUGUGUCAUAUGGAAUCUCGCUUUGGUCCAUUUGGAGACAAUGUUAGUUUCGGUACAAGAUAGGUGCAUCGUUUGUGCCUAAUGCACCAUAGUCUAAGAAACCAUUUUUGAUGCACCUGUUUGUACUUCUAGAUGAAGAGGCUCAAGUGGAAGCUCGGUUUGGUCUGUUUGGAGUAGUGCUAAUCUUGAUGCAAGAUAGGUGCACGGUUUGCACGGAACAUACCAUUUGCUUGGAAAUCAAUUUGGAUGCACCCGAUGGAACUCCUUGAUGACGUGUGUCUUAUGGAAUCUCGCUUUGGUCUGUUUAGAAAUAGUGUUAGUUUCAAUGCAAGAUAUCGGCAUGGUUUGCACCUAAUGCACCAUUGUCUAAGAAACCAUUUUGGAAGCACCUGUUGGUACUUCGGUGAAGAGGCACAAGUGGAAUCUCAGUUUGAUCUGUUUGGAUAUAGUGCUAAUCUUGAUGCAAGAUAGGUGCAUGAUUUGCAAGGAACAUACCAUAUGCUUAGAAAUCAAUUGGGAUGCACCCAAUGGAACUCCUAGAUGACGUGUGUCAUAUGGAAUCUUGCUUCGGUCCAUUUGUAGACAUUGUAAGUUUUAGUGCAAGAUAGGUGCGCAGUUUGCGCCUAAUGCACCGUAGUGUAAGAAACCAUUUUGGAUGCACUAUUUGGUACUAUUAGGUGAAGAGGCUCAAGUGGAAGCUUGGUUCGGUCAGUUUCGAGAUAAUGCUAAUCCUUAUGCAAGGUAGGUGCAUGGUUUGCAUGGAACAUACCAUAUGCUUGGAAAUCAAUUUGGAUGCAACCGAUGGAACUCCUUGAUGACGUGUGUCAGAUGGAAUCUCACUUUGGUCUGUUUAGAAACAGUGUUAGUUUGGGUGCAAGAUAUGUGCAUGGUUUGCGCCUAUUGCACCAUAGUCUAAGAAACCAUUUUGGAAGCACCUGUUGGUACUUCGGUGAAGAGGCUUAAGUGGAAGCUUGGUUUGUUCUGUUUGGAGAUAGUGCUAAUGUUGAUGCAACAUAGGUGUAUGAUUGCUAGGGACAUACCAUGUUCUUAGAAAUCAAUUUGGACGCACCUAAUGGAACUCCUAGAUGACGUGUGUCAUAUGGAAUCUCACUUCGGUCUAAUUGGAGACAAUGUUAGUUUCGGUGCAAGAUAGGUGCAUAGAUUGUGCAUAAUGCACCAUAGUCUAAGAAACCAUUUUUGGCACACCUGUUUGUACUCCUAGAUGAAGAGGCUCAAGUGGAAGCUCGGUUCGGUCUGUUUGGAGAUAGUGCUAAUCUUGAUGCAAGAUAGGUGCACGGUUUGCAUGGAACAUACCAUAUGCUUGGAAAUCAAUUUGGAUGCACCCAAUGGAACUCCUUGAUGACGUGUGUCUUAUGGAAUCUCGCUUUGGUCUGUUUACAAAUAGUGUUAGUUUCAAUGCAAGAUAUGGGCAUGGUUUGCGCCUAAUGCACCAUAGUCUAAGAAACCAUUUUGGAAGCACCUGUUGGUACUUCGGUGAAGAGGCACAAAUGGAAUCUCAGUUUGAUCUGUUUAGAUAUAGUGCUAAUCUUGAUGCAAGAUAGGUGCAUGAUUUGCAAGGAACAUACCAUAUGCUUAGAAAUCAAUUUGGACGCACCCAAUGGAACUCCUAGAUGACGUGUGUCAUAUGGAAUCUUGCUUCGGUCCAUUUGUAGACAUUGUAAGUUUUAGUGCAAGAUAGGUGCACAGUUUGCGCCUAAUGCACCGUAGUCUAAGAAACCAUUUUGGAUGCACUAUUUGGUACUCUUAGGUGAAGAGGCUCAAGUGAAAGCUUGGUUCGGUCAGUUUUGAGAUAAUGCUAAUCCUUAUGCAAGGUAGGUGCUUGGUUUGCAUGGAACAUACCAUAUGCUUGGAAAUCAAUUUGGAUGCACCCGAUGGAACUCCUUGAUGACGUGUGUCAGAUGGAAUCUCACUUGGGUCUGUUUAGAAACAGUGAUAGUUUGGGUGCAAGAUAUGUGCAUGGUUUGCGCCUAUUGCACCAUAGUCUAAGAAACCAUUUUGGAAGCACCUGUUGGUACUUCGGUGAAGAGGCUCAUGUGGAAGCUCGGUUUGUUCUGUUUGGAGAUAAUGCUAAUCUUGAUGCAACAUAGGUGUAUGAUUGCAAGGGACAUACCAUAUUCUUAGAAAUCAAUUUGGACGCACCUAAUGGAACUCCUAGAUGACGUGUGUCAUAUGGAAUCUCACUUCGGUCUAAUUGGAGACAAUGUUAGUUUCGGUGCAAGAUAGGUGCAUAGAUUGUGCCUAAUGCACCAUAGUCUAAGAAACCAUUUUUGGCACACCUGUUUGUACUCCUAGAUGAAGAGGCUCAAGUGGAAGCUCGGUUCGGUCUGUUUGGAGAUAGUGCUAAUCUUGAUGCAAGAUAGGUGCACGGUUUGCAUGGAACAUACCAUAUGCUUGGAAAUCAAUUUGGAUGCACCCGAUGGAACUCCUUGAUGACAUGUGUCAUAUGGAAUCUCGCUUCGUUCCAUUUGGAGACAUUGUUAGUUUCAGUGCAAGAUAGGUGCACAGUUUGCACCUAAUGCACCAAAGUCUACGAAACCAUUUUGGACACACUUGUUGGUACUCCUAUGUGAAGGGGCUCAAGUGAAUGCUCGGUUCGGUCUGUUUGGAGAUAGUGCUAAUCUUGAUGCAAGGUAGGUGCACGGUUUGCAUGGAACAUACCAAAUGCUUGAAAAUCAAUUUGGACGCACAUGAUGGAACUCCUAGAUGACGUGUGUCAUAUGGAAUCUCGCUUUGGUGUGCUUAGAGACAGUAUUAGUUUUGGUGCAAGAUAUGUGCACGGUUUGCGCCUAAUGCACCAAAGUCUAAGAAACCAUUUUGGAAGCACCUGUUGGCACUCCUAGGUGAAGAGGCUCAAGUGGAGGUUCAGUUUGGUCUGUUUAGAGAUAGUCCUAAUCUUGAUGCUAGAUAGGUGCACAAUUUGCAUGGAACAUACCAUAUGUUCAGAAAUCAAUUUGGACACACCAAAUGGAACUCCUAGAUGACAUGUGUCAUAUGGAAUCUCACUUCAGUCCGUUUAGAGACAACGUUAGUUUCGGUGCAAGAUAGGUGCACGGUUUGCACCUAAUGCACUAGGAUAAGAAACUAUUUUGGACGCACCCGAUGGUACUCCUAGGUCAAGGGGCUCAAGUGAAAGCUCCGUUUCGUCCGUUUGGAGAUAGUGCUAAUCUUGAUGCAAGAUAGAUGCACAGUUUACAUGGAACAUAUGAUAUGCUUAGAAAUCAAUUAGGACGCACCUGAUAUAACUCCUUGAUGAUGUGUGUCAUAUGGAAUCUUGCUUCGGUUCGUUUAGAGAUAGUGUUAGUUUUGGUAGAAGAUAUGUGCACAGUUUACGCCUAAUGCACCAUAGGCUAAGAAACCAUUUUAGACGCACCCGAUGGUACUUGUAGUUGAAGAGGCUCAAGUGGAGGCUCGAUUUGGUCUGUUCGGAUAUAGUGCUAAUCUUGAUGCAAGAUAGUUACACAGUUUGCAUGCAACGUACCAUAUGUUAAGAAAUCAAUUUGGACGCACCCAAUGGAACUCCUAGAUGACGUGUGUCAUAUGGAAUCUCGCUGCGGUCUAUUUGGUGACAAUGUUAGUUUCAGUGCAAGAUAGGUGCAUAGUUUGUGCCUAACGCACCAUAGUCGAAGAAAUCAUUUUUGAUGCACCUGUUUGUACUCCUAGAUGAAGAGGCUCAAGUGGAAGCUCGGUUCGGUCUGUUUGGAGAUAGUGCUAAUCUUCAUGCAAGAUAGGUGCACAGUUUGCAUGGAACAUACCAUAUGCUUGGAAAUCAAUUUGGAUGCACUCGAUGGAACUCCUUGAUGACGUGUGUCAUAUGGAAUCUCGCUUUGGUCUGUUUAGAAACAGUGUUAGUUUUGGUGCAAGAUAUGUGCAUGGUUUGCGCCUAAUGCACCAUAGUCUAAGAAACCAUUUUGGAAGCACCUGUUGGAACUUCGGUGAAGACGCUCAAGUGGAAGCUCGGUUUGAUCUAUUUGGAGAUACUGCUUGUCUUGAUGCAAUAUAGGUGCAUGAUUUGCAAUGAACAUACCAUAUGUUUAGAAAUCAAUUUGGACGCACCCAAUGGAACUCCAAGAUGACGUGUGUCAUAUCGAAUCUUGGUUCGGUCCAUUUGUAGACAUUGUAAGUUUUAGUGCAAGAUAGGUGCACAGUUUGCGCCUAAUGCACCGUAGUCUAAGAAACAAUUUUGGACGCACUAUUUGGUACUUCUUUGUGAAGAGACUCAAGUGGAAGCUUGGUUCGGUCAGUUUGGAGAUAGUGCUAAUCCUUAUGCAAGGUAGGUGCAUGGUUUGCUUGGAACAUACCAUAUGGUUGGAAAUCAAUUUGGAUGCACCCGAUGGAACUCCUUAAUGACGUGUGUCAUAUGGAAUCUCAUUUCGGUCCAUUUGGAGACAUUGUUAGUUUCGGUGCAAGAUAGGCGCACAGUUUGCACCUAAUGCACCAUAGUCUAAGAAACCAUUUUGGACGCACUUGUUGGUACUCCUAGGUCAAGGGGCUCAAGUGGAUGCUCGGUUUGGUCUGUUUGGAGAUAGUGCUAAUCUUGAUGCAAGAUAGGUGCACGGUUUGUAUGGAACAUACCAACUACUUGAAAAUCAAUCUGGACGCACAUGAUGGAACUCCUAAAUGACGUGUGUCAUACAAAAUCUUGCUUCGGUUUGUUUGGAGACAAUGUUAGUUUCGGUGCAAGAUAGGUGCAAGGUUUGCACAUAAUGCAGCCUAGGCUAAGAAACCAUUUUGGACGCACCCGAUGGUACUCCUAGGUAAAAGGCUCAAGUGAAAGCUCGGUUCGGCCUGUUUAGAGAUAGUGCUAAUCUUGAUACAAGAUAGGUGCACGAUUUGCAUGGAACAUACCAUAUGCUCAGAAAUCAAUUUGGACACACCAGAUGAAACUCCUAGAUGGGUGUCAUAUGGAAUCUCACUUCCGUCCGUUUAGAUACAGUGUUAGUUUUGGUGCAAGAUAGGUGCACGGUUUGCACCUAAUACACCAUAGGAUAAGAAACCAUUUUGGACGCACCCGAUGGUACUCCUAGGUCAAGGGGCUCAAGUGACACCUCGGUUUGGUCUGUUUGGAGAUAGUCCUAAUCUUGAUGCAAGAUAGAUGCACGGUUUGCAUGGAACAUAUGAUAUGCUCAGAAAUCAAUUAGGAGACAAUGUUAGUUUCGGUACAAGAUAGGUGCAUCGUUUGUGCCUAAUGCACCAAAGUCUAAGAAACCAUUUUGGAAGCACCAGUUGGUACUCCUAGGUGAAGAGGCUCAAGUGUAUGCUCGGUUUGGUCUGUUCAGAGAUAGUUCUAAUCUUGAUGCAAGAUAGGUGCACGAUUUGCAUGGAACAUGCCAUAUGUUCAGAAAUCAAUUUGGACACACCAGAUGGAACUCCUAGAUGACAUGUGUCAUAUGGAAUCUCACUACAGUCCGUUUAGAGACAACGUUAGUUUCGGUGCAAGAUAGGUGCACGGUUUGCACCUAAUGCACCAUAGGAUAAGAAACCAUUUUGGACGCACCCGAUGGUACUCCUAGGUCAAGGGGCUCAAGUGAAAGCUCUGUUUCGUCUGUUUGGAGAUAGUGCUAAUUUUGACCAUUUUAGACGCACUAUUUGGUACUCCUGGGUGAAGAUGCUCAAGUGGAAGCUUGGUUCGGUCAGUUUGGAGAUAGUGCUAAUCCUUAUGCAAGGUAGGUGCAUGGUUUGCAUGGAACAUACCAUUUGCUUGGAAAAUCAAUUUGGAUUCACCCGAUGGAACUCCUUGAUGACGUGUGUCAUAUAUAAUCUCGCUUCGGUCCAUUUGGAGACAUUGUUAGUUUCGGUGCAAGAUAGGUGCACAGUUCGCACCGAAUGCACCAUAGUCUAAGAAACCAUUUUGGACGCACUUGUUGGUACUCCUAGGUGAAGGGGCUCAAGUGGAUGCUCGGUUCGGUCUGUUUGGAGAUAGUGCUGAUCUUGAUGCAAGAUAGGUGCACGGUUUGCAUGGAACAUACCAAAUACUUGGAAAUCAACUUGGACGCACAUGAUGGAACUCCUAGAUGACGUGUGUCAUACGAAAUCUUGCUUCGGUCUGUUUGGAGACAGUGUUAGUAUCGGUGCAAGAUAGGUGCAAGGUUUGCACAUAAUGCAGCCUAGGAUAAGAAACCAUAUUGAACGCACCCGAUGGUACUCUUAGGUAAAAGGCUCAAGUGAAAGCUCGGUUCGGUCUGUUUAGAGAUAGUGCUAAUCUUGAUACAGGAUAGGUGUAUGAUUUGCAUGGAACAUACCAUAUGCUCGGAAAUCAAUUUGGAUGCACCCGAUGGAACUCCUUGAUGACGUGUGUCUUAUGGAAUCUCGCUUUGGUCUGUUUAGAAAUAGUGUUAGUUUCAAUGCAAGAUAUGGGCAUGGUUUGCACCUAAUGCACCAUUGUCUAAGAAACCAUUUUGGAAGCACCUGUUGGUACUUCGGUGAAGAGGCACAAGUGGAAUCUCAGUUUGAUCUGUUUGGAUAUAGUGCUAAUCUUGAUGCAAGAUAGGUGCAUGAUUUGCAAGGAACAUACCAUAUGCUUAGAAAUCAAUUUGGAAGCACCCAAUGGAACUCCUAGAUGACGUGUGUCAUAUGGAAUCUUGCUUCGGUCUAUUUGUAGACAUUGUAAGUUUUAGUGCAAGAUAGGUGCGCAGUUUGCGCCUAAUGCACCGUAGUGUAAGAAACCAUUUUGGAUGCACUAUUUGGUACUAUUAGGUGAAGAGGCUCAAGUGGAAGCUUGGUUCGGUCAGUUUCGAGAUAAUGCUAAUCCUUAUGCAAGGUAGGUGCAUGGUUUGCAUGGAACAUACCAUAUGCUUGGAAAUCAAUUUGGAUGCAACCGAUGGAACUCCUUGAUGACGUGUGUCAGAUGGAAUCUCACUUUGGUCUGUUUAGAAACAGUGUUAGUUUGGGUGCAAGAUAUGUGCAUGGUUUGCGCCUAUUGCACCAUAGUCUAAGAAACCAUUUUGGAAGCACCUGUUGGUACUUCGGUGAAGAGGCUUAAGUGGAAGCUUGGUUUGUUCUGUUUGGAGAUAGUGCUAAUCUUGAUGCAACAUAGGUGUAUGAUUGCAAGGGACAUACCAUAUUCUUAGAAAUCAAUUUGGACGCACCUAAUGGAACUCCUAGAUGACGUGUGUCAUAUGGAAUCUCACUUCGGUCUAAUUGGAGACAAUGUUAGUUUCGGUGCAAGAUAGGUGCAUAGAUUGUGCAUAAUGCACCAUAGUCUAAGAAACCAUUUUUGGCACACCUGUUUGUACUCCUAGAUGAAGAGGCUCAAGUGGAAGCUCGGUUCGGUCUGUUUGGAGAUAGUGCUAAUCUUGAUGCAAGAUAGGUGCACGGUUUGCAUGGAACAUACCAUAUGCUUGGAAAUCAAUUUGGAUGCACCCGAUGGAACUCCUUGAUGACAUGUGUCAUAUGGAAUCUCGCUUCGUUCCAUUUGGAGACAUUGUUAGUUUCAGUGCAAGAUAGGUGCACAGUUUGCACCUAAUGCACCAAAGUCUAAGAAACCAUUUUGGACGCACUUGUUGGUACUCCUAUGUGAAGGGGCUCAAGUGGAUGCUCGGUUCGGUCUGUUUGGAGAUAGUGCUAAUCUUGAUGCAAGGUAGGUGCACGGUUUGCAUGGAACAUACCAAAUGCUUGAAAAUCAAUUUGGACGCACAUGAUGGAACUCCUAGAUGACGUGUGUCAUAUGGAAUCUCGCUUUGGUGUGCUUAGAGACAGUAUUAGUUUUGGUGCAAGAUAUGUGCACGGUUUGCGCCUAAUGCACCAAAGUCUAAGAAACCAUUUUGGAAGCACCUGUUGGCACUCCUAGGUGAAGAGGCUCAAGUGGAGGUUCGGUUUGGUCUGUUUAGAGAUAGUCCUAAUCUUGAUGCUAGAUAGGUGCACAAUUUGCAUGGAACAUACCAUAUGUUCAGAAAUCAAUUUGGACACACCAGAUGGAACUCCUAGAUGACAUGUGUCAUAUGGAAUCUCACUUCAGUCCGUUUAGAGACAACGUUAGUUUCGGUGCAAGAUAGGUGCACGGUUUGCACCUAAUGCACUAGGAUAAGAAACUAUUUUGGACGCACCCGAUGGUACUCCUAGGUCAAGGGGCUCAAGUGAAAGCUCCGUUUCGUCCGUUUGGAGAUAGUGCUAAUCUUGAUGCAAGAUAGAUGCACAGUUUACAUGGAACAUGUGAUAUGCUUAGAAAUCAAUUAGGACGCACCUGAUAUAACUCCUUGAUGAUGUGUGUCAUAUGGAAUCUUGCUUCGGUUCGUUUAGAGAUAGUGUUAGUUUUGGUAGAAGAUAUGUGCACAGUUUACGCCUAAUGCACCAUAGGCUAAGAAACCAUUUUAGACGCACCCGAUGGUACUUGUAGUUGAAGAGGCUCAAGUGGAGGCUCGAUUUGGUCUGUUCGGAUAUAGUGCUAAUCUUGAUGCAAGAUAGUUACACAGUUUGCAUGCAACGUACCAUAUGUUAAGAAAUCAAUUUGGACGCACCCAAUGGAACUCCUAGAUGACGUGUGUCAUAUGGAAUCUCGCUGCGGUCUAUUUGGUGACAAUGUUAGUUUCAGUGCAAGAUAGGUGCAUAGUUUGUGCCUAACGCACUAUAGUCGAAGAAAUCAUUUUUGAUGCACCUGUUUGUACUCCUAGAUGAAGAGGCUCAAGUGGAAGCUCGGUUCGGUCUGUUUGGAGAUAGUGCUAAUCUUCAUGCAAGAUAGGUGCACAGUUUGCAUGGAACAUACCAUAUGCUUGGAUAUCAAUUUGGAUGCACUCGAUGGAACUCCUUGAUGACGUGUGUCAUAUGGAAUCUCGCUUUGGUCUGUUUAGAAACAGUGUUAGUUUUAGCGCAAGAUAUGUGCAUGGUUUGCGCCUAAUGCACCAUAGUCUAAGAAACCAUUUUGGAAGCACCUGUUGGAACUUCGGUGAAGAGGCUCAAGUGGAAGCUCGGUUUGAUCUGUUUGGAGAUGGUGCAAGGAAUAUACCAUAUGCUUAGAAAUCAAUUUGGACGCACCCAAUGGAACUCCUAGAUGAUGUGUGUCAUAUGGAAUCUUGCUUCGGUCCGUUUGUAGACAUUGUAAGUUUUAGUGCAGGAUAGGUGCACAGUCUGCGCCUAAUGCACCAUAGUCUAAGAAACCAUUUUAGACGCACUAUUUGGUACUCCUGGGUGAAGAUGCUCAAGUGGAAGCUUGGUUCGGUCAGUUUGAACAUAGUGCUAAUCCUUAUGCAAGGUAGGUGCAUGGUUUGCAUGGAACAUACCAUAUGCUUGGAAAUCAGUUUGGAUGCAGCCGAUGGAACUCCUUUGAUGACGUGUGUCAUAUGGAAUCUCACUUCGGUCCAUUUGGAGACAUUGUUAGUUUCGAUGCAAGAUAGGUGCACAGUUUGCACCUAAUGCACCAUAGACUAAGAAACUAUUUUGGACGCACUUGUUGGUACUCCUAGGUGAAGGGGCUCAAGUGGAUGCUCGGUUUGGUCUAUUUGGAGAAAGCACUAAUCUUAAUGCAAGAUUGGUGCACGGUUUGCAUGGAACAUACCAAAUGCUUGGAACUCCUUUGAUGACGUGUGUCAUAUGGAAUCUCGCUUCGGUCAAUUUGGAGACAUUGUUAGUUUCGGUGCAAGAUAGGUGCAUAGUUUGCACCGAAUGCACCAUAGUCUAAGAAACCAUUUUGGACGCACUUGUUGGUACUCCUUGGUGAAGGGGCUCAAGUGGAUGCUCGGUUCGGUCUGUUUGGAGAUAGUGCUAAUCUUGAUGCAAGAUAGGCGCACGGUUUGCAUGGAACAUACCAAAUACUUGGAAAUCAAUCUGGACGCACAUGAUGGAACACGUAGAUGACGUGUGUCAUACGAAAUCUUGCUUCGGUCUGUUUGGAGAUAGUGUUAGUUUCGGUGCAAGAUAGGUGCAAGGUUUACACAUAAUGCAGCCUAGGAUAAGAAACCAUUUUGAACGCACUCGAUGGUACUCUUAGGUAAAAGGCUCAAGUGAAAGCUCGGUUCGGUCUGUUUAGAGAUAGUGCUAAUCUUGAUACAGGAUAGGUGCACGAUUUGCAUGGAACAUACCAUAUGCUCGGAAAUAAAUUUGGACGCACCAGAUGGAACUCCUAGAUGGGUGUCAUGUGGAAUCUCACUUCCGUCCGUUUAGAGACAGUGUUAAUUUUGGUGCAAGAUAGGUGCACGGUUUGCACCUAAUGCACCAUAGGAUAAGAAACUAUUUUGGACGCACCCGAUGGUACUCCUAGGUCAAGGGGCUCAAGUGAAAGCUCCGUUUCGUCCGUUUGGAGAUAGUGCUAAUCUUGAUGCAAGAUAGAUGCACAGUUUACAUGGAACAUAUGAUAUGCUUAGAAAUCAAUUAGGACGCACCUGAUAUAACUCCUUGAUGAUGUGUGUCAUAUGGAAUCUUGCUUCGGUUCGUUUAGAGAUAGUGUUAGUUUUGGUAGAAGAUAUGUGCACAGUUUACGCCUAAUGCACCAUAGGCUAAGAAACCAUUUUAGACGCACCCGAUGGUACUUGUAGUUGAAGAGGCUCAAGUGGAGGCUCGAUUUGGUCUGUUCGGAUAUAGUGCUAAUCUUGAUGCAAGAUAGUUACACAGUUUGCAUGCAACGUACCAUAUGUUAAGAAAUCAAUUUGGACGCACCCAAUGGAACUCCUAGAUGACGUGUGUCAUAUGGAAUCUCGCUGCGGUCUAUUUGGUGACAAUGUUAGUUUCAGUGCAAGAUAGGUGCAUAGUUUGUGCCUAACGCACCAUAGUCGAAGAAAUCAUUUUUGAUGCACCUGUUUGUACUCCUAGAUGAAGAGGCUCAAGUGGAAGCUCGGUUCGGUCUGUUUGGAGAUAGUGCUAAUCUUCAUGCAAGAUAGGUGCACAGUUUGCAUGGAACAUACCAUAUGCUUGGAAAUCAAUUUGGAUGCACUCGAUGGAACUCCUUGAUGACGUGUGUCAUAUGGAAUCUCGCUUUGGUCUGUUUAGAAACAGUGUUAGUUUUGGUGCAAGAUAUGUGCAUGGUUUGCGCCUAAUGCACCAUAGUCUAAGAAACCAUUUUGGAAGCACCUGUUGGAACUUCGGUGAAGACGCUCAAGUGGAAGCUCGGUUUGAUCUGUUUGGAGAUGGUGCAAGGAAUAUACCAUAUGCUUAGAAAUCAAUUUGGACGCACCCAAUGGAACUCCUAGAUGAUGUGUGUCAUAUGGAAUCUUGCUUCGGUCCGUUUGUAGACAUUGUAAGUUUUAGUGCAGGAUAGGUGCACAGUCUGCGCCUAAUGCACCAUAGUCUAAGAAACCAUUUUAGACGCACUAUUUGGUACUCCUGGGUGAAGAUGCUCAAGUGGAAGCUUGGUUCGGUCAGUUUGAACAUAGUGCUAAUCCUUAUGCAAGGUAGGUGCAUGGUUUGCAUGGAACAUACCAUAUGCUUGGAAAUCAGUUUGGAUGCAGCCGAUGGAACUCCUUUGAUGACGUGUGUCAUAUGGAAUCUCACUUCGGUCCAUUUGGAGACAUUGUUAGUUUCGAUGCAAGAUAGGUGCACAGUUUGCACCUAAUGCACCAUAGACUAAGAAACUAUUUUGGACGCACUUGUUGGUACUCCUAGGUGAAGGGGCUCAAGUGGAUGCUCGGUUUGGUCUAUUUGGAGAAAGCACUAAUCUUAAUGCAAGAUUGGUGCACGGUUUGCAUGGAACAUACCAAAUGCUUGGAACUCCUUUGAUGACGUGUGUCAUAUGGAAUCUCGCUUCGGUCAAUUUGGAGACAUUGUUAGUUUCGGUGCAAGAUAGGUGCAUAGUUUGCACCGAAUGCACCAUAGUCUAAGAAACCAUUUUGGACGCACUUGUUGGUACUCCUUGGUGAAGGGGCUCAAGUGGAUGCUCGGUUCGGUCUGUUUGGAGAUAGUGCUAAUCUUGAUGCAAGAUAGGCGCACGGUUUGCAUGGAACAUACCAAAUACUUGGAAAUCAAUCUGGACGCACAUGAUGGAACACGUAGAUGACGUGUGUCAUACGAAAUCUUGCUUCGGUCUGUUUGGAGAUAGUGUUAGUUUCGGUGCAAGAUAGGUGCAAGGUUUACACAUAAUGCAGCCUAGGAUAAGAAACCAUUUUGAACGCACUCGAUGGUACUCUUAGGUAAAAGGCUCAAGUGAAAGCUCGGUUCGGUCUGUUUAGAGAUAGUCCUAAUCUUGAUACAGGAUAGGUGCACGAUUUGCAUGGAACAUACCAUAUGCUCGGAAAUAAAUUUGGACGCACCAGAUGGAACUCCUAGAUGGGUGUCAUGUGGAAUCUCACUUCCGUCCGUUUAGAGACAGUGUUAAUUUUGGUGCAAGAUAGGUGCACGGUUUGCACCUAAUGCACCAUAGCAUAAGAAACCAUUUUGGACGCACUCGAUGGAACUCCUAGGUCAAGGGGCUCAAGUGACAGCUCGGUUUGGUCUGUUUGGAGAUAGUGCUAAUCUUGAUGCAAGAUAGAUGCACGGUUUGCAUGGAACAUAUGAUAUGCUCAGAAAUCUAUUAGGACGCACCUGAUAUACCUCCUUGAUGAUGUGUGUCAUAUGGAAUCUUGCUUCGGUUCGUUUAGAGACAGUGUUAGUUUUGGUAGAAGAUAUGUGCACAGUUUACGCCUAAUGCACCAUAGGCUAAGAAACCAUUUUAGACGCACUCGAUGGUAGUCGUAGUUGAAGAACCUCAAGUGGAGGCUUGAUUUGGUCUGUUCGGCUAUAGUGCUAAUCUUGAUGCAAGAUAGUUGCACAGUUUGCAUUGGAACGUACCAUAUGUUAAGAAAUCAAUUUGGACACACCCAAUGGAACUCCUAGAUGACGUGUGUCAUAUGGAAUCUCGCUUUGGUCCAUUUGGAGGCAAUGUUAGUUUCGGUGCAAGAUAGGUGCAAAGUUUGUGCCUAAUGCACCAUAGUCUAAGAAACCAGUUUUGAUGCACCUAUUUGUACUUCUAGAUGAAGAGGCUCAAGUGGAAGCUCGGUUCGGUCUGUUUGGAGAUAGUGCUAAUCUUGAUGCAAGAUAGGUGCACGGUUUGCAUGGAACAUACCAUUUGCUUGGAAAUCAAUUUGGAUGCACACGGUGGAACUCCUUGAUGACGUGUGUCUUAUGGACUCUCGCUUUGGUCUGUUUACAAAAUAGUGUUAGUUUCAGUGCAAGAUAUGGGCAUGGUUUGCGCCUAACGCACCAUAGUCUAAGAAACCAUUCUGGAAGCACCUGUUGGUACUUCGGUGAAGAGGCUCAAGUGGAAGCUCGAUUUGAUCUGUUUGGAGAUAGUGCUAAUCUUGAUGCAAUAUAGGUGCUUGAUUUGCAAUGAACAUACCAAAUGUUUAGAAAUCAAUUUGGACGCACCCAAUGGGACUCCUAGAUGACAUGUGUCAUAUGGAAUCUUGGUUCGGUCCAUUUGUAGACCUUGUAAGUUUUAGUGCAAGAUAGGUGCAUAGUUUCCGCCUAAUGCACCGUAGUCUAAGAAACCAUUUUGGACGCACUAUUUGGUACUCCUUUAUGAAGAGACUCAAGUGGAAGCUUGGUUCGGUCAGUUUGGAGAUAGUGCUAAUCCUUAUGCAAGGUAGGUGCAUGGUUUGCAUGGAACAUACCAUAUGGUUGGAAAUCAAUUUGGAUGCACCCGAUGGAACUCCUUGAUGACGUUUGUCAAAUGGAAUCUCGCUUCGGUCCAUUUGGAGACAUUGUUAGUUUCGGUGCGAAAUAGGUGCACAGUUUGCACCUAAUGCACCAUAGUCUAAGAAACCAUUUUGGACGCACUUGUUGGUACUCCUAGGUGAAUGGGCUCAAGUGGAUGCUCGGUUCGGUCUGUUUGGAGAUAGUGCUAAUCUUGAUGCAAGAUAGGUGCACGGUUUGCAUGGAACAUACCAAAUACUUGAAAAUCAAUCUAGACGCGCAUGAUGGAACUCCUAGAUGACGUGUGUCAUACGAAAUCUUGCUUCGGACUGUUUGGAGACAAUGUUAGUUUCGGUGCAAGAUAGGUGCAAGGUUUGCACAUAUUGCAGCCUAGGCUAAGAAACCAUUUUGGACGCACCCGAUGGUACUCCUAGAUAAUAGGCUCAAGUGAAAGCUCGGUUCGGCCUGUUUAGAGAUAGUGCUAAUAUUGAUACAAGAUAGGUGCACGAUUUACAUGGAACAUACCAUAUGCUCAGAAAACAAUUUGGACACACCAGAUGGAACUCCUAGAUGGGUGUCAUAUGGAAUCUCACUUCCGUCCGUUUAGAUACACUGUUAGUUUUGGUGCAAGAUAGGUGCACGGUUUGCACCUAAUGCACCAUAGCAUAAGAAAUCAUCUUGGACGCACCCGAUGGUACUCCUAGGUCAAGGGGCUCAAGUGACAGCUCGGUUUGGUCUGUUUGGAGACAGUGCUAAUCUUGAUGCAAGAUAGAUGCACGGUUUGCAUGGAACAUAUGAUAUGCUCAGAAAUCAAUUAGGACGCACCUGAUAUAAGUCCUUGAUGAUGUGUGUCAUAUGGAAUCUUGCUUCGGUUCGUUUAGAGACCGUGUUAGUAUUGGUAGAAGAUAUGUGCACGGUUUAGGCAUAAUGCUCCAUAGGCUAAGAAACCAUUUUAGACGCACCCGAUGGUACUCGUAGUUGAAGAGGAUCAAGUGGAGGCUCGAUUUGGUCUGUUCGGAUAUAGUGCUAAUCUUGAUGCAAGAUAGUUGCACUGUUUGAUGGAACAUACCAUAUGUUAAGAAAUCAAUUUGAACGCACCCAAUGUGAUGAGGACAUCAACACCAUCGAUAUAUCCGCACCUACACCAGUUGGUCCUCUUACUCAUGCUCGUGCCCGUCAACUCAACCUUCAAGUAAGUUCAGUUUUAAACUCUUGUCAAUCAUAUUUAGACAAUGGAGACACGUGCACUUUCGUGUUGCUCAGGAAUAAUGGACAAGAUCAGCAAGGGAAGGUUUAACUGCAUUCGGAAUUUGAGGCAACACCAACUUCAUGGGCUGAUUGCAUAUAGGAAGAGUGAUAACUUAACAAAGGUGAUUGGAGAUCAGGUCCAGGCCUCCACAACAUCCUCUAUCAAGUUACCACGUCGCUUCUAAAGCAAGGAAACAAAGAGUCCAAACCCAACACGUUUUGGGAGUUGGAUUCGGACUGGAAAAUAACUCUAACUUGUAUGGAUCACCACGGCGUCAUAUGGACUCCAACUGGGACGUUCCUAUACUUGUUGGAAAGCUCAUGAAGUCUACUUUUUAAUGGGUCCAACCACAUAUCUAUGCAGCUUAUGAGUCGGGCACAGUUCUUGUUUUUGUGCCGAUACCUUUUUCUGUUUUGGUGCUGCGUCACCCUAUUUUGUAUCAAGUUGAGUCCAUUAGGGACGCGUCCUAGGGUUGGAGGACGACUCUAGCACCCCUUUGGUCGUCCUCUCUUCUAUUUAUUUACAUCUAGAGCUGAUGUGAACCCACUAGGGUUUUCGCCUGAUCUUUCGAUGAGAGGCGCUGGAUAACUCGAUUGGUGGAUGGAGAUGACGUUCACGGCCCGACUACAGCCCUCAAGACCGCGCCUUAGCAACCGAUACACCACGUCCAAUAGCCGUCACGAUCUUGUGGAGCGCGACAACCAGCCCCUAGGGCUACCGUCCUGCAAGCAAUCGAAGAACUAGCAAGAACGAGGAAACAAGCACUGAAUUUGCAAGAUGAAUUGAAGGUUUCAAACUGAAUCUUAAUCAACAAUGGGGUUCCGAAGACAAGGAGACGGGCGGCUGAUCCUGCACGCGCGCCUACAAGCAAGUAGCGAAGGCUAAACUUGAUCUAAACAAAACCCAGUUGUUCAUGGCGGCUCUAGAUGUAAAUAAAUAGAGGGGAGGAUGACCAAAGGGGUGCUAGAGUCGUCCUCCAACCCUAGGACGCGUCCCUAAUGGACUCAACUUGAUACAUGGGCCAUUGGUCCAAAAUAGGGUGACGCAGCACCAAAACAGAAAAAGGUGUCGGCACGAAAACAAGGACUGCGCCCGACUCAUAAGCCGCAUAGAUAUGUGGUUGGACCCAUUGGAAAGUAGACUUCAUGAGCUUUCCAACAAGUAUAGGAACGUCCCAGUUGGAGUCCAUAUGACGCCGUGGUGAUCCAUACAAGUUAUAGUUAUUUUCCAGUCCGAAUCCAACUCCCAAAACGUGUUGGGUUUGGACUCUUUGUUUCCUUGCUUUAGAAACGACGUGGUAACUUGACAGAGGAUGUUGUGGAGGCUUGGACCUGAUCUCCAAUCACCUUUGUUAAGUUAUCACUCUUCCCAUAUGCAAUCAGCCCUUGAAGUUGGUGUUGCCUCAAAUUUUGAAUGCAGUUGAACCUUCCCUUGCUGAUCUUGUCCAUUAUUCCUGAGCAACACCAAAGUGCACGUGUCUCCAUUGUCUAAAUAUGAUUGACAAGAGUUUAAAGCUGAACUUACUUGAAGGUUGAGUUGACGGGCACGAGCACGAGUAAGAGGACCAGCUAUAGGUUGUGUCGGAGAGGAUGUAGGAUAUGUAUCGCUGGUGGAUGUAGGAUAUGUAUCGCUGGUGGAUGUAGGAUAUGUAUCGCUGGUGUUGAUGUCCUCAUCAUCCUCCCUUUCUUGCAUUUGAGUCGUCCUCGACUCAAGCUCAUCUUCCUCACCCAAAUAAGGCUUCAAAUCUGCAAUGUUAAAUGUGGGACUAACCCCAAAAUCUGCAGGAAGAUCAAGCUUAUAUGCAUUCUCAUUAAUUCGUUGCAGCACUUUAAAAGGACCAUCAGCUCUAGGCAUCAAUUUGGAUUUUCUCAGUUCUGGAAAUCUAUCUUUUCGCAAAUGCACCCAAACCAAAUCCCCAGGUUCCAGAAUCAAUUGCUUUCUACCUUUAUCUCCCAAUUUCAUACGAAUCUGGUGGUACCCACUACGUAAAUCAACUUUUGAAAACACAACAGCACCACUCAGUUCAUCUAGCAUAUCAUCUAAUCGUGGAAUAGGGUGUCGAUAUCGAAUGGUGAUAUUAUUAAUAGCUCUACAAUCAACACACAUACGCCAUGUUCCAUCUUUCUUAGGCACUAAAAUUACUGGAACAGCACAAGGACUAAGAGAUUCUCGGACAUAACCUUUGUCUAGUAGUUCUUGCACUUGUCGCUGAAUUUCCUUUGUUUCCUCCGGGUUUGUCCUGUAUGGUGCACGAUUUGGCAAAACUGAUCCAGGAAUAAGAUCAAUUUGGUGCUCAAUCCUGCGUAGUGGAGGCAGCCCCGCUGGUACAUCACUUAGAAACACAUCAGAAUACUCCUGCAAAACGUUAGCAACAGCAGGGGGCAAAGAACAUUGCAUAUCCUCAACUGAAAUCAAAGCAUCCUUGCAUAUCAAAGCAUAAGCAACAGAAGUGGAUGCAUUGAACUCAUUAAUAUCUGAUUUGGUAGCUAUCAUACAACGUUCUUUCAGUUUUAUCUCAUCUUUGUUACCAAUUACAGAUUUAUCAUUUUUAUUGCUCUUGCUCUUUGCUUUAGUAGCCCUAGCAACAUCAGUUUGCAUAAUAGUUUCAGGGGACAUAGGAUGCAACACAAUUUUGCGAUCAUGGUAUAGAAAAGAAUACUGAUUUGAUCUACCAUGAUGCAUAGAAUCUCUAUCAAAUUGCCAAGGUCUACCUAGCAGAAUGUUACAAGCUUGCAUAGGCACAACAUCACAUUCAACAAUAUCUUUGUAGGAUCCGAUGGAAAAAUUAAUUCUCACAAGUCUAGUUACCUUUACCUUACCACUGUUGUUCAGCCAUUGGAUGUAGUAGGGAUGCGGGUGUGGUUUGGUGUUGAGGGCAAGCUUCUGCACCAUAUCGCUGCUUGCCAAGUUGUUGCAGCUACCUCCAUCAAUGAUCAUGCGACAAGAACGCUCUUUGAUGACACACUUUGUUUGGAAUAAAAUGUGUCGCUGAUUUUGCUCUGCCAUCUCCAUUUGUGCACUAAGCACUCGCUGCACGAUCAAGCUCUCAUAGUGGUCCGCUUCACCUGCAUUAAUAUGUUCUUCUAUUUGAUCUUCAUUACCUGCAUGGUCAGUCGCAAGCAGUGCAAGUGUAUCCUCAUCAAAAUCACUAGCAGAUGAGUACUCACCAUCAUCCCUGACAAUCAUAACUCGCUUGUUUGGGCAGUCACGCAUCAUGUGCCCAUAUCCCUUGCACCGAUGACAUUGUAUGUUGCUUGUUCUACCCGUCGAUGCCACGGAUGAAGUACUCGCAGCAGGCUUUUGCAUCGUCUUCGCAACUGAAUUGGUGGGGGCAGCUCGAGUCUUGUCACUAGAUGAUGGAGUAGAAAUACGUGUAGAUGGAGUUGAAGCCACGUGUUGCUGCCAUGAAUUAGCCUUCCCUGCAGAAAUAUUACUCCUUGCGCUAGCACGUCGUCCCUGCACUUCCCUUUCAGCUUUACAAGCAAGAUGAAACAAACGGGUUACGUUAGUAUAAUCUUUAUAAGCAAGAAUGUCCUGGAUUUCACGAUUUAACCCGCCCAAAAAUCUAGCCAUAGCAGGUUCUUCUUCCUCCUCUAAAUUACAUCGCAGCAUACCCAUUUGUAAUUCCUGAUAAUAAUCUUCUACACUUUUAGCACCUUGUCUCAAUUGCUGCAACUUAUUAAUCAUGUCACGUGCAUAGUAAGAAGGAACAAAUCUAGCCCUCAUGACUUGUUUCAACGCAUUCCAAGUUCUAGGUAUGUUAUUAGGAUUUUUCUUGCCAUGUUCUAUCCACCAAACGGAAGCAAAAUCGGUGAACUCACUAGUAGCAGCCCUAACACGUGUAUCCUCAGGGAAUUCAUGACAUGUAAACUUUUGGUCAACAGCAAUCUCCCAAGUAAUGUAUGCAUCAGGGUCAUAUUUACCAUCAAAAGGGGUAUCUUAAAUUUAAUCUUACUGAAAGCAUCAUCAUUAUUGUGUACCUCGCGUCGGCGGUUGCCACCCAUACCUCUACGGUUGUGACGAAGGCGACGUCGAUCACGAGUGUCUUGAUCAUCAUGUUCAGUAUCACCAGUGUAGUCAUCUUCAUGACUACCGUGCUCUCGAUCUCCCUCCUUUUCUUCUUUAUGCUUCUCUUUAUCUUCGGUGUGGAAAGCAUCAAAUCGCCUUAGGAGAGCAGCAAGGCUUUUGUCCACACUAGCAACGGAUUCCUCCAAACUUGUGAGCUUGUUGUUUGUGGCAAUCUGCGUAGCCUCCAACUGCCCCAGCUUUUCAUUUGUCACCUGCAAGUCGUUAUCAAGUCCCUCUGUGUGCAGCUUCACUUUCCUUUCAAAAUGUUGUAUGAUGCCCUUAGUGCGAGGUGUAAGUGGUGUUUCGUUACCAUCAUCUGCCCCUGGCAUGGUUCAAAGACAAAGACAACAAAAAGGCAAGUGAAGAAAUAAAAGCCCUACAACUACUAGGAUGUAGCUACAGCAAGUCGCUCACACUCAACCUAUAACACAAGUUCUUACCAAUUCUUACCUUGCUUGACAGGAGGGGUCGUCUGCCAACAAGUGUACAGCAAUGGACGAAGUGUAUCGGUGCUGCAGCACAAGACCUGUCAAGCUGUAGAGUAUGUGGAGCUAUAGGUGGGCUGAAACAAGGAACGAACUAGCACCACGUUAGUUAUAAAAGCGAGCUGAAUAAGCGUUCGACGAUGGUACUGUGCUGGUCCUAGGCUAGACCGUGCUAGAGACGCGAGCCUGGACACAAAGGAAAACCACAGCACACCCCCAAAAACAAGGUGGGACAAACCUAAAAUCAAUAUGAAAAACAGCCCCUUUUCUUUGAAUCUUCUCUCUUUUCUUUUUUUUUUCUUUUUUUGGGGCAACCUCAAAAACUGAUUAUAUGAACAAAAGAAUACAAAAGAGCAAUUCGCUCCACACACUCUCUCUCUCUCUCUAGAGUAAGGCCGAACAAGUAGAGUUAUCUUUCUUUUUGAACUCAGAUUGGAACUCUACUCGAUCCGGACCAAGACCACAGUUCAAUUCAGACUUCGCAACAGAUUCGACAGAGAGAAGAUAUGGUAAUAGUCGGCUGUGUAUAGAUGGUGACAAGAACUCGAAACUCUAAAGGACUAGACACUAAGACCAGCAACUCGACACAAACCGAAGCAACGCAAAUUCAACAAGCCCUAACUAAAACGGUACUAGCCAAGGCACAAAGGUUUAAUAGGAUUAUGGAAAAACUAAUCUACUAUAUUUUUUUGGCUUUUCUGGACUAUAGGAAAUUAAUUAAAAACAGCAAAGGAUUAGAAGUCUCUCACCGAAGAACCUUGCUAUGAUACCAACUGAUGUGAACCCACUAGGGUUUUCGCCUGAUCUUUCGAUGAGAGGCGCUGGAUAACUCGAUUGGUGGAUGGAGAUGACGUUCACGGCCCGACUACAGCCCUCAAGACCGCGCCUUAGCAACCGAUACACCACGUCCAAUAGCCGUCACGAUCUUGUGGAGCGCGACAACCAGCCCCUAGGGCUCCCGUCCUGCAAGCAAUCGAAGAACUAGCAAGAACGAGGAAACAAGCACUGAAUUUGCAAGAUGAAUUGAAGGUUUCAAACUGAAUCUUAAUCAACAAUGGGGUUCCGAAGACAAGGAGACGGGCGGCUGAUCCUGCACGCGCGCCUACAAGCAAGUAGCGAAGGCUAAACUUGAUCUAAACAAAACCCAGUUGUUCAUGGCGGCUCUAGAUGUAAAUAAAUAGAGGGGAGGACGACCAAAGGGGUGCUAGAGUCGUCCUCCAACCCUAGGACACGUCCCUAAUGGACUCAACUUGAUACAUGGGCCAUUGGUCCAAAAUAGGGUGACGCAGCACCAAAACAGAAAAAGGUGUCGGCACGAAAACAAGGACUGCGCCCGACUCAUAAGCCGCAUAGAUAUGUGGUUGGACCCAUUGGAAAGUAGACUUCAUGAGCUUUCCAACAAGUAUAGGAACGUCCCAGUUGGAGUCCAUAUGACGCCGUGGUGAUCCAUACAAGUUAGAGUUAUUUUCCAGUCCGAAUCCAACUCCCAAAACGUGUUGGGUUUGGACUCUUUGUUUCCUUGCUUUAGAAACGACGUGGUAACUUGACAGAGGAUGUUGUGGAGGCUUGGACCUGAUCUCCAAUCACCUUUGUUAAGUUAUCACUCUUCCCAUAUGCAAUCAGCCCUUGAAGUUGGUGUUGCCUCAAAUUCUGAAUGCAGUUGAACCUUCCCUUGCUGAUCUUGUCCAUUAUUCCUGAGCAACACCAAAGUGCACGUGUCUCCAUUGUCUAAAUAUGAUUGACAAGAGUUUAAAGCUGAACUUACUUGAAGGUUGAGUUGACGGGCACGAGCACGAGUAAGAGGACCAGCUAUAGGUUGUGUCGGAGAGGAUGUAGGAUAUGUAUCGCUGGUGGAUGUAGGAUAUGUAUCGCUGGUGUUGAUGUCCUCAUCAAUAUGGAAUCUCACUUUGGUCCGUUUAGAGAUAGUAUUAGUUUCGGUGCAAGAUAGGUGCAUGGUCUGCACCUAAUGCACCAUAGGAUAAGAAACCAUUUUGGACGCACCCGAGGGUACUCCUAGGUCAUGGGGCUCAAGUGAAAGCUCGGUUUGGUCUGUUUGGAGAUAGUUCUAAUUUUGAUGCAAGAUAGAUGUACGGUUUGCAUGGUACAUACGAUAUGCUCAGAAAUCAAUUAGGACACACCUGAUAUAACUCCUUGAUGAUGUGUGUCAUAUGGAAUCUUGCUUCGGUUCGUUUAGAGAUAGUGUUAGUUUUGGUAGAAGAUAUGUGCACAGUUUACGCCUAAUGCACCAUAGGCUAAGAAACCAUUUUAGACGCACCCGAUGGUACUUAUAGUUGAAGAGGCUCAAGUGGAGGCUCGAUUUGGUCUGUUCAGAUAUAGUGCUGAUCUUGAUGCAAGAUAGUUGCAUAGUUUGCAUGGAACGUACCAUAUGUUAAGAAAUCAAUUUGGACGCACCCAAUGGAACUCUUAGAUGACGUGUGUCAUAUGGAAUCUCGCUUCGGUCUGUUUGGAGACAAUGUUAGUUUUGGUGCAAGAUAGGUGCAUUGUUUGUGCCUAAUGCACCAUAGACUGAGAAACCAUUUUGACACACCUGUUUGUACUCCUAGAUGAAGAGGCUCAAGUGGAUGCUCGGUUCGGUCUGUUUGGAGAUAGUGCUAAUCUUGAUGCAAGAUAGGUGCACGCUUUGCAUGGAACAUACCAUACGCUUGGAAAUCAAUUUGGAUGCACCCGAUGGAACUCCUUGAUGACGUGUGUCAUAUAGAAUCUUGCUUUGGUCUGUUUAGAAACAGUGUUAGUUUUGGUGCAAGAUAUGUGCAUGGUUUGCGCCUAAUGCACCAUAGUCUAAGAAACCAUUUUGGAAGCACCUGUUGGUACUUCGAUGAAUAGGCUCAAUUGGAAGCUCGGUUUAAUCUGUUUGGAGAAAGUGCUAAUCUUAAGAUAGGUGCAUGAUUUGCAAGGAACAUAUCAUAUGCUUAGAAAUCCAUUUGGACGCACCCAAUGGAACUCCAAGACGACGUGUGUCAUAUGGAAUAUCGCUUUGGUCUGGUCAGAAACAUUGUAUGUUUCGGUGCAAGAUAUGUGCAUGGUUUGCGCCUAAUGCACCAUAGUCUAAGAACCAUUUUGGAAGCACUAAUUGGUACUCCUGGGUGAAGAGGCUCAAGUGGAAGCUUGGUUUGAUCUGUUUUGAGAUAGUGCUAAUCUUGAUGCAAGAUAGGUGCAUGAUUUGCAAGAAACAUACCAUAUGCUUAGAAAUCAAUUUGGACGCACCCAAUGGAACUCCUUGAUGACGUGUGUCAUAUGGAAUCUUGCUUCGAUCUGUUUGUAGACAUUGUUAGUUUUGAUGCAAGAUAGUUGCACAGUUUGCGCCUAAUGCACCAUAUUCUAAGAAACCAUUUUGGACUCACUAUUUGGUACUCCUGGGUGAAGAGGCUUAAGUGGAAGCUUGGUUUGGUUAGUUUGGAGAUAGUGCUAAUCCUUAUGCAAGGUAGGUGCAUGGUUUGCAUGGAACAUAAAAUAUGCUUGGAAAUCAAUUUGGAUGCACCCGAUGGAACUCCUUGAUGACGUGUGUUAUAUGGAAUCUUGCUUCGGUCCAUUUGGAGACAUUGUUAGUUUCGAUGCAAGAUAGGUGCAUAGUUUGCACCUAAUGCGCCAUAGUCUAAGAAACCAUUUUGGACGCACUUGUUGGUACUCCUAGGUGAAGGGGCUCAAGUGGAUGCUCGGUUCGGUCUGUUUGGAGAUAGUGCUAAUCUUGAUGCAAGAUAGGUGCACGGUUUGCAUGGAACAUACCAAAUGCUUGGAAAUCAAUCUGGACGAACAUGAUGGAACUCCUAGAUGACAUCGGUCAGUUUGGAGAUAGUGUUAGUUUCAGUGCAAGAUAGGUGCAAGGUUUGCACAUAAUGCAGCAUAGGCUAAGAAACCAUUUUGGAUGCACCCGAUGGUACACCUAGGUAAAAGGCUCAAGUGAAAGCUCGGUUUGGUCUAUUUGGAGAUAGUGCUAAUCUUGAUGCAAGAUAGAUGCACGGACGGCAUGGAACGUACCAUAUGCUUAGAAAUUAAUUUGGACACACCCGAUAGAACUCCUUGAUGACGUGUGUCAUAUGGAAUCUCGCUUUGGUGUGCUUAGUGACAGUAUUAGUUUCGGUGCAAGAUAUGUGCACGGUUUGCGCCUAAUGCACCAAAGCCUAAGAAACCAUUUUGUAAGCACCUGUUGGUACUCCUAGGUGAAGAGGCCCAAGUGGAGCCUCGGUUCGGUCUGUUUAGAGAUAGUGCUAAUCUUGAUGCAUGAUAGGUGCAUGAUUUGCAUGGAACAUACCAUAUGCUCAGAAAUCAAUUUGGACGCACCAGAUGGAACUCUUAGAAGACAUGUGUCAUAUGGAAUCUCACUUCGGUCCGUUUUGAGACAGUGUGAGUUUCGGCACAAGAUAGGUGCACGGUUUGCACCUAAUGCACCAUAGGAUAAGAAACCAUUUUGGACGCACCCGAUGGUACUCCUAGGUCAAGGUGCCCAAGUGAAAGCUUGGUUUGGUCUGUUUGGAGAUAGUGCUAAUCUUGAUGCAAGAUAGAUGCAUGGUUUGCAUGGAACAUACGAUAUGCUCAGAAAUCAAUUAGGACUCACCUGAUAUACCUCCUUCAUGAUGUGUGUCAUAUGGAAUCUUGCUUCGGUUCGUUUAGAGACAGUGUUAGUUUUGGUAGAAGGUAUGUGCACGGUUUACGCGUAAUGCACCAUAGGCUAAGAAACCAUUUUAGACGCACUCGAUGGUACUCGUAGUUGAAGAGGCUCAAGUGGAGGCUCGAUUUGGUCUGUUCAGAUAUAGUGCAAAUCUUGAUGUAAGAUAGUUGCACAGUUUGCAUGGAACGUACCAUAUGUUAAGAAAUCAAUUUGGCCGCACCCAAUGGAACUCCUUGAUGACGUGUGUCAUAUGGAAUCUCGCUUCGGUCUGUUUGGAGACAAUGUUAGUUUCGGUGCAAGAUAGGUGCAUAGUUUGUGCCUAAUGCACCGUAGUCUAAGAAACCAAUUUUGACGCACCUUGUCGGUGUUUUACCCCUAGGGGGGUCACACCAAUGAGUAAACUUGUGUGCGUGUUCCCUUUCCCAAAUGGUGAUGCAAGAAAUACACAGAGAUUUGUCCUGGUUCGGGCAAGAGAAGGCCCUACGUCCAGCGGGUGGGGGAUGUUUUCUAUUAUCUUGCACCUAAGUGCUUGUACAGGGGCGAAUACCGGUAUUGUGGUGGAUUCUAAGUCCUAGGUGGAGGCGAUGUAUGGUUGUUCUUCUACGUAUGUUGUGUCUUUCAUCCUUUCCUAUGCCUCCUCUUUUAUAGUUCCAAGGGGAGACCUAGGUUACAUGGCGUAGGUGAUAGAGUAGGGGUCGAUAGGGGCAUGGUGCGCUGACCUACUCGAGGCUUCCGUACCGGCGUGGCCUCGAGCUGUCUUGUUACUUGGUACUUUGGUGAUGAUUGCGCAUGCUUCUGCAUUCGACUCCUGUGCGUUGCCUUGGAUUGGCUUAACCGUGGGCACGCCUGUACAUCGUGGCUGCAGUCGCGUCCAGAGUGGUUGAGGUGCUGUCUUUCACCGCCUGACUCUUCUUUUGGAAGGAACGUGUUCGCUCGAGGGUCCGACGCCAUGCAAGGCCUUGCUGAUUGGUGCGCUAACUUUGGGCGCCUCGAGGGGGGUCGUGGUGUGACGUCCCGACUGUCUCACUGUGCUCGGCCGUACUCUAGCUCAUCUGGGGGACAAAGCUACAAAAAGGGGGAUUGGACAGGUGCUUGCUCCCAGUCACAUUUCCCGUGACUGUCGGGUUAGGUGAGAACACGGCAGGCGCAUUAAAUGUCCUGGUUCCUGUACCCGCGUUAGGCGGCGGACGGCAUCCUUGCGCUCGAGGCCUGUCGAUUCGUUCGAGCCGCUUCCGUAUUCGACGGUCGCUGUCUAGUCGAGCCUCUAUCGAUUCGCCCGACCCUUUUUUCGUGUUCGAGGCUAUGGUUGGCAUCGCGCUUUGGUAGUCGCGUGUGCGAGCGGGGGCGUUGAGUCAGGGGCCUCGAUUUGCGUACGGGUCCUCUCGUUAUGAGCAUUGGUUGGGGUACCCCUUAUUGACACCCUCGAUAGUAGCCCCUGAGUCUCUACUCGAGCGCUUGCGCUCGAGUAGAGGCUCUUUCGUCGGUCGAGUUUCCAUGGGGUCAUGCGAGCGACCCCCGCGGGGGUAACUCCCGAGCCCUUGGAGGAGUCUUGACUCCUUCAAGGGUUAUGUUGCUUUUUCUAAUGGAAGCGCUCUCGAUCUCCCCCUUCUCCGAAAGUCGUUCGCCAUGGAAGAGGGGCUUUGAGCCUCGAUUGGCUGGUUUCGCAUUGGAGUCAUGACGUACUCCUGGCGGAGCGAGAGUCACCUACCCCAGGUCGAGCUCCUAUCGAGUAAUCCAAGUGAGAACCUGUGCCCCGUUCGAGCCGAGAACCUGUGUCAGCUAUAGCCUGGAGGCAUUCUCAUAAAGCGGGGUCAACGCGAUCGGGGUUACUGGUCUCGUUCGAUAGAGUCCAGCGGCUCGCUGCCUCCCUCCAUGGGGAUUCCUCUCGACCCUCUUGCCCUUGCCUUGGACAUCCCCAGCGAGUUCUCGAGGCAGGCCUCGUUUUUGACCUCUCGCUGGGCAUCCCUGACUCUAGUACUCGAGGACGACCGUCAACGCAUUCAGCGGGCCAGUCUGCGAUCCCUCAAGAUUUUUAUCGUGACACGUACGUACCUUAUCUUACAGGGGAAGGAAGGGCCGCGGCGGUUCACUUUCCUGCCCGUUGGGCGCGCCUUUUUAGGCGGGAGCCGUUGCAGCACUGUGUCGUCGUGGAAUUCGUAGCGCCCUGUCAGUGAGAGCAAUCAUGACCGUUAGGCGGCGCAUUUACUAGGGAGGUUACCGUAUUAGCCGGAUCUGCCUGUUGGAGGUUGGCCAUCUAUAAAUAUUGUCGGGUCUCUCAGCCAUUACUCCUUCCGCCUUCCGCCAUCGUUCUUGCCCUUGCUUCCCUUGCCAUCUUCACGCGCGCGUGCACCCUCGAGCACAUAGCAGCGGAGCCGCCUUCCUUCAUCCCUCAAAAUGCCGGUGAGGCUUGUUGCCGCCGAUGACUGGCGCCCAUUGUCGAUGACGGAGCACCGGCUGCUGGAGCUUGAGAAGGAGGGACUCCUGCGCCCCCACGUUUCCUCGUCGCGGCCGGAGUGGAUCGCACCGGCGGCGGACCACCGGGAGCCGAGACCGCCCAAGGGGUACGUGGUCUCCUUGGCCAAGUUCCAUCGCCACGGCCUCGGUUCUCCUCCAAGCCGCUUCAUGUGGGCGCUCUGCCACCAUUACGGUGUGGAGCUCCAGCAUUUCUCGCCGAACGCCAUCACCACCACGGCGAUUUUUGCUGCGGUGUGUGAAGGCUAUCUGGGGAUGAUGCCACACUGGGACCUGUGGCUUCACCUGUACCGGGGCGAGCUCUUCCAUGCCCCUAGUAGGGCUACAGGGGUGAGGAAACCGGUGCGGGCCGGCUGCCUCAACCUGGUGCAAAAGACUAGCAAGGCAGAGGAGCCUCGAGAGUACAUUCCGGUGGGGCUGACGUCGAACCACGCCUAGUGGGACUCCCAGUGGUUCUAUGUGCGAAACGACGACGACCUCUUCCCCGACUACAUCGGGCGCUUGAUCUCGGAGCGUCCGGACCACUAGAACUACGACAUCGUCAAGACCCUCCAGUCGCGGCUCCGCCCCAUCCUCGACGCCCUGAAGAAGCUGUGCGAGGAAGGUCUGACCGCCGUGUUCGUCCUUUCAGCUGUCCACCAUCGACGGGUACUCCCAUUGAUGUAUCGACCGCUGAGGAUGGACGAGAUGGGUCCCGGCGUUUCGUCUCACGACCUCGAGGCAUGCCGGAUGUCCAACGAGGCGCCCGCGGACGACGAGGUCACCGCCAAAGUCAGGGCGGCCGUCGCAGGCGAUUUUUAGCCUGAGCGCGUCAAUGGCUUCCCCAUGAGACCUGACGAGGGGUCGAUCGACCUGGUAAGUCCUUCCUCUUGCCGUCGCUCAAUUCUUGGGUUUUUCGAUCCUCCUUAGGACUUACUCGUGCCUGUACAGGGACCAAUUGACGCUCAGUCCUCGAGGCCUCCGGUAAUGGAGGAUGACGUCGAUCGCGAUAGGAGACGCGAGUCCGCGGAGAAACAAAAGUCCGCAAAGGACUUAGAAAAGAAGAAGGAGAAGAAAAAGAAUCUCGAGCGACAAGUGCUCGAGAAACGCCGUGCGAAAUCGAGGCAAAAGGGGGAGUCCGAGGAGGAAUCUCGUAAUGAGGACGACGGCAAUGAGGGCGACGACGAUAGCGACGACUCCGAGGGGAUGGCGGCUCGUUUCGACAGAAUCCUCGAGGGCCCGCCGCAAGCCGACGUCGACGUCCCGCGGACAGGAGCUCCUAAGAGGGCGUCGGGCGGGUCCCACGACAGUCAGCAGAGGGAGUCCUCACCACGCCGUUCUCGUGCCGACACUCCUCCUGUGCCCGCGCAGGGUUGUGCCGUUUCUCAGCCGCAACCUCCUCCCGCGUAUGGGGCGGGCCACCGGGUUAAGUCUAUGGCGAUGGGGCCAUUGAGCCACGGCCGUGCCGCCGUGGCGGCCUCAAGCCAGAGGGAAGGAGGUCGUGGCAGCUCCAGCCCCGGUGCUCGCCAGGCGGGAGAUGUCGAGCCGAGGCCUACGCCUGCUUAGGAGAAGCCCGGGGUCUCGACGUGGGGCGGCUCGAGGCUAGUUGGUCGAGGGACUGGCAGGCGGGUCGUUCUUCCUAUGGGGUAAGGGUUUUACGUUGCGAUUCUUGUUUUCCGAUGUCUUGCGCCCUCUCUGGUUUCGGCUUUUCUUAUGUUAUUCCCCAUUUCCUUAGGUUGAAGCGGCCGCUAGAACAGGCCUAACCCUCGAUGGCCAAGAAGCUAAAGGUGGGGGCGGUUACUAGAGGCUCAGGUUAGUGAUUUAUUCUUCUUCCCGUAGUACUGGAGUUGAGCCAUCCCUGUGUCGAACUCCUUUGUGACUAACGUAUUGUCUUUGGACGCACUCAGGUUCCUCCGAUCCUCGACCGUCGACGGAUGUUGAAGGAACCCCGCCUCGUCCGUCAGAGGGGGCGACGUUUCUAACACUGCCCCGUUGUCACCAAGGCGGGUCGAGAGGCCUCAUCUUCAAGAGCAGGAGGGAGCCCCCAAGCCUCCUCAGCCUGGGGGCGUGCGGGGCCCCAUCACCAUCAACGACAGAUCCGGUGGUGAUCGACUCUCGAAGGAUGCCCGCACCGCGGAUGAAGAGGUCGAGGUCUCUCCUGUCGCGAAAUGGAUGCCUUGGCCCAUCGAGCUUCACUCCGUCGAGGAGAGGAGGAAGAAAGAAGAAGAAGAGCGUAAGGGAGGGGAGGAAGAAGAAGAAAAACAACAGCGAUGGCAACAGGGAGAGCGGCUCGAGGAGCAGUUGGAGCAAUGCCGGCAGCAAGAGCUGCUGGAGCUUCAGAGGCAGCAGAAGCUGUGGAGUUAGCAGCUGGAAGAGCUGCUCGAACAGCCACCACAAAGCCCGCGCCAGCCAGUAUUGCCAUCGCCGCAAGGGCCCGAGACCAGAGAGGAAGGACUACGGAUCUAUGAUCCGCCGACCCCUGCGUGGCUCCGUCCAGGGGGGCCAGCCUCUAUUCUGGCUGAACCUGGGCGGAAGGAUGGCGUCGUGGCCAUCGUGUGUGCUAUGCGCACGCCGGCGGACCCCCAAUCCGAAAUCAAGGGCUCCCUCUAUGGCAUCGAUGGGAUCGCCCUGGGGUUCCUUCGAGAUCGGCGGCCGUGGGAGGAACCCAAUGCCGAGGACGGGGACGACGCUGGCACUUCUGGCGGUGGUGACGCCAAUGAGACCGGGACUUGGGGGUCGGUGCAUGACGACAGGCGGUUCCCUUCUCUUAUCGACAUAUUCCUACGCCACGGAGGUUCGCUCGAGACCGUUCAAGAGCUUAUCCGAGGCGUCAAGGCAUGUACAGAGGAGGAGAUGGAGAACUGGGGCCCCAGUCGGAUUCAUCUUCGAGCCUCCAUCGACCCAGAGGAGCCCAACAUCAUGAAAGAUGACCGGAAAGAGGCCAAAAAGUGGGAGCAUCUCGAGGAGCUCCGGCUUUGGAUGAAGCACGUGAUGGGCCUAAUGUCGGAUAUUGUCAACAACGGGCUCGGCUGAGCUUUCUCUGUAAGUAUUUUCGGUCCUUAGCUAUCUGGGUAUUUGGUCUUGUAUUCUUAUUGUUUAGCUACUUGCUGCAGGACCUGAAGGAGACCCCCGCCUAAAGUCGGGUUUUAUUCACGCGACAAGAGGCGGUUGGGAACAGCUCCCUCUUCUCAAGGACCAACUCCUGGAGUCGCAGGAGAAGCUUCUCUAGGCCUACAAGGACCUUAUGGCAGGUGAGGAGGAGAGGAAGGAGAGGAAGGCUGCGCUGGCCAAGGCUCGGGAGGCCUCGGAGAAGGAAAUAGAAGAGGCCGUGCAGCUGAGGGCGCGGACCACGUCGGCUGAGGAGACUGCGUCCAAGGCCCGGGAAGAGGCCGCGUAUUACAAAGAUGCGGUCGCUGAGCUCGAUAAGGAGAUGAGCCUUGUCAAGUCGGAACUUGCCUCUGCCCAGGAGGCCUAUCGAGAGAUAAAGGAGGAGUGCGUGAAGAGCGAGAUCGCUCGGAGCACCGCGGAGGAGGCUGGGAAGAAGGCCCGUGAGGACCUCGAGGCAGAGCGAGCUCGCUCUCGCAGCCUUUCUAACAAUGUCGAUCGCUUGAAGAGAGCGCUGCUGGAGAAGGAGGGAGCCGUCUUACAAGCGAGUAAGAUGAUCGAGGACUUGCGGGCCGCAAACACUGAUCUGGCUCGUUCUUAUAAGGAGAUCAAGAGGGCCAACACUGAUUUAGUCGGUGAGAACACGGCCCUCAAAGAAAGGAUCUGUGGUAGGUUUCUUUAUACUUGCGUGUUUCUUUUGCAAGGUAUAUCCUUUAUGUUGCUUAACUUUCUUGUGUCGGUGUUUGUAGGGCUUAAGGAUGAUCUCCUGGCCACCCAAGUUGAGGCCCGUUCCACCAAGGCUCAGCUCAAGGGGGAGGUAGCUUUGAAUGGUCGACUAAGGACUGCGAUAAGCGACCUUUCGGCCUCCUGGGAGCUCGAGCCUGUGGAUGACUCGAGGGAGGUUGCUCGAGGCGAUGCGCUGGUCGACUAGCUGUGCUACUUAGGUUCUACGCUGAGGGAUCGGGUGCGGGACACCCUUCAUACCGGGGUGAAGCGAGUGAGGAUCGGGUGCGGGACGCCCUUCAUCCCGCACCAGGUCCUUGCAGGCGGUGCCUGAGACAAAGGCCAGAAUGACAUCGUGGUCGGGGAUGUGCGGGAGCUCAGUGCGCUGCUUUGAGAAGCAUCGAGCAUACUCUCAGAGAGUUUCUCUUGAUUUUUGCUUGCACUUGCUGAGGUCCCAUGAAUUGCCAGGACGUAUGUAGGUUCCUUUAAAGUUGCCCUCGAACACCCUGACCAAAUCGGUCCAGUCGUGGAUCUGGUUGGCAGGGAGUUCCUCGAGCCAUCUGCGAGCGGUGUCGGAUAGAAAAAGCGGUAACUGGCGGAUGAUGGCUCGAUUGUGUCCUCGAGCGCCUCCUAACUGGCAUGCUAGCCAAAAGUCUACUAGCCACAGCUCUGGCUUGGUUUCGCUGUUGCGAUGCUGGUCGGGGAUCGAAACGGACUGGGCAACGGCGUGCUGCGGAUUGCUCUGCUGAAAACUCGAGGGCCUAAUGGCUUUGGAGCCAUUCGGUCCUUGUCACUGUUGUAUCGUCCACCGCGGUGGGCGCUAUAGCCUCGCUCCUCUGCAUCCCCAUGCCGGCGGCGGCGAUACUCAUUGAUGUCAUGUCGAGCGUCAUGUCGCCAUUGAUUAUCGACGAGGCGCUCUUGGAAGGGCACAGUCUUUCUUCCUCGAGGGGGUGGUCCUUGAUGGACCGACACUUCCUUCUCAUCUCGGGCUGGCUCGACGUGUUUCUCUGUGGCUGCCCCUCGACGCCGAGAAGCCGAGCUUUCGGCUUGUUGGGCUGCCGCCACUUGGAGCAGAGUCUGCACCUUGUCUCGAAUGCACCGCGCCUGGGAGUUGGAAGGUUCAGGCAUGCUACGCAAUAGCAUGGUUGCUGCCAUGACAUUCUGGCCCGCUCGUGGGAAGCGGCUGACAGGUGGCUCUGGCUCCUCGUCCCCGACGAUUUGACGGUACACCUCUCGAGCGCGACCGCGCGCGCCUUUGGCGUGCGGGUGCGGUUGGUCUCGCUCGAGGGCCUGCUCGAGCUGAGCAAGGCGCUCGCGGUCUUCGUCGAGCUUGGCUUUGAGCUCCCGUAAUUGUGCGAGCUGCGCAGCUUUGUCGUCCUACGCCGGAGGGUCGACCCGCCCAUCGUUCCCAGGUGUCCUGGGAUCUUCUCUUGCUACGGGGGCUCGGCCACCGGCAACGGCAUCUUGCGUUUCAUCAGUGGUGCCACUUCACCAUCGAUGUUGUAGCAUUCCCUUGUAGGGUCGUAACUAUCAGAUUCGGAGUCGGGGUCUGGUUCUGCGGCGUAGAAACACCCACGCCCCUCCUCCGCCAUCCGCUGUCUGAGCGAGGUGAUGGUAUAUCGCCUAGGUCCUAGACGUUGGAGGCUCCGCACCUGGGAAAAUUCCGGCAGUUCAGCUGCUCGCUGUUGUGCCUCGGCGUCGCUCGGGAGGACCAUUGGUCUUUCCACAUACGUCUGGGCGUCCGGGCAUAUCGUUCUGGCUAGGGACGCUGUGGCAUUGUCCAGACCGAAUGGUGUGUUCCCCUAGAGGCGAACAAUCCGUGCGGUAGCAGCGUUGUCGAGGGGGAGAGCACGCGAGUCGCGUCAUCUCCCAACGUUGUUGCGGGGCUGUCCAGACGCCGGGCCGCCGUAUUUGUAGCCUCGGCGUGCGGGGCUGCCGGCUGCUGCGCCACCGCUCGCUUGGCAUAGGUUGAUGACCGCGACGCAGCAGAAGGGUGGUGACGGUGCUGUCCACGCCUCUUCUUGGGCGGGGAGGCGUGGUGGCGAGGCCGUCUUGGGGCCUUCGAUUGUGCUGGUGCAACGCUAGUUCCUCCUGGUCCUUUGACCGAGAGCAGGAUCAUGUCGUAGCCGGUACCGGUGGACAUGAACUCGAGGCUCCCAAACCAAAUCACCGUGGAGCGCGGGAUCGGCGAAAUGAGAGUGGCCAUUCUAGAAUGAGAUGGGGAGUCGGUGAAAAACACGCAGGACCCCUACCUGGUGCGCCAACUGUCGGUGUUUUACCUCUAGGAGGUCACACCAACGAGUAAACUUGUGUGCAUGUUCCCUUUCCCAGAUGAUGAUGCAAGAAAUACACACAGAUUUAUCCUGGUUCGGGCAAGAGAAGGCCCUACGUCCAGCGGGAGGGAUGUUUUCUAUUAUCUUGCACCUAAGUGCUUGUACAGGGGUGAAUACAAGUCGGUAUUGUGGUGGAUUCUAAGUCCUAGGUAGAGGUGAUGUAUGGUUGUUCUUCUCCGUAUGUCCUGUCUUUCAUCCUUUCCUAUGCCUCCCCUUUUAUAGUUCCAAGGGGAGACCUAGGUUACAUGGCGUAGGUGAUAGAGUAGGGGUCGAUAGGGGCGUGGUGCGCUGACCUACUCGAGGCUUCCGUGCCGGCGUGGCCUCGAGCUGUCUUGUUACUUGGUACUUUGGUGAUGAUUGUGCAUGCUUCUGCAUUCGACUCCUGUGUGUUGCCUUGGAUUGGCUUAACCGUGGGCACGCCUGUACGUCGUGGCUGCAGUCGCGUCCAGAGUGGUUGAGGUGUUGUCUUUCACCGCCUGACUCUUCUUUGGGAAGGAACGUGUUCGCUCGAGGGUCCGACGCCACGCAAGGCCGUGCUGAUCGGUGCGCUGACUUUGGGCGCCUCGAGGGGGGUCGUGACGUGACGUCCCGUCUGUCUCACUGUGCUCGGCCGUACUCUGGCUCAUUUGGGGGACAAAGCUGCAAAAAGGGGGAUUGGAUGGGUGCUUGCUCCCAGUCACAUUUCCCGUGACUGUCGGGUUAGGUGAGAACACGGUAGGCGCAUUAAAUGCCCUGGUUUCCGUACCCACGUCAGGGCGCAGAUGGCGUCCUUGCGCUCGAGCCUUUGUCGAUUCACACGACCCUUUUUCUGUGUUCGAGGCUAUGGUUGCAUCGCGCUUUGGUAGUCGCGUGUGCGAGCGGGGGCGUCGAGUCAGGGGCCUUGAUUUGCUUACGGGUCCUCUCAUUAUGAGCAUUGGUUGGGGUACCCCUUAUUGACACCCUCGACACACCUGCUUGUACUCCUAGGUAAAAGGCUCAAGUGAAAGCUCCGUUUGGUCUAUUUAGAGAUAGUGCUAAUCUUGAGGAAAGAUAGAUGCACGGUCUGCAUGGAACAUACCAUAUUCUUAGAAAUUAUUUUGGACACACCCGAUAGAACUCCUUGAUGACGUGUGUCAUAUGGAAUCUCACUUUGGUGUGCUUAGAGACAGUAUUAGUUUCGGUGCAAGAUAUGUGCACGGUUUGCGCCUAAUGCACCAAAGUCUAAGAAACCAUUUUGGAAGCACCUGUUGUAACUCCUAGGUGAAGAGGCUCAAGUGGAGGCUCGGUUCGGUCUGUUUAGAGAUAGUGCUAAUCUUGAUGCAAUAUAGGUGCAUGAUUUGCAUGGAACAUACCAUAUGCUCAGAAAUCAAUUUGGACGCACUAGAUGGAACUCCUAGAUGACAUGUGUCAUAUGGAAUCUCACUUUGGUCCGUUUAGAGAGUGUUAGUUUCGGUGCAAGAUAGGUGCACGGUUUCCACCUAAUGCACCAUAGGAUAAGAAACAAUUUUGGAGGCACCUGAUGGUACUCCUAGGUCAAGGGGCUCAAGGGAGAGCUCGGUUUGGUCUGUUUGGAGAUAGUGCUAAUCUUGAUGCAAGAUAGAUGCACGGUUUGCAUGGAACAUACGAUAUGCUCAGAAAUCAAUUAGGACGCACCUGAUGUAACUCCUUGAUGAAGUGUGUCAUAUGGAAUCUUGCAUCGGUUCGUUUAGAGACAGUGUUAGUUUUGGUAGAAGAUAUGUGCACGGUUUACGCCUAAUGCACCAUAGGCUAAGAAACCAUUUUAGACGCACCCGAUGGUACUUGUAGUUGAAGAGGCUCAAGCGGAGGCUCGAUUUUGUCUAUUCGGAUAUAGUGCUAAUCUUGAUGCAAGAUAGUUGCACAUUUUGCAUGGAACGUACCAUAUGUUAAUAAAUCAAUUUAGACACACCUAAUGGAACUCGUAGAUGACGUAUGUCAUAUGGAAUCUCGCUUCGGUCUGUAUGGAGACAAUGUUAGUUUUGAUGGAAGAUAGGUGCAUAGUUUGUGCCUAAUGCACCAAAGUCUAAGAAUCCAUUUUUGACGCACCUGUUUGUACUCCUAGAUGAAGAGGCUGAAGUGGAAGCUCGGUUCGGUCUAUUUAGAGAUAGUGCUAAUGUUGAUGCAAGAUAGGUGCACGGUUUGCAUGGAACAUAACAUAUGCUUGGAAUUCAAUUUGGAUGCACCCGAUGGAACUCCUUGAUGACGUGUGCCAUAUGGAAUCUCGCUUUGGUCUGUUUAGAAAUAGUGUUAGUUUCGAUGCAAGAUACGUGCAUGGUUUGCGCCUAAUGCACCAUAGUCUAAGAAACCAUUUUGGAAGCACCUGUAGGUACUUCGGUGAAGAGGCUCAAGUGGAAGCUCGGUUUGAUCUGUUUGGAGAUAGUGCUAAUCUUGAUGCAAGAUAGGUGCAUGAUUUGCAUGGAACAUACCAUAUGCUUAGAAAUCAAUUUGGACGCACCCAAUGGAACUCCUUGAUGACGUGUGUCAUAUGGAAUCUCGCUUCGGUACAUUUGGAGACAUUGUUAGUUUUAGUGCAAGAUAGGUGCACAGUUUGCACCUAAUGCACCAUAGUCUAUGAAACCAUUUUGGACGCACUUGUUGGUACUCCUAGGUGAAGGGGCUCAAGUGGAUGCUAGCCGGUUCGGUCUAUUUGGAGAUAGUGCUAAUCUUGAUCCAAGAUAGGUGCACGGUUUUCAUGGGAACAUACCAAAUGCUUGGAAAUCAAUCUAGACACACACGAUGGAACUCCUAGAUGACAUGUGUCAUACGAAAUCUUGCUUCGGUCUGUUUGGAGACAGUGUUAGUUUUGGUGCAAGAUAGGUGCAAGGUUUGCACAUAAUGCAGCAUAGGCUAAGAAACCAUUUUGGACGCAUCCGAUGGUACUCCUAGGUAAAAGGCUCAAGUGAAAGCUCAGUUUGGUCUAUUUGGAGAUAGUGCUAAUCUUGAUGCAAGAUAGAUGCACGGUCUGCAUGGAACGUACCAUAUUCUUAGAAAUUAAUUUGGACACACCCGAUAGAACUCCUUGAUGACGUGUGUCAUAUGGAAUCUCGCUUUGGUGUGCUUAGAGACAGUAUUAGUUUCGGUACAAGAUAUGUGCAUGGUUUGCGCCUAAUGCACCAAAUUCUAAGAAACUAUUUUGGAAGCACCUGUUGUAACUCCUAGGUGAAGAGGCUCAAGUGGAGGCUCGGUUCGGUCUGUUUAGAGAUAGUGCUAAUCUUGAUGCAAUAUAGGUGCACGAUUUGCAUGGAACAUACCAUAUGCUCAGAAAUCAAUUGGGACGCACUAGAUGGAACUCCUAGAUGACAUGUGUCAUAUGGAAUCUCACUUCGGUCUGUUUAGAGAGUGUUAGUUUCGGUGCAAGAUAGGUGCACGGUUUCCACCUAAUGCACCAUAGGAUAAGAAACAAUUUUGGAGGCACCUGAUGGUACUCCUAGGUCAAGGGGCUCAAGUGAGAGCUCGGUUUGGUCUAUUUGGAGAUAGUGCUAAUCUUGAUGCAAGAUAGAUGCACGGUUUGCAUGGAACAUACGAUAUGCUCAGAAAUCAAUUAGGACGCACCUGAUGUAACUCCUUGAUGAUGUGUGUCAUAUGGAAUCUUCCUUCGGUUCGUUUAGAGACUGUGUUAGUUUUGGUAGAAGAUAUGCGCACGGUUUACGCCUAAUGCACCAUAGGCUAAGAAACCAUUUUAGACGCACCCGAUGGUACUCGUAGUUGAAGAGGCUCAAGUGGAGGCUCAAUUUGGUCUGUUCAGAUAUAGUGGUAAUCUUGAUGCAAGAUAGUUGCACAGUUUGCAUGGAACAUACCAUAUGUUAUGAAAUCAAUUUGGACGCACCCAAUGGAACUCUUAGAUGACGUGUCAUAUGGAAUCUCGCUUCGGUCUGUUUGGAGACAAUGUUAGUUUUGGUGCAAGAUAGGUGCAUAAUUUGUGCCUAAUGCACCAUAGUCUAAGAAACCAUUUUUGACACACCUGUUUGUACUCCUAGAUGAAGAGGCUGAAGUGGAAGCUCGGUUCAGUCUGUUUGGAGAUAGUGCUAAGCUUGAUGCAAGAUAGGUGCACAGUUUGCAUGGAACAUGCCAUAUGCUUGGAAAUCAAUUUGGAUGCACCUGAUGGAACUCCUUGACGACGUGUGUCACAUGGAAUCUCGCUUCGGUCCAUUUAGAAACAGUGUUAGUUUUGCUGCAAGAUAUGUGCUUGGUUUGCGCCUAAUGCACCAUAGUCUAAGAAACCAUUUUGGAUGCACCUGUUGGUACUUCAGUGAAUAGGCUCAAGUGGAAUCUCGGUUUGAUCUGUUUGGAGAUAUUGCUAAUCUUGAUGCAAGAUAGGUGCAUGAUUUGCAAGGAACAUUCCAUAUGCUUAGAAAUCAAUUUGGACACACCGAAUGGAACUCCUAGAUGACGUGUGUCAUAUGGAAUCUUGCUUCGGUCCAUUUGUAGACAUUGUAAGUUUUAGUGCAAGAUAGGUGCACAGUUUGCGCCUAAUGCACCAUAGUCAAAGAAACCAUUUUGGACGCACUACUUAAUACUCCUAGGUGAAGAGGCUCAAGUGGAAGCUUGGUUCGGUCUGUUUGGAGAUAGUGCUAAUCCUUAUGCAAGGUAGGUGCAUGGUUUGCAUGGAAAAUACCAUAUGCUUAGAAGUCAAUUUGGAUGCACCCGAUGGAACUCCAUGAUGACAUGUGUCACAUGGAAUCUUGCUUCGGUCUAUUUGGAGACAUUGUUAGUUUCGGUGCAAGAUAGGUGCACAGUUUGCACCUAAUGCACCAUAGUCUAAGAAACCAUUUUGGACGCACUUGUUGGUACUCCUAGGUGAAGGGGCUCAAGUGGAUGCUCGGUUUUGUGUGUUUGGAGAUAGUGAUAAUCUUGAUGCAAGAUAGGUGCAUGGUUUGCAUCGAACAUACCAAUUGCUUGGAAAUCAAUCUGGACGCACAUGAUGGAACUCCUAGAUGACGUGUGCCAUAUGAAAUCUUGCUUCAAUCUGUUUGGAGAGAGUGUUAGUUUCGGUGCAAGAUAGGUGCAAGGUUUGCACAUAAUGUAGCAUGGGCUAAGAAACCAUUUUGGACACACACGAUGGUACUCCAAGGUAAAAGGCUCAAGUGAAAGCUCAGUUUGGUCUAUUUGGAGAUAGUGCUAAUCUUGAUGCAAGAUAGAUGCACGGUCUGCAUGGAACGUACCAUAUGCUUAGAAAUUAAUUUGGACACACCUGAUAGAAUUCCUUGAUGACGUGUGUCAGAUGGAAUCUCGCAUUGGUGUGCUUAGAGACAGUAUUAGUUUCGGUGCAAGAUAUGUGCACGGUUUGCAAGGAACAUACCAAAUGCUUGGAAAUCAAUCUAGACGCAGACGAUGGAACUCCUAGAUGACGUGUGUCAUACGAAAUCUUGCUUCGGUCUGUUUGGAAACAGUGUUAGUUUUGGUGCAAGGUUUGCACAUAAUGCAGCAUAGGCUAAAAACCCAUUUUGUACGCACCCGAUGGUACUCCUAGAUAAAGGGCUCAAGUGAAAGAUCGGUUUGGUCUAUUUGGAGAUAGUGCUAAUCUUGAUGCAAGAUAGAUGCACGGUCCGCAUGGAACGUACCAAAUGCUUAGAAAUUAAUUUGGACACACCCGAUAGAACUCCUUGAUGAUGUGUGUCACAUAGAAUCUUGCAUUGGUGUGCUUAGAGACAAUAUAGUUUCGGUGCAAGAUAUGUGCACGGUUUGCGUCUAAUGCACCAAAGUCUAAGAAACCAUUUUGGAAGCACCUGUUGAUACUCCUAGGUGAGAGGUUCAAGUGGAGGCUCGGUUCGGUCUGUGUUAGAGAUAGUGCUAAUCUUGAUGCAAGAUAGGUGCACGGUUUGCAUGGAACGUACCAUAUGCUUGGAAAUCAAUUUGGAUGCAACUGAUGGAGCUCCUUGAUGACGUGUGUCAUAUGGAAUCUCGCUUUGGUCUGUUUAGAAACAGUAUUAGUUUUUGUGCAAGAUAUGUGCAUGGUUUGCGCCUAAUGCACCAUAGUCUAAGAAACCAUUUUGGAUGCACCUAUUGGUACUUCGGUGAAGAUGCUCAAGUGGAAGCUCGGUUUGAUCUAUUUGGAGAUAGUGCUAAUCUUGAUGCAAGAUAGAUGCACGGUUUGCAUGGAAAAUGUGAUAUGCUCAGAAAUCAAAUAGGACGCACCUGAUAUAACUCCUUGAUGAUGUGCGUCAUAUGGAAUCUUGCUUCGGUUUGUUUAGAGACAAUGUUAGUUUUGGUAGAAGAUAUGUGCACAGUUUACGCCUAAUGCACCAUAGGCUAAGAAACCAUUUUAGACGCACCCGAUGGUACUCGUAGUUGAAGAGGCUCAAGUGGAGGCUCAAUUUGGUCUGUUUAGAUAGAGUGCUAAUCUUGAUGCAAGAUAGUUGCACAGUUUGCAUGGAACAUACCAUAUGUUAAGAAAUCAAUUUGGACGCACCCAAUGGAACUCCUAGAUGACAUGUCAUAUAGAAUCUCGUUGCGGUCUGUUUGGAGAUAAUGUUAGUUAUGGUGCAAGAUAGGUGCAUAGUUUGAGCCUAAUGCACCAUAGCCUAAGAAACCAUUUUUAACGCACCUGUUUGUACUCCUAGAUAAAGAGGCUCAAGUGGAAGCUCGGUUCGGUCUGUUUGGAGAUAGUGCUAAUCUUGAUGCAAGAUAGGUGCACGGUAUGCAUGGAACAUACCAUAUGCUUGGAAAUCAAUUUGGAUGCACCCGAUGGAACUGCUUGAUGACGUGUGUCAUAUGGAAUCUCGCUUUGGUCUGUUUAGAAUCAGUGUUAGUUUUUGUGCAAGAUAUGUGCAUGGUUUGCGCCUAAUGCACCAUAGUCUAAGAAACCAUUUUGGAUGCACCUAUUGGUACUUCGGUGAAGAUGCUCAAGUGGAAGCUCGGUUUGAUCUAUUUGGAGAUAGUGCUAAUCUUGAUGCAAGAUAGAUGCACGGUUUGCAUGGAACAUACGAUAUGCUCAGAAAUCAAUUAGGACACACCGGAUAUAACUCCUUGCAAGGAACGUACCAUAUGCUUAGAAAUCAAUUUGGACGCACCCAAUGGAACUCCUAGAUGACGUGUGUCAUAUGGAAUCUUGCUUCGGUCCGUUUGUAGACAUUGUAAGUUUUAGUGCAAGAUAGGUGCACAGUUUGCGCCUAAUGCACCAUAGUCUAAGAAACUAUUUUAGACGCACUAUUUGGUACUCCUGGGUGAAGAGGCUCAAGUGGAAGCUUGGUUCGGUCAGUUUGGAGAUAGUGCUAAUCCUUAUGCAAGGUAGGUUCAUGGUUUGCAUGGAACAUACCAUAUGCUUGGAAAUCAAUUUGGAUCCACCCGAUGGAACUCCUUGAUGAUGUGUGUCAUAUGGAAUCUCGCUUCGGUCCAUUUGGAGAAAUUGUUAGUUUCGGUGCAAGAUAGGUGCACAGUUUGCACCUAAUGCACCAUAGUCUAAGAAACCAUUUUGGACACACUUGUUGGUACUCCUAGGUGAAGGGGCUCAAGUGGAUGUUCGGUUCGGUCUGUUUGGAGAUAGUGCUAAUCUUGAUGCAAGAUAGGUGCACGGUUUGCAUGGAACAUACAAAAUGCUUGGAAAUCAAUCUGGACGCACAUGAUGGAACCCUAGAUGACGUGUGUCAUACAAAAUCUUGCUUCGGUCUGUUUGGAGACAUUGUUAGUUUCGGUGCAAGAUAGGUGCACAGUUUGCACCUAAUGCACCAUAGUCUAAGAAACCAUUUUGGAUGCACCUGUUGGUACUUCGGUGAAGAGGCUCAAAUGGAAACUCGGUUUGAUCUGUUUGGAGAUAGUGCUAAUCUUGAUGCAAGAUAUGUGCAUGAUUUGCAAGGAACAUACCAUAUGCUUAGAAAAUCAAUUUAUAUGCACCCAAUGGAACUCCUAGAUGACGUGUGUCAUAUGGAAUCUUGCUUCGGUCCAUUUGUAGACAUUGUAUGUUUUAGUGCAAGAUAGGUGCAAAGUUUCGCCUAAUGCACCGUAGUCUAAGAAACCAUUUUGGACGCACUAUUUGGUACUCCUGGGUGAAGAGGCUCAAGUGGAAGCUUGGUUUGGUUAAUUCGGAGAUAAUGCUAAUUCUUAUACAAGGUAGGUGCUUGGUUUGCAUGGAACAUUGGAAAUCAAUUUGGAUGCACCCGAUUGAACUCCUUGAUGACUUGUGUCAUAUGGAAUCUUGCUUCGGUCCAUUUGGAGACAUUGUUAGUUUUGGUGUAAGAUAGGUGCACAGUUUGCACCUAAUGGCACCAUAGUCUAAGAAACCAUUUUGUAUGCACUUGUUGGUACUCCUAGGUGAACGGGCUCAAGUGGAUGCUCGGUUUGGUCUGUAUGGAGAUAGUGCUAAUCUUGAUCCAUGAUAGGUGCACGGUUUGCAUGGAACAUACCAAAUGCUUGGAAAUCAAUCUGGACGCACAUGAUGGAACUCCUAGAUGACGUGUGUCAUACAAAAUCUUGCUUCGGUCUGUUUGGAGAUAGUGUUAGUUUCAGUGCAAGAUAGGUGCUAGGUUUGUACAUAAUGCAGCAUAGGCUAAGAAACCAUUUUGGACGCACCCGAUGGUACUCGUAGAUAAAAGGCUCAAGUGAAAGCUCGGUUUGGUCUAUUUGGAGAGAGUGCUAAUCUUGAUGCAAGAUAGAUGCACGGUCUGCAUGGAACAUACCAUAUGCUUAAAAAUUAAUUUGGACACACCCGAUAGAACUCCUUGAUGACGUGUGUCAUAUGGAACCUAGCUUUGGUGUGCUUAGAGACAGUAUUAGUUUUGGUGCAAGAUAUGUGCACGGUUUGCACCUAAUGCACCAAAGUCUAAGAAACCAUUUUGGAAGCACCUGUUGGUACUCCUAGGUGAAGAGGCUCAAGUGGAGGCUCGGUUCGGUCUGUUUAGAGAUAGUCCUAAUCUUGAUGCAAGAGAGGUGCACGAUUUGCAUGGAACAUACCAUAUGCUCAGAAAUCAAUUUUGACACACCAGAUGGAACUCCUAGAUGACAUGUGUCAUAUGGAAUCUCACUUCUUUCCGUUUAGAGACAGCGUUAGUUUCGGUGCAAGAUAGGUGCACGGUUUGCACCUAAUGCACCAUAGGAUAAGAAACCAUUUUGGACGCACCCGAUGGUACUCCUAGGUCAAGGGGCUCAAGUGAAAGCUCCGUUUCGUCUGUUUGGAGAUAGUGCUAAUCUUGAUGCAAGAUAGAUGCACGGUUUGCUUGGAACAUAUGAUAUGCUCAGAAAUCAAUUAGGACGCACCUGAUAUAACUCCUUGAUGAUGUGUUUCAUUUGGAAUCUUGCUUCGGUUCGUUUCUAGACUGUGUUAGUUUUGGUAGAAGAUAUGUGCACGGUUUACGCCUAAUGCACCAUAGGCUAUGAAACCAUUUUAGACGCACCCGAUGGUACUCAUAGUUGAAGAGGCUCAAGUGGAGGCUCGAUUUGGUCUGUUCAGAUAUAGUGCUAAUCUUGAUGCAAGAUAGUUGCACAGUUUGCAUGGAACGUACCAUAUGUUAAGAAAUCAAUUUGGACGCACCCAAUGGAACUCCUAGAUGAUGUGUGUCAUAUGGAAUCUCGCUUCGGUCUGUUUGGAGGUAAUGUUAGUUUCAGUGCAAGAUAGGUGCAUAGUUUGUGCCUAAUGCACCAUAGUCUUACCAUUUUUGACGCACCUGUUUGUACUACUAGAUGAAGAGGCUCAAGUGGAAGCUCGGUUCGGUCUGUUUGGAGAUAGUGCUAAUCUUGAUGCAAGAUAGGUGCACGGUAUGCAUGGAACAUACCAUAUGCUUGGAAAUCAAUUUGGAUGCACCCGGUGGAACUCCUUGAUGACGUGUGUCAUAUGGAAUCUCGCUUAGGUCUGUUUAGAAACAGUGUUAGUUUCGGUGCAAGAGAUGUUGGAAGCACCUGUUGGUACUUCGGUGAAGAGGCUCAAGUGGAAACUCGGUUUUAUCUGUUUGGAGAUAGUGCUAAUCUUGGUGCAAGAUAGGUGCAUGAUUUGCAUGGAACAUACCAUAUGCUUAGAAAUCAAUUUGGACGCACCCAAUGGAACUCCUAGAUGACAUGUGUCAUAUGGAAUCUUGCUUCGGUCCGUUUGUAGACAUUGUAAGUUUUAGUGCAAGAUAGGUGCACAAUUUGCGCCUAAUGCUCCAUAGUCUAAGAAACCAUUUUAGAUGCACUAUUUGGUACUCUUGGGUGAAGAGGCUCAAGUGGAAGCUUGGUUCGGUCAGUUUGGAGAUAGUUCUAAUCCUUAUGCAAGGUAGGUGCAUGGUUUGCAUGGGACAUACCAUAUGCUUGGAAAUCAAUUUGGAUGCUCCCGAUGGAACUCCUUGAUGAUGUGUGUCAUAUGGAAUCACGCUUUGGUCUAUUUGGAGACAUUGUUAGUUUCGGUGCAAGAUAGGUGCCCAGUUUGCAACUAAUGCACCAUAGUCUAAGAAAUCAUUUUGGACACACUUGUUGGUACGCCUAGGUGAAGGGGCUCAAGUGGUUGCUCGGUUCGGUCUGUUUGGAGAUAGUGCUAAUCUUGAUUCAAGAUAGGUGCACGGUUUGCAUGGAACAUACCAAAUGCUUGGAAAUCAAUCUGGACGCACAUGAUGGAACUCAUAGAUGACGUGUGUCAUACGAAAUCUUGCUUCGGUCUAUUUGGAGACAUUGUUAGUUUCGGUGCAAGAUAGGUGCACAGUUUGCACCUAAUGCACCAUAGUCUAAGAAACCAUUUUGGAUGCACCUGUUAGUACUUCGGUGAAGAGGCUCAAGUGGAAGCUCUGUUUGAUCUGCUUGGAGAUAGUGCUAAUCUUGAUGCUAGAUAGGUGCAUGAUUUGCAAGGAACAUACCAUAUGAUUAGAAAUCAAUUUGGACGCACCCAAUGGAACUCCUAGAUGACGUGUGUCUCCUAGAUGACGUGUGUCAUAUGGAAUCUUGCUUCGAAUCCUGUUUCGGUCCAUUUGUAGACAUUGUAAGUUUUAGUGCAAGAUAGGUGCACAGUUUGCGCCUAAUGCACCAUAGUCUAAGAAACCAUUUUGGACGCACUAUUUCGUAUUCCUGGGUGAAAAGGCUCAAGUGGAAGCUUGGUUUGGUCAGUUUGGAGAUAGUGCUAAUCCUUAUGCGAGGUAGGAGCAUGGUUUGCAUGGAACAUUGGAAAUCAAUUUGAAUGCAACCGAUGGAACUCCUUGAUGACAUGUGUCAUAUGGAAUCUCGCUUCGGUCCAUUUGGAGACAUUGUUAGUUUCGGUGUAAGAUAGGUUCACAGUUUGCACCUAAUGAACCAUAGUCUAAGAAACCAUUUUGUAUGCAUAGUUUGUACAUAAUGCACCAUAGGCUAAGAAACCAUUUUGGACGCACCCGAUGGUACUCCUAGGUAAAAGGCUCAAGUGAAAGCUCAGUUUGGUCUAUUUGGAGAGAGUGCUAAUCUUGAUGCAAGAUAGAUGCAUGGUCUGCAUGGAACGUAACAUAUGCUUAAAAAUUAAUUUGGACACACCCGAUAGAACUCCUUGAUGACGUGUGUCAUAUGGAAUCUCGCUUUGGUGUGCUUAGAGACAGUAUUAGUUUCGGUGCAAGAUAUGUGCACGGUUUGCGCCUAAUGCACCAAAGUCUAAGAAACCAUUUUGGAAGCACCUGUUGGUACUCCUAGGUGAAGAGGCUCAAGUGGAGGCUCGGUUUGGUCUGUUUAGAGAUAGUCCUAAUCUUGAUGCAAGAUAGGUGCACGAUUUGCAUGGAACAUACCAUAUGUUCAGAAAUCAAUUUGGACACACCAGAUGGAACUCCUAGAUGACAUGUGUCAUAUGGAAUCUCAAUUCCGUCCGUUUAGAGACAGUGUUAGUUUUGGUGCAAGAUAGGUGCACGGUUUGCACCUAAUGCACCAUAGGAUAAGAAACCAUUUUGGACGCACCCGAUGGUACUCCUAGGUCAAGGGGCUCAAGUGACAGCUCGGUUUGGUCUCUUUGGAGAUAGUGGUAAUCUUGAUGCAAGAUAGAUGCACGGUUUGCAUGGAACAUAUGAUAUGCUCAGAAAUCAAUCAGGACGCACCUGAUAUAACUCCUUGAUGAUGUGUGUCAUAUGGAAUCUUGCUUCGGUUCGUUUAGAGACAGUGUUAGUUUUGGUAGAAGAUAUGUGCAUGGUUUAUGCCAAAUGCAUCAUAGGCUAAGAAACCAUUUUAGACGCACCUGAUGGUACUCGUAGUUGAAGAGGCUCAAGUGGAGGCCUUAUUUGGUCUGUUCGGAUAUAGUGCUAAUCUUGAUGCAAGAUAGUUACACAGUUUGAUGGAACAUACCAUAUGUUAAGAAAUCAAUUUGGACGCACCCAAUGGAACUCCUAGAUGACGUGUGUCAUAUGGAAUCUCGCUUUGGUCCAUUUGGAGACAAUGUUAGUUUCGGUGCAAGAUAGGUGCAUAGUUUGUGCCUAAUGCACCACAGUCUAAGAAACCAUUUUUGAUGCACCUGUGUGUACUUCUAGAUGAAGAGGCUCAAGUGGAAGCUCGGUUCGGUCUGUUUGGAGAUAGUGCUUAUAUUGAUGCAAGAUAGUUGCACGGUUUGCAUGGAACAUACCAUAUGCUUAGAAAUCAAUUUGGAUGCACCCGACGGAACUCCUUGAUGACGUGUGUCUUAUUGAAUCUCGCUUUGGUCUGUUUAGAAAUAGUGUUAGUUUCAAUGCAAGAUAUGGGCAUGGUUUGCACCUAAUGCACCAUAGUCUAGGAAACCAUUUUGGAAGCACCUGUUGGUACUUCGGUGGAGAGGCUCCAGUGGAAGCUCGAUUUGAUCUGUCUCGAGAUAGUGCUACUCUAGAUGCAAAAUAGGUGCAUGAUUUGCAAGGAACAUACCAUAUGCUUAGAAAUCAAUUUGGACGCACCCAAUGGAACUCCUAGAUGACGUGUGUCAUAUGGAAUCUUGCUUCGGUCCAUUUGUAGACAUUGUAAGUAUUAGUGCAAGAUAGGUGCACAGUUUGCGCGUAAUGCACCGUAGUCUUUGAAACCAUUUUUGACUCCCUAUUUGGUACUCCUGGAUGAAGAGGCUCAAGUGGAAGCUUGGUUCGGUCAGUUUGGAGAUAAUGCUAAUCCUUAUGCAAGGUAGGUGCAUGGUUUGCAUGGAACAUACCAUAUGCUUGGAAAUCAAUUUGGAUGCACCCGAUGGGACUCCUUGAUGACGUGUGUCAUUUGGAAUCUCGCUUUGGUCCAUUUGGAGACAUUGUUAGUUUCGGUGCAAGAUAGGUGCACAGUUUGCACCUAAUGCACCAUAGUCUAAGAAAUCAUUUUGGACGCACCUGUUGGUACUCCUAGGUGAAGGGGCUCAAGUGGAUGCUCGGUUCGGUCUGUUUGGAGAUAGUGCUAAUCUUGAUGUAAGAUAGGUGCACGGUUCGCAUGGAACAUACCAAAUACUUGAAAAUCAAUCUGCACGCACAUGAUGGAACUCCUAGAUGACGUGUGUCAUAUGAAAUCUUGCUUCGGUCUGUUUGGAGACAGUGUUAGUUUCGGUGCAAGAUAGGUGCAAGGUUUGCACAUAAUGCAGCCUAGGCUAAGAAACCAUUUUGGACGCACCUGAUGGUACUCGCUAGGUAAAAGGCUCAAGUGAAAGCUCGGUUCGGUCUGUUUAGAGAUAGUGCUAAUCUUGAUACAAGAUAGGUGCACGAUUUGCAUGGAACAUACCAUAUGCUCAGAAAUCAAUUUGGACACACCAGAUGGAACUCCUAGAUGGGUGUCAUAUGGAAUCUCAAUUUCGUCCGUUUAGAGACAGUGUUAGUUUUGGUGCAAGAUAGGUGCACGGUUUACACCUAAUGCACCAUAGGAUAAGAAACCGUUUUGGACGCACCCGAUGGUACUCCUAGGUCAAGGGGCUCAAGUGACAGCUCGGUUUGGUCUGUUUGGAGAUAGUGCUAAUCUUGAUGCAAGAUAGAUGCACGGUUUACAUGGAACAUAUGAUAUGCUCAGAAAUCAAUUAGGAGGCACCUGAUAUAACUCCUUGAUGAUGUGUGUCAUUGGAAUCUUGCUUCGGUUCGUUUAGAGACAGUGUUAGUUUUGGUAGAAGAUAUGUGCACGGUUUACGCCUAAUGCACCAUUGGCGAAGAAACCAUUUUAGACGCACCCAAUGGUACUCGUAGUGGAGGUUCGAUUUGGUCUGUUCGGAUAUAGUGCUAAUCUUAAUUCAAGAUAGUUGCAUAGUUUGCAUGAAACAUACCAUAUGUUAAGAAAUCAAUUUGGACGCACCCAAUGCAACUCCUUGACGACGUGUGUCAUAUGGAAUCUUGCUUUGGUCUAUUUGGAGACAAUGUUAGUUUCGGUGCAAGAUAGGUGCAUAGUUUGUGCCUAAUACACCAUAGUCUAAGAAACCAUUUUUGAUGCACCUGUUUGUACUCCUAGAUGAAGAGGCAAGUGGAAGCUCGGUUCGAUUUGUUUGGAGAUAGUGCUAAUCUUGAUGCAAGAUAGGUGCACGGUUUGCAUGGAACAUACCAUAUGCUUGGAAAUCAAUUUGGAUGCACCCGAUGGAACUCCUUGAUGACGUGUGUCAUACGGAAUCUCACUUUGGUUUGUUUAGAAACAGUGUUAGUUUCCGUGCAAGAUAUGUGCAUGGUUUGCGCCUAAUGCACCAUAGUCUAAGAAACCAUUUUGGACGCACUAUUUGGUACUCCUGGGUGAAGAGGCUCAAGUGGAAGCUUGGUUCGGUCAGUUUGGAGAUAGUGCUAAUCCUUAUGCAAGGUAGGUGCAUGGUUUGUAUGGAACAUACCAUAUGGUUGGAAAUCAAUUUGGAUGCACCCGAUGGAACUCCUUGAUGACGUGUGUCAUAUAGAAUCUCACUUCAGUCCAUUUGGAGACAUUGUUAGUUUCAGUGCAAGAUAGGUGCAUAGUUUGCACCUAAUGCACCAUAGUCUAAGAAACCAUUUUGGACGCACUUGUUGGUACUUCGGUGAAGGGGAUCAAGUGGAUGCUCGGUUCGGUCUGUUUGGAGAUAGUGCUAAUCUUGAUGCAAGAUAGGUGCACGGUUUGCAUGGAACAUACCAAAUGCUUGGAAAUCAAUCUGGACGCACAUGAUGGAACCCUAGAUGACGUGUGUCAUACAAAAUCUUGCUUCGGUCUGUUUGGGGACAUUGUUAGUUUCGGUGCAAGAUAGCUUGUCGAGGGUAUCAGUAAGGGGUACCCUCACCGACCCACAUAUCGAGAUUAUCCGUACGCAGGUCGAAGCCCUCAAUCGACGCCCUGGUCAUACAUGUGCGCGGUCAUCGACGACCGCAGCCUCGAAGACGGAAAUGGCGUCGAGCAAAUCGAUCAGGGGUCGAGCGCUAGCUACCGUCGAGUACAGAAGCGGGCUCGCGCAAACCGGGAGGCAUCGAGCGCAAGGACGCCGCCCGCCGCCUGACAUGCGCACGAGAGCCAGGGCAUUUAAUGCGCCUGUCGCUUUCCCACCUAACACGCUGAUCACGGGAAGCGUGAUAGGGAACAGGCACCCGUCCCGUCGUUCUUUUUGCAGCCUUCCCCACCAAACGACCCAGGGCGUGUCAGGACGCGGGAAACAGGGACGGAACGUCCAAUCAGGACCCCCUCGAGACAACCAAAGUCAGCGCUCCGGAUAUCAGGACAUAGCGUGGCGUCCGACCCUCGACCAGACCUAGUUCCUUCCUGGGGAUGAAUUGGGCAUCGACUGACAAUGCCACAACCAUUCUGCCGGAUCUGCCGCCGUGUCGUACAGGCGUGCGACUGGUGAACCAGCCCAAGACGGCGCGCAGGGCAGGUUACAGGGGCACGCGUGAUCAUCACCAGGCUACUAAGACGGGAUGGCUCGAGGUCACGCCGGUACGGAGGCCUCGAGUAGGUCAGCGCUCCAUGCUUCUAUCGACCCCUACUCUGACACCUAUACUUGUACCCUGGGUCUCUCUUUCGAGCUAUAAAAGGAAGGACCCGGGAAUAGAUAGAGGACACACGCAACACUUCACCAUACGCGGUAGGACUCCCAUACUCCAUACCACGCUUGUAUUCGCCCCUGUACAAGCACUUAGGUGCAAGAUAAUACAAGCUUCCCUCCCCCGCUGGACGUAGGGCCUUCUCUUGCCCAAACCAGGAUAAAUCUCUGUGUCUUCUUGCAUCACCAUCUGGGAAAGGGAGCACGCAUAUAAAUUUACUCGUUGGUGUGACCCCCCGUGGGGAAAACACCGACAUAGGUGCACAGUUUGCACCUAAUGCACCAUAGUCUAAGAAACCAUUUUGGAUGCACCUGUUGGUACUUCGGUGAAGAGGCUCAAGUGGAAGCUCGGUUUGAUCUGUUUGGAGAUAGUGCUAAUCUUGAUGCAAGAUAGGUGCAUGAUUUGCAAGGAACAUACCAUAUGCUUAGAAAAUCAAUUUGUACGCACCCAAUGGAACUCCUAGAUGACGUGUGUCAUAUGGAAUCUUGCUUCGGUCCAUUUGUAGACAUUGUAAGUUUUAGUGCAAGAUAGGUGCACAGUUUGUGCCUAAUUCACCAUAGUCUAAGAAACCAUUUUGGACGCACUAUUUGGUACUCCUAGGUGAAGAGGCUCAAGUGGAAGCUUGGUAUGGUCAGUUUGGAGAUAGUGCUAAUCCUUAUGCAAGGUAGGUGCAUGGUAUGCAUGGAACAUUGGAAAUCAAUUUGGAUGCACCCGAUGGAACUCCUUGAUGACGUGUGUCAUAUGGAAUCUCGCUUCGCUUCAUUUGAAGACAUUGUUAGUUUUGGUGUAAGAUAGGUGCACAGUUUGCACCAAAUGCACCAUAGUCUAAGAAACCAUUUUGUAUGCACUUGUUGGUACUCCUAGGUGAAGGGGCUCAAGCGGAUGCUCGAUUUGGUCUAUUUGGAGAUAGUGCUAAUCUUGAUCCAUGAUAGGUGCACGGUUUGCAUGGAACACACCAAAUGCUUGGAAAUCAAUCUGGACGCACAUGAUGGAACUCCCAGAUGACGUGUGUCAUACGAAAUCUCACUUCGGUCUAUUUGGAGACAGUGUUAGUUUCGGUGCAAGAUAGGUGCAAGGUUUGUACAUAAUGCAGCAUAGGCUAAGAAACCAUUUUGGACGCACCCGAUGGUACUCGUAGGUAAAAGGCUCAAGUGAAAGCUCGGUUUGGUCUAUUUCGAGAGAGUGCUAAUCUUGAUGCAAGAUAGAUGUACGGUCUGCAUGGAACAUACCAUAUGCUUAAAAAUUAAUUUGGACACACCCGAUAGAACUCCUUGAUGACGUGUGUCAUAUGGAAUCUCGCUUUAGUGUGUUUACAGACAGUAUUAGUUUUGGUGCAAGAUAUGUGCACGGUUUGCGCCUAAUGCACCAAAGUCUAAGAAACCAUUUUGGAAGUUGGUACUCCUAGGUGAAGAGGCUCAAGUGCAGGCUCGGUUUGGUCUGUUUAGAGAUAGUCCUAAUCUUGAUGCAAGAUAGUUGCACGAUUUGCAUGGAACAUACCAUAUGCUCAGAAAUCAAUUUGGACACACCAGAUGGAACUCCUAGAUGACAUGUGUCAUAUGGAAUCUCACUUCAGUCCGUUUAGAAAUAGCGUUAGUUUCGGUGCAAGAUAGGUGUACGGUUUGCACCUAAUGCACCAUAGGAUAAGAAACCAUUUUGGACGCACCCGAUGGUACUCCUAGGUCAAGGGGCUCAAGUGAAAGCUCCGUUUCGUCUGUUUAGAGAUAGUGCUAAUCUUGAUGCAAGAUAGAUGCACGGUUUGCAUGGAACAUAUGAUAUGCUCAUAAAUCAAUUUCAACGCACCUGAUAUAACUCCUUGAUGAUGUGUGUCAUAUGGAAUCUUGCUUCAGUUCGUUUCUAGACAGUGUUAGUUUUGGUAGAAGAUAUGUGCACGGUUUACGCCUAAUGCACCAUAGGCUAUGAAACCAUUUUAUACGCACCUGAUGGUACUCAUAGUUGAAGAGGCUCAAGUGGAGGCUCGAUUUGGUCUGUUCAGAUAUAGUGCUAAUCUUGAUGCAAGAUAGUUGCACAGUUUGCAUGGAACGUACCAUAUGUUAAGAAAUCAAUUUGGAUGCACCGAAUGGAACUCCUAGAUGAUGUGUGUCAUAUGGAAUCUUGCUUCGGUCUAUUUGGAGAUAAUGUUAGUUUCGGUGCAACAAAGGUGCAUAGUUUGUGCCUAAUGCACCAUAGUCGAAGAAACCAUUUUUGACGCACCUGUUUGUACUCCUAGAUGAAGAGGCUCAAGUGGAAGCUCGGUUCGGUCUGUUUGGAGAUAGUGCUAAUCUUGAUGCAAGAUAGGUGCACGGUAUGCAUGGAACAUACCAUAUGCUUGGAAAUCAAUUUGGAUGCACCCGAAGGAACUCCUUGAUGACGUGUGUCAUAUGGAAUCUCGCUUUGGUCUGUUUAGAAACAGUAUUAGUUUCUGUGCAAGAUAUGUGCAUGGUUUGCGCCUAAUGCACCAUAGUCUAAGAAACCAUUUUGGAUGCACCUGUUGGUACUUCGGUGAAGAGGCUCAAGUGGAAGCUCGGUUUGAUCUGUUUGGAGAUAGUGCUAAUCUUGAUGCAAGAUAAGUGCAUGAUUUGCAAGGAACAUACCAUAUGCUUAGAAAAUCAAUUUGUACGCACCCAAUGGAACUCCUAGAUGACGUGUGUCAUAUGGAAUCUUGCUUCGGUCCAUUUGUAGACAUUGUAAGUUUUAGUGCAAGAUAGGUGCACAGUUUGUGCCUAAUUCACCAUAGUCUAAGAAACCAUUUUGGACGCACUAUUUGGUACUCCUAGGUGAAGAGGCUCAAGUGAAAGCUUGGUAUGGUCAGUUUGGAGAUAGUGCUAAUCCUUAUGCAAGGUAGGUGCAUGGUAUGCAUGGAACAUUGGAAAUCAAUUUGGAUGCACCCGAUGGAACUCCUUGAUGACGUGUGUCAUAGGGAAUGUCGCUUCGGUUCAUUUGAAGACAUUGUUAGUUUUGGUGUAAGAUAGGUGCACAGUUUGCACCAAAUGCACCAUAGUCUAAGAAACCAUUUUGUAUGCACUUGUUGGUACUCCUAGGUGAAGGGGCUCAAGCGGAUGCUCGAUUUGGUCUAUUUGGAGAUAGUGCUAAUCUUGAUCCAUGAUAGGUGCACGGUUUGCAUGGAACACACCAAAUGCUUGGAAAUCAAUCUGGACGCACAUGAUGGAACUCCUAGAUGACGUGUGUCAUACGAAAUCUCACUUCGGUCUAUUUGGAGACAGUGUUAGUUUCGGUGCAAGAUAGGUGCAAGGUUUGUACAUAAUGCAGCAUAGGCUAAGAAACCAUUUUGGACGCACCCGAUGGUACUCGUAGGUAAAAGGCUCAAGUGAAAGCUCGGUUUGGUCUAUUUCGAGAGAGUGCUAAUCUUGAUGCAAGAUAGAUGUACGGUCUGCAUGGAACAUACCAUAUGCUUAAAAAUUAAUUUGGACACACCCGAUAGAACUCCUUGAUGACGUGUGUCAUAUGGAAUCUCGCUUUAGUGUGUUUACGGACAGUAUUAGUUUUGGUGCAACAUAUGUGCACGGUUUGCGUCUAAUGCACCAAAGUCUAAGAAACCAUUUUGGAAGUUGGUACUCCUAGGUGAAGAGGCUCAAGUGCAGGCUCGGUUUGGUCUGUUUAGAGAUAGUCCUAAUCUUGAUGCAAGAUAGUUGCACGAUUUGCAUGGAACAUACCAUAUGCUCAGAAAUCAAUUUGGACACACCAGAUGGAACUCCUAGAUGACAUGUGUCAUAUGGAAUCUCACUUCAGUCCGUUUAGAAAUAGCGUUAGUUUCGGUGCAAGAUAGGUGCACGGUUUGCACCUAAUGCACCAUAGGAUAAGAAACCAUUUUGGACGCACCCGAUGGUACUCCUAGGUCAAGGGGCUCAAGUGAAAGCUCCGUUUCGUCUGUUUAGAGAUAGUGCUAAUCUUGAUGCAAGAUAGAUGCACGGUUUGCAUGGAACAUAUGAUAUGCUCAGAAAUCAAUUUGAACGCACCUGAUAUAACUCCUUGAUGAUGUGUGUCAUAUGGAAUCUUGCUUCAGUUCAUUUCUAGACAAUGUUAGUUUUGGUAGAAGAUAUGUGCACGGUUUACGCCUAAUGCACCAUAGGCUAUGAAACCAUUUUAUACGCACCUGAUGGUGCUCAUAGUUGAAGAGGCUCAAGUGGAGGCUCGAUUUGGUCUGUUCAGAUAUAGUGCUAAUCUUGAUGCAAGAUAGUUGCACAGUUUGCAUGGAACGUACCAUAUGUUAAGAAAUCAAUUUGGACGCACCCAAUGGAACUCCUAGAUGAUGUGUGUCAUAUGGAAUCUUGCUUCUGUCUAUUUGGAGAUAAUGUUAGUUUCGGUGCAACAAAGGUGCAUAGUUUGUGCCUAAUGCACCAUAGUCGAAGAAACCAUUUUUGACGCACCUGUUUGUACUCCUAGAUGAAGAGGCUCAAGUGGAAGCUCGGUUCGGUCUGUUUGGAGAUAGUGCUAAUCUUGAUGCAAGAUAGGUGCACGGUAUGCAUGGAACAUACCAUAUGCUUGGAAAUCAAUUUGGAUGCACCCGAUGGAACUCAUUGAUGACGUGUGUCAUAUGGAAUCUCGCUUUGGUCUGUUUAGAAACAGUAUUAGUUUCUGUGCAAGAUAUGUGCAUGGUUUGCGCCUAAUGCACCAUAGUCUAAGAAACCAUUUUGGAUGCACCUGUUGGUACUUCGGUGAAGAGGCUCAAGUGGAAGCUCGGUUUGAUCUGUUUGGAGAUAGUGCUAAUCUUGAUGCAAGAUAAGUGCAUGAUUUGCAAGGAACAUACCAUAUGCUUAGAAAAUCAAUUUGUACGCACCCAAUGGAACUCCUAGAUGACGUGUGUCAUAUGGAAUCUUGCUUCGGUCCAUUUGUAGACAUUGUAAGUUUUAGUGCAAGAUAGGUGCACAGUUUGUGCCUAAUUCACCAUAGUCUAAGAAACCAUUUUGGACGCACUAUUUGGUACUCUUAGGUGAAGAGGCUCAAGUGAAAGCUUGGUAUGGUCAGUUUGGAGAUAGUGCUAAUCCUUUUGCAAGGUAGGUGCAUGGUAUGCAUGGAACAUUGGAAAUCAAUUUGGAUGCACCCGAUGGAACUCCUUGAUGACGUGUGUCAUAUGGAAUGUCGCUUCGGUUCAUUUGAAGACAUUGUUAGUUUUGGUGUAAGAUAGGUGCACAGUUUGCACCAAAUGCACCAUAGUCUAAGAAACCAUUUUGUAUGCACUUGUUGGUACUCCUAGGUGAAGGGGCUCAAGUGGAUGCUCGAUUUGGUCUAUUUGGAGAUAGUGCUAAUCUUGAUCCAUGAUAGGUGCACGGUUUGCAUGGAACAUACCAAAUGCUUGGAAAUCAAUCUGGACGCACAUGAUGGAACUCCUAGAUGACGUGUGUCAUACGAAAUCUCACUUCGGUCUAUUUGGAGACAGUGUUAGUUUCGGUGCAAGAUAGGUGCAAGGUUUGUACAUAAUGCAGCAUAGGCUAAGAAACCAUUUUGGACGCACCCGAUGGUACUCGUAGGUAAAAGGCUCAAGUGAAAGCUCGGUUUGGUCUAUUUCGAGAGAGUGCUAAUCUUGAUGCAAGAUAGAUGUACGGUCUGCAUGGAACAUACCAUAUGCUUAAAAAUUAAUUUGGACACACCCGAUAGAACUCCUUGAUGACGUGUGUCAUAUGGAAUCUCGAUUUAGUGUGUUUACAGACAGUAUUAGUUUUGGUGCAAGAUAUGUGCACGGUUUGCGCCUAAUGCACCAAAGUCUAAGAAACCAUUUUGGAAGUUGGUACUCCUAGGUGAAGAGGCUCAAGUGCAGGCUCGGUUUGGUCUGUUUAGAGAUAGUCCUAAUCUUGAUGCAAGAUAGUUGCACGAUUUGCAUGGAACAUACCAUAUGCUCAGAAAUCAAUUUGGACACACCAGAUGGAACUCCUAGAUGACAUGUGUCAUAUGGAAUCUCACUUCAGUCCGUUUAGAAAUAGCGUUAGUUUCGGUGCAAGAUAGGUGCACGGUUUGCACCUAAUGCACCAUAGGAUAAGAAACCAUUUUGGACGCACCCGAUGGUACUCCUAGGUCAAGGGGCUCAAGUGAAAGCUCCGUUUCGUCUGUUUAGAGAUAGUGCUAAUCUUGAUGCAAGAUAGAUGCACGGUUUGCAUGGAACAUAUGAUAUGCUCAGAAAUCAAUUUGAACGCACCUGAUAUAACUCCUUGAUGAUGUGUGUCAUAUGGAAUCUUGCUUCAGUUCGUUUCUAGACAGUGUUAGUUUUGGUAGAAGAUAUGUGCACGGUUUACGCCUAAUGCACCAUAGGCUAUGAAACCAUUUUAUACGCACCUGAUGGUACUCAUAGUUGAAGAGGCUCAAGUGGAGGCUCGAUUUGGUCUGUUCAGAUAUAGUGCUAAUCUUGAUGCAAGAUAGUUGCACAGUUUGCAUGGAACGUACCAUAUGUUAAGAAAUCAAUUUGGACGCACCCAAUGGAACUCCUAGAUGAUGUGUGUCAUAUGGAAUCUUGCUUCGGUCUAUUUGGAGAUAAUGUUAGUUUCGGUGCAACAAAGGUGCAUAGUUUGUGCCUAACGCACCAUAGUCGAAGAAACCAUUUUUGACGCACCUGUUUGUACUCCUAGAUGAAGAGGCUCAAGUGGAAGCUCGGUUCGGUCUGUUUGGAGAUAGUGCUAAUCUUGAUGCAAGAUAGGUGCACGGUAUGCAUGGAACAUACCAUAUGCUUGGAAAUCAAUUUGGAUGCACCCGAUGGAACUCCUUGAUGACGUGUGUCAUAUGGAAUCUCGCUUUGGUCUGUUUAGAAACAGUAUUAGUUUCUGUGCAAGAUAUGUGCAUGGUUUGCGCCUAAUGCACCAUAGUCUAAGAAACCAUUUUGGAUGCACCUGUUGGUACUUCGGUGAAGAGGCUCAAGUGGAAGCUCGGUUUGAUCUGUUUGGAGAUAGUGCUAAUCUUGAUGCAAGAUAAGUGCAUGAUUUGCAAGGAACAUAUCAUAUGCUUAGAAAAUCAAUUUGUACGCACCCAAUGGAACUCCUAGAUGACGUGUGUCAUAUGGAAUCUUGCUUCGGUCCAUUUGUAGACAUUGUAAGUUUUAGUGCAAGAUAGGUGCACAGUUUGUGCCUAAUUCACCAUAGUCUAAGAAACCAUUUUGGACGCACUAUUUGGUACUCCUAGGUGAAGAGGCUCAAGUGAAAGCUUGGUAUGGUCAGUUUGGAGAUAGUGCUAAUCCUUAUGCAAGGUAGGUGCAUGGUAUGCAUGGAACAUUGGAAAUCAAUUUGGAUGCACCCGAUGGAACUCCUUGAUGACGUGUGUCAUAUAGAAUUUCGCUUCGGUUCAUUUGAAGACAUUGUUAGUUUUGGUGUAAGAUAGGUGCACAGUUUGCACCAAAUGCACCAUAGUCUAAGAAACCAUUUUGUAUGCACUUGUUGGUACUCCUAGGUGAAGGGGCUCAAGUGGAUGCUCGAUUUGGUCUAUUUGGAGAUAGUGCUAAUCUUGAUCCAUGAUAGGUGCACGGUUUGCAUGGAACACACCAAAUGCUUGGAAAUCAAUCUGGACGCACAUGAUGGAACUCCUAGAUGACGUGUGUCAUACGAAAUCUCACUUCGGUCUAUUUGGAGACAGUGUUAGUUUCGGUGUAAGAUAGGUGCAAGGUUUGUACAUAAUGCAGCAUAGGCUAAGAAACCAUUUUGGACGCACCCGAUGGUACUCGUAGGUAAAAGGCUCAAGUGAAAGCUCGGUUUGGUCUAUUUCGAGAGAGUGCUAAUCUUGAUGCAAGAUAGAUGUACGGUCUGCAUGGAACAUACCAUAUGCUUAAAAAUUAAUUUGGACACACCCGAUAGAACUCCUUGAUGACGUGUGUCAUAUGGAAUCUCGAUUUAGUGUGUUUACAGACAGUAUUAGUUUUGGUGCAAGAUAUGUGCACGGUUUGCGCCUAAUGCACCAAAGUCUAAGAAACCAUUUUGGAAGUUGGUACUCCUAGGUGAAGAGGCUCAAGUGCAGGCUCGGUUUGGUCUGUUUAGAGAUAGUCCUAAUCUUGAUGCAAGAUAGUUGCACGAUUUGCAUGGAACAUACCAUAUGCUCAGAAAUCAAUUUGGACACACCAGAUGGAACUCCUAGAUGACAUGUGUCAUAUGGAAUCUCACUUCAGUCCGUUUAGAAAUAGCGUUAGUUUCGGUGCAAGAUAGGUGCACGGUUUGCACCUAAUGCACCAUAGGAUAAGAAACCAUUUUGGACGCACCCGAUGGUACUCCUAGGUCAAGGGGCUCAAGUGAAAGCUCCAUUUCGUCUGUUUAGAGAUAGUGCUAAUCUUGAUGCAAGAUAGAUGCACGGUUUGCAUGGAACAUAUGAUAUGCUCAGAAAUCAAUUUGGACGCACCUGAUAUAACUCCUUGAUGAUGUGUGUCAUAUGGAAUCUUGCUUCAGUUCGUUUCUAGACAGUGUUAGUUUUGGUAGAAGAUAUGUGCACGGUUUACGCCUAAUGCACCAUAGGCUAUGAAACCAUUUUAUACGCACCUGAUGGUACUCAUAGUUGAAGAGGCUCAAGUGGAGGCUCGAUUUGGUCUGUUCAGAUAUAGUGCUAAUCUUGAUGCAAGAUAGUUGCACAGUUUGCAUGGAACGUACCAUAUGUUAAGAAAUCAAUUUGGACGCACCCAAUGGAACUCCUAGAUGAUGUGUGUCAUAUGGAAUCUUGCUUCGGUCUAUUUGGAGACAUUGUUAGUUUCGGUGCAACAAAGGUGCAUAGUUUGUGCCUAAUGCACCAUAGUCGAAGAAACCAUUUUUGACGCACCUGUUUGUACUCCUAGAUGAAGAGGCUCAAGUGGAAGCUCGGUUCGGUCUGUUUGGAGAUAGUGCUAAUCUUGAUGCAAGAUAGGUGCACGGUAUGCAUGGAACAUACCAUAUGCUUGGAAAUCAAUUUGGAUGCACCCGAUGGAACUCCUUGAUGACGUGUGUCAUAUGGAAUCUCGCUUUGGUCUGUUUAGAAACAGUGUUAGUUUCGGUGCAAGAGAUGUGCAUGGUUUGUGCCUAAUGCACCAUAGUUUAAGAAACCAUUUUGAAACCACCUGUUGGUACUUUGUUGAAGAGGCUCAAGUGGAAGCUCAGUUUGAUCUGUUUGGAGAUAGUGCUAAUCUUGGUGCAAGAUAGGUGCAUGAUUUGCAAGGAACAUACCAUAUGCUUAGAAAUCAAUUUGGACGCACCCAAUGGAACUCCUAGUUGACGUGUGUCAUAUGGAAUCUUGCUUCGGUCCAUUUGUAGACAUUGUAAGUUUUAGUGCAAGAUAGGUGCACAGUUUGCGCCUAAUGCACCGUAGUCUAAGAAACCAUUUUGGACGCACUAUUUGGUACUCCUGGGUGAAGAGGCUCAAGUGGAAGCUUGGUUCAGUCAGUUUGGAGAUAGUGCUAAUCCUUAUGCAAGGUAGGUGCAUGGUUUGCAUGGAACAUACCAUAUGGUUGGAAAUCAAUUUGGAUGCACCCGAUGGAACUCAUUGAUGACGUGUGUCAUAUGGAAUCUCGCUUCGGUCCAUUUGGAGACAUUGCUAGUUUCGGUGCAAGAUAGGUGCACAGUUUGCACCUAAUGCACCACAGUCUAAGAAACCAUUUUGGACGCACUUGUUGGUACUCCUAGGUGAAGGGGCUCAAGUGGAUGCUCGGUUCGGUCUGUUUGGAGAUAGUGCUAACUUUGAUGCAAGAUAGGUGCACGGUUUGCAUGGAACAUACCAAAUACUUGAAAAUUAAUCUGGACGCACAUGAUGGAACUCCUAGAUGACGUGUGUCAUACGAAAUCUUGCUUCGGUCUAUUUGGAGACAGUGUUAGUUUUGGUGCAAGAUAGGUGCAAGGGCACAUAAUGCAGCCUAGGCUAAGAAACCAUUUUGGACGCACCCGAUGGUACUCCUAGGUAAAAGGCUCAAGUGAAAGCUCGGUUUGCUCUAUUUGGAGUUAGUGCUAAACUUGAUGCAAGAUAGAUGCAUGGUCUGCAUGAACGUACCAUAUGCUCAGAAAUUAAUUUGGACACACCCGAUAGAACUCUUUCAUGAACAGUUUGCGCCUAAAGCACCAUAGUCUAAGAAACCAUUUUGGACACACUAUUUGGUACUCCUGGGUGAAGAGGCUCAAGUGGAAGCUUGGUUCGGUCUGUUUGGAGAUACUGCUAAUCCUUAUGCAAGGUAGGUGCAUGGUUUGCAUGGAACAUACCGUAUGCUUGCAGAUCAAUUUGGAUGCACCCGAUGGAACUCCUUGAUGACGUGUGUCAUAUGGAAUCUCGCUUCGGUCCAUUUGGAGACAUUGUUAGUUUUGGUGCAAGAUAGGUGCACAGUUUGCGCCUAAUGCACCAAAGUCUAAGAAACCAUUUCGGAAGCACCUGUUGGUACUCCUAGAUGAAGAGGCUCAAGUGGAGGCUCGGUUCGGUCUGUUUAGAGAUAGUGCUAAUCUUAAUGCAAGAUACGAGCACGAUUUGCAUGGAACAUACCAUAUGCUCAGAAAUCAAUUUGGACACACCAGAUGGAACUCCUCGAUGACAUGUGUGAUUUGGAAUCUCACUUCGGUCCAUUUAGAGACUGUGUUAGUUUCGGUGCAAGAUAGGUGCACGGUUUGCACCUAAUGCACCAUAGGAUAAGAAACCAUUUUGGAUGCACCUGUUGGUACUCCUAGGUCACGGGGCUCAAGUGAAAGCUCGGUUUGGUCUGUUUGGAGAUAGUGCUAAUCUUGAUGCAAGAUAGAUGCAUGGUUUGCAUAGAACAUACGAUAUGCUCAUAAAUCAAUUAGGACGCACCUGAUAUAACUCCUUGAUGAUGUGUGUCAUAUGGAAUCUUACUUCGGUUCAUUUAGAGACAGUGCUAGUUUUGGUAGAAGAUAUGUGCAUGGUUUACGCCUAAUGCACCAUAGGCUAAGAAACCAUUUUAGACACACCCGAUAGUACUCGUAGUUGAAGAGGCUCCAGUGGAGGCUCGAUUUGAUUUGUUCGGAUAAAGUGCUAAUCUUGAUGCAAUAUAGUUGCACAGUUUGCAUGGCAUGUACCAUAUGUUAAGAAAUAAAUUUGGACGCACCCAAUGGAACUCCUAGAUGACGUGUGUCAUAUGGAAUCUCGCUUCGGUCUGUUUGGAGACAAUGAUAGUUUUGGUGCAAGAUAGGUGCACAGUUUGCACCUAAUGCACCAUAGUCUAAGAAACCAUUUUGGAUGCACUUGUUGGUACUCUCAAGUGGAUGCUCGGUUCGAUCUAUUUGGAGAUAGUGCUAAUCUUGAUUCAAGACAGGUGCACGGUUUGCAUGGAACAUACCAUAUCCUUGGAAAUCAAUUUGGAUGCACCCAAUGGAACUCCUUGAUGAUGUGUGUCAUAUGGAAUCUCGCUUUGGUCUGUUUAGAAACAGUGUUAGUUUCAGUGCAAGUUAUGUGCAUAAUUUGUGCCUAAUGUACCAUAGUCUAAGAAACCAUUUUGGAAGCACCUAUUGGUACUUCGGCGAAGAGGCUCAAGUGGAAGCUCAGUUUGAUCUAUUUGGAGAUAGUGCUAAUAUUGAUGCAAGAUAGGUGCAUGAUUUGCAAGGAACAUACCAUAUGCUUAGAAAUCAAUUUGGACGCACCCAAUGAAACUCCUAGAUGACGUGUGUCAUAUGGAAUCCUGCUUCUGUAGACAUUGUAAGUUUUAGUGCAAGAUAGGUGCAUAGUUUGCGCCUAAUGCACCAUAGUCUAAGAGACCAUUUUGGACGCACUAUUUGGUACUCCUGGGUGAAGAUGCUCAAGUGAAAGCUUGGUUUGGUCAGUUUGGAGAUAGUGCUAAUCGUUAUGCAAGGUAGGUGCAUGGUUUGCAUGGAACAUACCAUAUGCUUGGAAAUCAAUUUGGAUGCACCCGAUGGAACUCCUUGAUGACGUGUGUCAUAUGGAAUCUCGCUUCGGUCCAUUUGGACACAUUAUUAGUUUCGGUGUAAGAUAGGUGCACAGUUUGCACCUAAUGCACCAUAGUCUAAGAAACCAUUUUGUAAGCACUUGUUGGUACUCCUAGGUGAAGGGGCUCAAGUGGAUGCCCGGUUUGGUCUGUUUGGAGAUAGUGCUAAUCAGGAUCCAAGAUAGGUGCACGGUUUGCAUGGAACAUACCAAAUGCUUGGAAAUCAAUCUAGAUGCACAUGAUGGAACUCCUAGAUGACGAGUGUCAUACGAAAUCUUGCUUCGGUCUAUUUGCAGACAAUGUUAGUUUCGGUGCAACAUAGGUGCAAGGUUUGUACAUAAUGCAGCAUAGGCUAAGAAACCAUUUUGGACGCACCCGAUGGUACUCCUAGGUAAAAGGCUCAAGUGGAGGCUCGGUUCAGUCUGUUUAGAGAUAGUCCUAAUCUUGAUGCAAGAUAGGUGCACGAUUUACAUGGAACAUACCAUAUGCUCAGAAAUCAAUUUGGACACACCAGAUGGAACUCCUAGAUGACAUGUGUCAUAUGGAAUCUCACUUCAGUUCGUUUAGAGACAGCGUUAGUUUCGGUACAAGAUAGGUGCACGGUUUGCACCUAAUGCACCAUAGGAUAAGAAACCAUUUUGGACGCACCCGAUGGUACUCCUAGUUCAAGGGGCUCAAGUGAAAGCUCGGUUUGGUCUGUUUGGAGAUAGUGCUAAUCUUGAUGCAAGAUAGAUGCACGGUUUGCAUGGAACAUAUGAUAUGCUCAGAAAUCAAUUAGGACGCAACAGAUAUAACUCCUUGAUGAUGUGUGUCAUAUGGAAUCUUGCUUCGGUUCGUUUAGAGACAGUGUCAGUGUUGGUAGAAGAUAUGUGCACGGUUUACGCCUAAUGCACCAUAGGCUAAGAAAACAAUUUUAGACGCACCCGAUGGUACUCAUAGUUGAAAAGGCUCAAGUGGAGGCUCGAUUUGGUUUGUUCAGAUAUAGUGCUAAUCUUGUUGCAAGAUAGUUGCACAGUUUGCAUGGAACGUACCAUAUGUUAAGAAAUCAAUUUGGACGCACCUAAUGGAACUCCUAGAUGAUGUGUGUCAUAUGGAACCUCACUUUGGUGUGUUUAGAGACAAUGUUAGUUUCGGUGCAAGAUAGGUGCAUAGUUUGUGCCUAAUGCACCAGUCUAAGAAACCAUUUUUGACACACCUGUUUGUACUCCUAGAUGAAGAGGCUCAAGUGGAAGCUCGGUUCGGUCUGUUUGGAGAUAGUGCUAACAUUGAUGCAAGAUUGGUGCAUGGUUUGCACGGAACAUACCAUAUGCUUGGAAAUCAAUUUAGAUGCACCCGAUGGAACUCCUUGAUGACGUGUGUCAUAUGGAAUCUUGCUUUGGUCUGUUUAGAAACAGUGUUAGUUUCGGUGCAAUAUAUGUGCAUGGUUUGCGCCUAAUGCACCAUAGUCUAAGAAACCAUUUUGGAAGCACCUGUUGGUACUUCGAUGAAGAGGCUCAAGUGGAAGCUCGGUUUGAUCUGUUUGGAGAUAGUGCUAAUCUUGGUGCAAGAUUGGUGCAUGAUUUGCAAGGAACAUACCAUGUGGUUAGAAAUCAAUUUGGACGCACCCAAUGGAACUCCUAGAUGACGUGUAUCAUAUGGAAUCUUGCUUCGGUCCGUUUGUAGACAUUGUAAGUUUUAGUGCAAGAUAGGUGCACAGUUUGUUCCUAAUGCACCAUAGUCUAAGAAACCAUUUUGGACACACUAUUUGUUACUCCAUGGUGAAGAGGCUCAAGUGGAAGCUUGGUUUGGUCAGUUUGGAGAUAGUGCUAAUCCUUAUGCAAGGUAGGUGCAUGGUUUGCAUGGAACAUUGGAAAUCAAUUUGGAUGCACCCGAUGGAACUCCUUGAUGACGUGUGUCAUAUGAAAUCUCGCUUCGGUCCAUUUGGAGACAUUGUUAGUUUUGGUGUAAGAUAGGUGCACAGUUUGCACCAAUGCACCAUAGUCUAAGAAACCAUUUUGUAUGCACUUGUUGGUACUCCUAGGUGAAGGGCUCAAGUGGAUGCUCGGCUUGGUCUGUUUGGAGAUAGAGCUAAUCUUGAUCCAAGAUAGGUGCACGGUUUGCAUAGAACGUACCAAAUGCUUGGAAAUCAAUCUGGACACACAUGAUGGAACUCCUAAAUGAUGUGUGUCAUAUGAAAUCUUGCUUCGGUCUGUUUGGAGACAGUGUUAGUUACGGUGCAAGAUCUGUGCAAGGUUUGUACAUAAUGCAGCAUAGGCUAAGAAACCAUUUUGGACGCACCCGAUGGUACUCCUAGGUAAAGGCUCAAGUGAAAGCUCGGUUUGGUCUAUUUGGAGAGAGUGUUAAUCUUGAUGCAAGAUAGAUGCAUAGUCUGCAUGGAACGUACCAUAUGCUUAAAAAUUAAUUUGGACACACCCGAUAGAACUCCUUGAUGACGUGUGUCAUAUGGAAUCUCGCUUUGGUGUGCUUAGAGACAGUAUUAGUUUUGGUGCAAGAUAUGUGCACGGUUUGCGCCUAAUGCACCAAAGUCUAAGAAACCAUUUUGGCAGCACCUGUUGGUACUCCUAGGUGAAGAGGCUCCAGUGGAGGCUCGGUUUGGUCUGUUUAGAGAUAGUCCUAAUCUUGAUGCAAGAUAGGUGCACGAUUUAAAUGAAACAUACCAUAUGUUCAGAAAUCAAUUUGGACACACCAGAUGGAACUCCUAGAUGACAUGUGUCAUAUGGAAUCUCACUUCGGUCCAUUUAGAGACAGCGUUAGUUUCGGUGCAAGAUAUGCACCAUAGGAUAGGAAACCAUUUUGGACGCACCCGAUGGUACUCUUAGGUCAAGGGGCUCAAGUGAAAGCUCUGUUUUGUCUGUUUGGAGAUAGUGCUAAUCUUGAUGCAAGAUAGAUGCACGAUUUGCAUGGAACAUAUGAUAUGCUCAGAAAUCAAUUAGGACGCACCUGAUAUAACUCCUUGAUGAUGUUUGUCAUAUGGAAUCUUGCUUCGGUUCGUUUAGAGACAGUGUCAGUGUUGGUAGAAGAUAUGUGCACGGUUUAUGCCUAAUGCACCAUAGGCUAAGAAACAAUUUUAGACGCACCCGAUGGUACUCAUAGUUGAAAAGGCUCAAGUGGAGGCUCGAUUUGGUCUGUUUAGAUAUAGUGCUAAUCUUGAUGCAAGAUAGUUGCACAGUUUGCAUGGAACGUAUCAUAUGUUAAGAAAUCAAAUUGGAAGCACCUAAUGGAACUCCUAGAUGAUGUGUGUCAUAUGGAACCUCACUUUGGUGUGUUUAGAGAUAAUGUUAGUUUCGGUGCAAGAUAGGUGCAUAGUUCGUGCCUAAUGCACCAGUCUAAGAAACCAUUUUUGACGCACCUGUUUGUACUCCUAGAUGAAGAGGCUCAAGUGGAAGCUCGGUUCGGUCUGUUUGGAGAUAGUGCUAACAUUGAUGCAAGAUUGGUGCACGGUUUGCAUGGAACAUACCAUAUGCUCAGAAAUCAAUUUGGACGCACUAGAUGGAACUCCUAGAUGACAUGUGUAUGGAAUCUCACUUCGGUCUGUUUAGAGAAAGUGUUAGUUUCGGUGCAAGAUAGGUGCACUGUUUGCACCUAAUGCACCAUAGGAGAAGAAACCAUUUUGGACACACCCGAUGGUACUCCUAGGUCAAGGGGAUCAAGUGAAAGCUCGGUUUGGUCUGUUUGGAGAUAGUGCUAAUCUUGAUGCAAGAUAGAUGCACGGUUUGCAUGGAACAUACGAUAUGCUCAAAAAUCAAUUAGUCGCACCUGAUAUAACUCCUUGAUGAUGUGUGUCAUAUGGUAUCUUGCUUCGGUUCGUUUAGAUACAGUGUUAGUUUUGGUAGAACAUAUGUGCACGGUUUAUGCCUAGGCUAAGAAAUCAUUUUAGACGCACGCGAUGGUACUCGUAGUUGAAGAGGCUCAAGUGGAGGCUCGAUUUGGUCUGUUCACAUAUAGUGCUAAUCUUGAUGCAAGAUGGUUGCACAGUUUGUAUGGAACGUACCAUAUGUUAUGAAAUCAAUUUGGACGCACCCAAUGGAACUCCUAGAUGACGGUGUCAUAUGGAAUCUCGCUUCGGUCUGUUUGGAGACAAUGUUAGUUUCGGUGCAAGAUAGGUGCAUAGUUUGUGCCUAAUGCACCAUAGUCUAAGAAACCAUUUGUGACGCACCUGUUGGUACUCCUAGAUCAAGAGGCUCAAGUGGAAGCUCGGUUCGGUCUUUCUAGAGAUAGUGCUAAUCUUCAUGCAAGAUAGGUGCACGGUUUGCAUGGAACAUAACAUAUGCUUGGAAAUCAAUUUGGAUGCACCCGGUGGAACUCCUUGAUGAUGUGUGUCAUAUGGAAUCUCACUUCGGUCCGUUUAGAGACAGUGUUAGUUUCGGUGUAAGGUUGGUGCACAAUUUGCACCUAAUGCACCAUAGGAUAAGAAACCAUUUUGGACACACCCGAUGGUACUCCUAGGUCAAGGGGCUCAAGUGAAAGCUCGGUUUGGUCUGCUUGGAGAUAGUGCUAAUCUUAAUGCAAGAUAGAUGCAUGGUUUGCAUGGAACAUACGAUAUGCUUAGAAGUCAAUUAGGACGCACCUGAUAUAACUACUUGAUGAUGUGUGUCAUAUGGAAUCUUGCUUCGGUUUAUUUAGAGACAGUGUUAGCUUUGGUAGAAGAUAUGUGCACGGUUUACGCCUAAUGCACCAUAGGCUAAGAAACCAUUUUAGACGCACCUGAUGGUACUCGCAGUUGAAGAGGCUCAAGUGGAGGCUCGAUUUGGUCUGUUCGGAUAUAGUGCUAAUCUUGAUGCAAGAUAGUUGCACAGUUUGCAUGGAACGUACCAUAUGUUAAGAAAUCAAUUUGGACGAACCCAAUGGAACUCUUAGAUGACUUGUGUCAUAUGAAAUCUCGCUUCAUUCUGUUUGGUGAUAAUGAUAGUUUUGGUGCAAGAUAGGUGCAUAGUUUGUGCCUAAUGCACCAUAGUUUGAGAAACCAUUUUUGACGCACCUGUUUGUACUCCUAGAUGAAGAGGCUCAAGUGGAAGCUUGGUUCGGUCUGUUUGGAGAUUGUGCUAAUCUUGAUGCAAGAUAGGUGCACGUUUUGCAUGGAACAUACCAUAUGCUUGGAAAUCAAUUUGGAUGCACCCGAUCAAACUCCUUGAUGACAUGUGUCAUAUGGAAUCUUGCUUUGGUCUGUUCAGAAACAGUGUUAGUUUCGAUGCAAGAUAUGUGUGCAUGGUUUGCGCCUAAUGCACCUUAGUCUAAGAAAUCAUUUUGGAAGCACCUGCUAGUACUUCCAUGAAGAGGCUCAAGUAGAAGCUUGGUUUGAUCUGUUUGGAGAUAGUGCUAAUCUUGAUGCAAGAUAGGUGCAUGAUUUGCAAGGAACAUACCAUAUGCUUAGAAAAAAAUUUGGACGCACCCAAUGGAACUCCUAGAUAACGUGUGUCAUAUGGAAUCUUUCUGCGGUCCGUUUGUAGACAUUGUAAGUUUUAGUGCAAGAUAGGUGCACAGUUUGCGCAUAAUGCACCAUAGUCUAAGAAACCAUUUUGGACGCACUAUUUGGUACUCCUGGGUGAAGGGGCUCAAGUGGAUGCUCGGUUUGGUCUAUUUGGAGAUAGUGCUAAUCUUGAUGCAAGAUAGGUACACGGUUUGCAUGGAACAUACCAAAUGCUUGGAAAUCAAUCUGGACGAACAUGAUGGAACUCCUAGAUGACGUGUGUCAUACAAAAUCUUGCUUCGGUCUGUUUGGAGAUAGUGUUAGUUUCGGUGCAAGAUAGGUGCAAGGUUUGCAUAUAAUGCAGCAUAGGCUAAGAAACCAUUUUGGACGCACCCGAUGGUACUCCUAGGUAAAAGGCUCAAGUGGAAGCUUGGUUUUGUCUAUUUUGAGAUAGUACUAAUCUUGAUGCAAGAUAGAUGCAUGGUCUACAUGGAACGUACCAUAUGGUUAGAAAUUAAUUUGGACACACCCGAUAGAACUCCUUGAUGACGUGUGUCAUAUGGAAUCUCGCUUUGGUGUGCUUAGAGACAGUAUUAGUUUCGGAGAAGAUAUGUGCACGGUUUGCGCCUAAUGCACCAAAGUCUAAGAAACCAUUUUGGAAGCACCUGUUGGUACUCCUAGGUGAAGAUUCUGAAGUGGAGGCUCGGUUCGAUCUAUUUAGAGAUAGUGCUAAUCUUGAUGCAAGAUAGGUGCACGAUUUGCAUGGAACAUACCAUAUGCUCAGAAAUCAAUUUCGACGCACCACAUGGAACUCCUAAAUGACAUGUGUCAUAUGGAAUCUUGCUUUGGUCUGUUCAGAAACAGUGUUAGUUUCGAUGCAAGAUAUGUGUGCAUGGUUUGCGCCUAAUGCACCAUAGUCUAAGAAAUCAUUUUGGAAGCACCUGCUAGUACUUCCUUGAAGAGGCUCAAGUAGAAGCUUGGUUUGAUCUGUUUGGAGAUAGUGCUAAUCUUGAUGCAAGAUAGGUGCAUGAUUUGCAAGGAACAUACCAUAUGCUUAGAAAUAAAUUUGGACGCACCCAAUGGAACUCCUAGAUAACGUGUGUCAUAUAGAAUCUUUCUGCGGUCCGUUUGUAGACAUUGUAAGUUUUAGUGCAAGAUAGGUGCACAGUUUGCGCCUAAUGCACCAUAGUCUAAGAAACCAUUUUGGACGCACUAUUUGGUACUCCUGGGUGAAGGGGCUCAAGUGGAUGCUCGGUUUGGUCUAUUUGGAGAUAGUGCUAAUCUUGAUGCAAGAUAGGUACACGGUUUGCAUGGAACAUACCAAAUGCUUGGAAAUCAAUCUGGACGAACAUGAUGGAACUCCUAGAUGACGUGUGUCAUACAAAAUCUUGCUUCGGUCUGUUUGGAGAUAGUGUUAGUUUCGGUGCAAGAUAGGUGCAAGGUUUGCAUAUAAUGCAGCAUAGGCUAAGAAACCAUUUUGGACGCACCCGAUGGUACUCCUAGGUAAAAGGCUCAAGUGGAAGCUUGGUUUUGUCUAUUUUGAGAUAGUACUAAUCUUGAUGCAAGAUAGAUGCAUGGUCUACAUGGAACGUACCAUAUGGUUAGAAAUUAAUUUGGACACACCCGAUAGAACUCCUUGAUGACGUGUGUCAUAUGGAAUCUCGCUUUGGUGUGCUUAGAGACAGUAUUAGUUUCGGAGAAGAUAUGUGCACGGUUUGCGCCUAAUGCACCAAAGUCUAAGAAACCAUUUUGGAAGCACCUGUUGGUACUCCUAGGUGAAGAUUCUCAAGUGGAGGCUCGGUUCGAUCUAUUUAGAGAUAGUGCUAAUCUUGAUGCAAGAUAGGUUCACGAUUUGCAUGGAACAUACCAUAUGCUCAGAAAUCAAUUUCGAUGCACCACAUGGAACUCCUAGAUGACAUGUGUCAUAUGUGAUGUGAACCCACUAGGGUUUUCGCCUGAUCUUUCGAUGAGAGGCGCUGGAUAACUCGAUUAGUGAAUGGAGAUGACGUUCACGGCCCGACUACAGCCCUCAAGACUGCGCCUUAGCAACCGAUACACCGCCUCCAAUGGCUGUCACGAUCUUGUGGAGCGCAACACCCGGCCACUAGGGCACUCGUCCUGCAAGCAAUCGAAGAACCAGCAAGAACAAGUAGAACAAGUACUAAAUUACCAGAUGUAAAUGAAGGUUUCAAACUCAAUCUCUAAUGAAGUGGGGUUUCGAAAACAAGAAGACGGGCGGCUGGAUCAGCACGCGCGUUUACAAGCAAGUAGCGAAGGCUAAACUUUAUCUAAUCAAAACCCAGUUGUUCAUGGCGGCUCUAGAUGUAAAUAAAUAGAGGGGAGGACGACCAAAGGGGUGCUAGAGUCGUCCUCCAACCCUAGGACGCGUCCCUAAUGGACUCAACUUGAUACAUGGGCCAUUGGUCCAAAAUAGGGUGACGCAGCACCAAAAUAGAAAAAGGUGUCGGCACGAAAACAAGGACUGCGCCCGACUCAUAAGCCGCAUAGAUAUGUGGUUGGACCCAUUGGAAAGUAGACUUCAUGAGCUUUCCAACAAGUAUAGGAACGUCCCAGUUGGAUUCCAUAUGACGCCGUGGUGAUCCAUACAAGUUAGAGUUAUUUUCCAGUCCGAAUCCAACUCCCAAAACGUGUUGGGUUUGGACUCUUUGUUUCCUUGCUUUAGAAACGACGUGGUAACUUGACAGAGGAUGUUGUGGAGGCUUGGACCUGAUCUCCAAUCACCUUUGUUAAGUUAUCACUCUUCCCAUAUGCAAUCAGCCCUUGAAGUUGGUGUUGCCUCAAAUUCUGAAUGCAGUUGAACCUUCCCUUGCUGAUCUUGUCCAUUAUUCCUGAGCAACACCAAAGUGCACGUGGAUCCAUUGUCUAAAUAUGAUUGACAAGAGUUUAAAGCUGAACUUACUUGAAGGUUGAGUUGACGGGCACGAGCACGAGUAAGAGGACCAGCUAUAGGUUGUGUCGGAGAGGAUGUAGGAUAUGUAUCGCUGGUGGAUGUAGGAUAUGUAUCGCUGGUGGAUUUAGGAUAUGUAUCGCUGGUGGAUGUAGGAUAUGUAUCGCUGGUGUUGAUGUCCUCAUCAUCCUCCCUUUCUUGCAUUUGAGUUGUCCUCGACUCAAGCUCAUCUUCCUCACCCAAAUAAGGCUUCAAAUCUGCAAUGUUAAAUGUGGGACUAACCCCAAAAUCUUUGUCUAGUAGUUCUUGCACUUGUCGCUGAAUUUCCUUUGUUUCCUCCGGGUUUGUCCUGUAUGGUGCACGAUUUGGCAAAACUGAUCCAGGAAUAAGAUCAAUUUGGUGCUCAAUCCCGCGUAGUGGAGGCAGCCCCGCUGGUACCUCACUUGGAAACACAUCAGAAUACUCCUGCAAAACGUUAGCAACAGCAGGGGGCAAAGAACAUUGCAUAUCCUCAACUGAAAUCAAAACAUCCUUGCAUAUCAAAGCAUAAGCAACAGAAGUGGAUGCAUUGAACUCAUUAAUAUCUGAUUUGGUAGCUAUCAUACAACGUCCUUUCAGUUUUAUCUCAUCUUUGUUACCAAUUACAGAUUUAUCAUUUUUAUUGCUCUUGCUCUUUGCUUUAGUAGCCCUAGCAACAUCAGUUUGCAUAAUAGUUUCAGGGGACAUAGGAUGCAACACAAUUUUGCGAUCAUGGUAUAGAAAAGAAUACUGAUUUGAUCUACCAUGAUGCAUAGAAUCUCUAUCAAAUUGCUAAGGUCUACCUAGCAGAAUGUUACAAGCUUGCAUAGGCACAACAUCACAUUCAACAAUAUCUUUGUAGGAUCCGAUGGAAAAAUUAAUUCUCACAAGUCUAGUUACCUUUGCCUUACCACUGUUGUUCAGCCAUUGGAUGUAGUAGGGAUGCGGGUGUGGCUUGGUGUUGAGGGCAAGCUUCUGCACCAUAUCGCUGCUUGCCAAGUUGUUGCAGCUACCUCCAUCAAUGAUCAUGCGACAAGAACGCUCUUUGAUGACACACUUUGUUUGGAAUAAAAUGUGUCGCUGAUUUUGCUCCGCCAUCUCCAUUUGUGCACUAAGCACUCGCUGCACGAUCAAGCUCUCAUAGUGGUCUGCUUCACCUGCAUUAAUAUGUUCUUCUAUUUGAUCUUCAUUACCUGCAUGGUCAGUCGCAAGCAGUGCAAGUGUAUCCUCAUCAAAAUCACUAGCAGAUGAGUACUCACCAUCAUCCCUGACAAUCAUAACUCGCUUGUUUGGGCAGUCACGCAUCAUGUGCCCAUAUCCCUUGCAUCGAUGACACUGAACAUCUCUUGUUCUUCCCGUGGAAUUAACCGAGGUGGCACUAGCGAUUGGUCUCUGGGCUGAUUUAGUUGCUGUAUUUGUGGAAGAAUCAUGUGGUUUGUCGCUAUAGGAAGGUGGUGGAGCUAUUGAUCGGCUUGAUGGAAGAGGUACACCACCCGACAAUGUAGCAGAUGUGCGUUGUUGCCAGGAUUUCCCUGCAGAAUUGUUAGAUUUGGCACUAGAACAUUGUCCCUGCACUUCCCUUUCAGCUUUACAAGCAAGAUGAAACAAACGGGUUACGUUAGUAUAAUCUUUAUAAGCAAGAAUGUCCUGGAUUUCACGAUUUAACCCGCCCAAAAAUCUAGCCAUAGCAGGUUCUUCUUCCUCCUCUAAAUUACAUCGCAGCAUACCCAUUUGUAAUUCCUGAUAAUAUUCUUCUACACUUUUAGCACCUUGUCUCAAUUGCUGCAACUUAUUAAUCAUGUCACGUGCAUAGUAAGAAGGAACAAAUCUAGCCCUCAUGACUUGUUUCAACGCAUUCCAAGUUCUAGGUAUGUUAUUAGGAUUUCUGNNNNNNNNNNNNNNNNNNNNNNNNNNNNNNNNNNNNNNNNNNNNNNNNNNNNNNNNNNNNNNNNNNNNNNNNNNNNNNNNNNNNNNNNNNNNNNNNNNNNNNNNNNNNNNNNNNNNNNNNNNNNNNNNNNNNNNNNNNNNNNNNNNNNNNNNNNNNNNNNNNNNNNNNNNNNNNNNNNNNNNNNNNNNNNNNNNNNNNNNNNNNNNNNNNNNNNNNNNNNNNNNNNNNNNNNNNNNNNNNNNNNNNNNNNNNNNNNNNNNNNNNNNNNNNNNNNNNNNNNNNNNNNNNNNNNNNNNNNNNNNNNNNNNNNNNNNNNNNNNNNNNNNNNNNNNNNNNNNNNNNNNNNNNNNNNNNNNNNNNNNNNNNNNNNNNNNNNNNNNNNNNNNNNNNNNNNNNNNNNNNNNNNNNNNNNNNNNNNNNNNNNNNNNNNNNNNNNNNNNNNNNNNNNNNNNNNNNNNNNNNNNNNNNNNNNNNNNNNNNNNNNNNNNNNNNNNNNNNNNNNNNNNNNNNUGCGAGGUGUAAGUGUGUUUUCGUUACCAUCAUCUGCCCCUGGCAUGGUUCAAAGACAAAGACAACAAAAAGGCAAGUGAAGAAAUAAAAGCCCUACAACUACUAGGAUGUAGCUACAGCAAGUCGCUCACACUCAACCUGUAACACAAGUUCUUACCAAUUCUUACCUUGCUUGACAGGAGGGGUCGUCUGCCAACAAGUGUACAGCAAUGGACGAAGUGUAUCGGUGCUGCAGCACAAGACCUGUCAAGCUGUAGAGUAUGUGGAGCUAUAGGUGGGCUGAAACAAGGAACGAACUAGCACCACGUUAGUUAUAAAAGCGAGCUGAAUAAACGCUCAACGGUGGUACUGUGCUGGUCCUAGCCUAGACCGUGCUAGAGACGCGAGCCUGGACACAAAGGGAAAACACAGCACACCACUAGAAACAAAAUGAGCAGCACUACUGGAAACAAAAAGAACAACAAUCCCCUUCUUUUGAUUUUUUUUUCUUUUUUCUUUCUUUCUUUCUUUUUUUUCUUUAUUUUUUUCUUUCUCUUUUCUUUUUUUUUUGGGGAACCUCAAAACCUGCUUAUAUAAAUGAAAUAGUACAAAAUAUCACUUCACCACUCUCACCCUCUCACUAGAGUAAGGCUGAACCUCAAAAUUCAAUAUAUCUAGCACAAGUAUGAAGUGCUAUCUUUCCUUUUGGAUCACGUUGAUGGAAACGCAGAAUAGACAAACAAGUGGCUGCACCUAUUAUCAAGAUCUACUCAAAUUCCAACCCACAAUAGAUUGGACGCAGUUGUGACUAGAUGGUGACAAGAACUCAAAACUCUAAAGGACUAAACUAAAACCAGCACNN